rnacentral:lncRNA from 1 species
AUAUCACUAGGACAACCCAUUCAAGCCCUAUUUUUGAGGCUCUCUCUCCUUGCCCUAUCCCAUAUUUUAUAAUAAAUUUUUACCAACACUCUCUUUCUCUCUCUAUUUUAUAUUAUGUUUUAAUGAUGAAAGUGAACUUUUAAUAAUAAAUAUUAAACAUAUAGUGAAAAUAAGGCACAUUGUUGGAGUUAAAGUUAGUAGAAUAUGUCCUAAACUACUAGAACAUAAUUUUUUAUAUUAUAUUUAGGGCUCCAACUAGGACACUGUUGGACUUGCUCUUAGACCCUGCUCUGAGUAUUUUUAGGAGAGAAUGCAAAUGAAUUUUUAGGAGAGAAUGCAAAUGAAUGUAUGUGAAAGUAUAUUAAUUUUCAUUUUCAUCUCAUUUUUAGGGUGAAACUAUGUUAUAAUUAUAUCCAUUUUUACUUGUUUUUAUCACUUUAAAAAAUUCAGAAACACAAAUAGGAGCGAAGUUUAUAUAAUUUUCCUUCUCUUCACUUGCUUUUCUAUCUGUUUAUAACUCGGGAGUAUUAGAAUUGUAAUCGUCUGAAACUUGAGUGAGUUAUUUUAUCAGAUCUCCACCAGCGGUCUGAAACCAUGAUAAUGGAUUUAAUUUUUAACUAUUUAUGAACAAAAGAGAAGAAAAACGAGCUAAAAAGGAGUCCUUAAAAUAAAGAAGUCUUUGUAAAAAGCUACAAUAUAUUCGAAACUGGAACACAUGACGAACGUGCCUCAAGUCUCUUAACCAUUUUACAUUGACUUCCAAAUAUUACAAGAACAGGAAGUAAGCACAAGUCAAAGUAAAUCCUUGCUGAUCUGUUCCAUAUUAUGCCGCAGACUCGCACCACAAUCUUUAAUUUACCGACAGAACGAGUAACUUAAAUUUUACGUUUGUUUCAAAAAAACUUAAAUUUUACAUAACAUCGGUGAACUCGAUAGAUUCCAGGUUCGAUUCUGGCUCGAUUAUAUAAUCUGUGGCGUUCCAGGUUGAGGCUACAAGAUUAGAUCAUCAAAGCAAUUAGAUACUCCCCCCAUUUCCAAUUAUAGUCCAAUUCUUCCGUCAUUAUCGCUAGCAGGCAAUUACGUGAAGAGACUCCUUUCUUUCGAUAACCAAGUAGUACUAUAUUAUUAUUCUUAUUCUGUGAUCGGAUAGCCCAGUGGUUAAGGGUUUAUCCUCUGUCGUCCCAGGUCAUGGGUUCGACUCUGGCUCACCCGAGAAUAUCUUCGAACAGAUACUCACUUUGUAAGGCUAUAAGCCAUAUUAGUCAAAAAAAAAAAAACUUUUUUCUCCCAUGUCUAUUUUUCAACAAAGGAAACGAAUUACUUCUUAUUUUCAAUUUUUUUGGUCAAAUAAAAGCAUUGGAACUUUGAAGAAGUGACGGGAAAAACAAAACUUUGAAAUAAGAAUGUAGUCCUAUGAUAUGAAUUUUCAAGGCACAUUAUAGAAGAAAAAAAAGAGUUGGAGAAUCAUUACAAAAUGAAGCUUCUAUCACACUAGCAAUUGAAAACUAGAAGACUUGGAAGAAGAUGCAUUGCUUCCUGUGCUGUGUACAAUGUGGAAGACUUCAGACACUGAAAAAUAUGGCAUCGUUUUCUCAUCUGGAUGGAUAAACUACAGUUUAGACAACUAAAAUUGAUACGGUACUAAAUAUUCGGAUAACUAAGUUGGAUUCGGGUCGAGUAAACAGUCAAUUUCAGGACAAAUUAAACUUAUUCGAAAUAUGAAAUUGAAAGUUUAAGGAAAUUAUUUUCUAGUUCUGGGCCAGUUUAAAGUUGAUUCAGUCAAUUUUGAAUUUGGUAGCAAGUCAGGUUUUGGGCCUUGUCUGAUAAUGCCAUCCAUUGCACUUCAUCCUUCAGUAUUACUCCCCUAUUCCAAAAUAAUAGUCGCUUUGAUUUUUUGCACGUGAUUUAAGGUUUAAAAAAAACACACUUUGUUCUUUUUCGUGCAACUUUUCAUCAGAAGUGAAACUUGAACCAAAGGGUUCAACAGGAUGAGAGGUUCUCUAUUGAAUCUGGCAAUCUGUAAUAUAAUCUGAUAUAUUGACAUCACCGUUUGUGCAUUGUAGCAUCGGCUGUAUCACUAAUUCACCAUCAACCGUGAACUGUCAUACCUAGUGGCUUGUAGAUUAGUAGCAUCAGCUUCAAAAGAGCUUCUGCAAUAAGAAGGCGUUGCAUGUUUAUUAUUUCUUGUACUUUUACGGUAGAAAUUCUUUAAAUUAAUAUUCGGUAAAUUAAUAAACUUUUUAAAAAAAUAAAUUUGUCCGGUUCCGACCUGGACCAAUGUAAAAAAUUGAAAAUUUUGAUAAAAUAAUAAGAUAAUAAUUUUUUGAGAGCUCUCUGUAUAAUUUUCGGUCCCAAAAAAAUCAUAGAUUAAUAAUUCAUAUAAAUUGGAAAGUAAUAUAUUACACUCUAUUGAUAUAUGAUUCAAUAGUUGUCUAUUCUCCUUUUAGACUAUGGUUAUACUUAAACAUAUUCAUGUAAUUUAUAUAUCCCAAACAUGAUUAAGAAUACAUUGAACAUAUUUAUUCGUCUUGUUUACAUCAGAGCACUUCAAAAGUCAUUGUUGAUUUCCAAUACAUAUGAACACAGUAGUUACUAAUUUACGUUGAGUCACAAGAUUCGCUACAAUGUGUCAUUGUUGAUUUCCAAUACAUAUGAACACAGUAGUUAUUAAUUUACGUUGAGUCACAAGAUUCGCUACAAUGUAAUUCUAUGAGGGAUAGAUUAAUUUGCCUUUUUAUAUGGUAUAUUAAUUUAUAUAUAGUAUGCUUUUUUGUUUGGCAUGUAUUGUAUAAUUGGUUUUCUAAAAACUCUUUACAUUAAUAAUUAUUAAUUUAUUAAUAAAUUAAUAACUUUUUAAAUUAAUAAAUUUUUCCGGUCCUGACAUUAUUACUAAUUUAUAGAGUUUGUAGUGUAAUUGACUUGACUUCCUUACCCAGUUAUCUCCAGAUUAGAAGGUUUUAAAAUCAAACUUGGAACAUAAAUUUUGUACACUGCUCGGGUUUUUAGUUUCUUAAACAAUUCUCUUUUAUAGAAGAUUCACACCGUUGACAACUCGAAUAUUACCUGAUCUUUCAAACUGGAAGUUGUCUCCAACUGCAGCAUUAUGAAGUGUGGGAACAGACAGGGUAACUGGGGGGUUAGAUCGCCAAGCCAGUGAUGUGCUGAGUACUCAGACCAGGAAUUUAGACUCAGAGCAUGAGUAUCUAGCAAGUAGCAACUGAUGCAAGUCAUUAUCAUGUGCCAUAUUCACUAUCAUCAUCCCCAAAUUAUUAAGAACCCUUUCCACUGCAUAGAUCAACAAUUCAUUUGAAUGCAGAGCAAGAAACUAACUACAGACACUGUCGACGUCGUUAAUGAAGUGUGACUAAGGUUCCUUAUACUACAAAGACUUGAAAUUCAGUUCCAUACUCGGACAAUGCUGAGUUCAGAAGCUCGCUCACCUAAUAAAACAUAUCGACAAUAAAAUGAACACAAGAAAAUUGUUGAAAAUAAAAACUAGAAUUAUAACUAUAGAACAAGAUAGCAAUUGAUAUGUACAAGAGCGGAACUCUCUCAAGAACUACAUUGUACUUCUUCUUGUUAUAUUUCUCCUUGUACCUCUAAAAAGAGAUUACAUGCCAUAUUUAAAAACAAACGUACUUGACUCCUAAUAGUAUUCUACUAUUUUUCUAAUAAAUCUCCCAAAACAAGAUAGACUCAAUAUCUCCUACAAACUCUCUCUAGAACUCCAACAAACAUCCAACUACUUCAAUCUUAAAUUAAUCCUCCAAAUAAAUAACUAAACAAAUAAUAAUAAUAACUAAAUUUAAGAUUAUUCCAACAAAAAUAACUUAAACGAGCAUGCUCGACAUUAAAAUAAACAUAUGAACUCACCAAUUACCUUGCGCUCUGGCAUCAUGGUACUGGACUACUGGUGAUAUUCAAAUACGGGUAUGCCAGUGCAGUCCAUGAGGUUGGUAAACGCCAAAUGCAUCCAAUAACUGAUUGUAAACCAAGUGCAUCCAGUAACCGAUACUGCGAAACACAUUGUGUAUUAAAUUCAAGUGUACAUAGCCGCAUCAAAAAAAAGCAGAGUAAAUUUAAACAAAAGAAAAAAAGAAAAAAAAAUAUUACAGAGAACUAAAAUAACCAACAAACCAAUUAAAUGCCUCUACAAAGAUAAUGAUCAGGCUCCCCUAUAAUUUACAAAAAGUAAUAUAUGAUUAGUGCACCACAAGAUAAGACAAUAUUAUUCGUAACGUUGUAGUCUAGUGGAUAUCUCUCUUCUCAGGUAACAAGUGGACGAAGAUUUAAGCUUAGAAAUUAUUAAUAUCAUGAAAUCAACGUAGCGUAAUGUGCAUGACAAUUGAUUCAGAUUUCCGAACCAAAUGUAAAGUAAUACCAUUAUCUUUAUUAAACAUAUUCCGAAAUUCCAAAAUUCCAAAAAACAAAAACCUGUAACAAGGGAUCCGCCAAGUAACAUAUAGCCAUGAUGAAUUCACCUUCAAUGCAUUGACAGUCACCGAAUUGCUUUCAAUAUGAUAUGUCAAUCUCCAAAUGUUAGCUGCAGGUGCAUGAAUCGGUAGCUAACUUGAAAUAUUCCUCUGCUUAGAGGGAAGAUUGAAUAUGGAUUCCUAUCUUCUGGUUACUCUGGUCACAGAGUUUCUUAGACAUUUAUUUUUUUCUACAUUAGAGAAUCUCCGAUAGCCUCUCUAUAGUGGCUCUUGCUUGCUCCAAUAGGCUUCUAGUCACUCUUAAAUUUACUAAGGGUCGUUUGGCUGGGCUUAAAAGAAGUGACUUAUUGCUUAAAACAAAGAAGUGGAUUAUAAGUGAAAAAUUGGUUUCGACUUGUAAAUUGUAAAAAGUGUUUGGAUAUCGUGGCUUAUAAAUUAUUUAGUGUUUGGAUAACUCGACUUAUAAGUUAGUAUAGUUUGAUAAUAUUGUAAUAUAAUUUUGUUUUAUUUUGUUUAAAUAAAUAAACUAUAAUAAUAAAAAACUUUUAUUAUUCAAAUUAUGAUAAUACAAAAUCUUAUAUCAUAUAAAUAUCUUGUAAUUAAUUUCACGAGAAAAGAAUUUUAUUGUUAAAGCAGAUUGAUUUGGGACAAGCUGCCAGCUUUAAUUUUAUCAUGUAAUGAUCAUUGUGUUUUGUAUGUCAUGCAAGUAUAUAAUUAUGAAAAAUUCGUAUAAGAAGCGCACAAGAAGCUGCACUUCAAAAUAAGUUAGGAAAGCAGGCUUUUUUUGAGAGCUUCUCAAGACCAAGUAUAAGCGCUUCACGUGUUUUACCAAACACUCCCACCAAAGCAGAAGUCCACUUCUCUAUUAAAAAAGCUGAGAAGCUUGUUACCCAAACACCCACUAAAUUUCUCUUCUCUCUCCUCAAUUUUAAGAGCUAGUAGUCCCUCUUAACGCAACUAGAUUUAUCUGCAUAAGUACAUAACCCUUCUUAUAAGCAGCAUCUGUAGACAAACUAAUACACAUGAGGGUCAAAAAAUAACAGCCAUACCUACUUCUAUUUUGACAGACUUUGCUGCUUUUUCUUUAUUUUCAUUUUUUUAUCAGGCUUCUAAUAAUCUGCAGCAGUUAUUUCAACGAGAAAUGCAUAAAGUUUUGAAUCCAUGAGUUGCUGUUACAUAAAUCGAAACAUCAACCAAAUUGAAUUAGGUCUCUACUUCGUACUGGCAAAAGAAAGGAGAGGUUGGAAACUGGUUGACCUUAGCAAUUUCUUUAAGCAAACUUUAAACAGACUUAAACCAAACAUAUUCUCUAGAAACAUUGAGUAUCAGAAAUAUACAACAAUAACAUGAAGGACCGAGACAACGAUAACAUCAGGGACCGAGUUCUGAGCAGAAUUGGCUAAAGCAUUAGAUUCACUAUAGAAUUGUUUGCUGAUAGACCUAUAAAAUUGUUGAAUAAUGUUUGUUGUAGUCCGACACCUUAAGUUUUGCCCAUUCUAACUCCAGUGACUUCCCAAAAUCCUUUGUAACAACCAUCCGGAAACAAUUUAGGAAAAAAACCCGUUCUAACUGCAUUAGUCGGCUCACACUAUUACUACUGGAUUAUUUCUUUCUACCUUUCAUAAUGAGAACUAUCAACUAUGCACAUCUUUAAUUUCUGUUGUAAUGUAAGUAUAAAGUACUAUAGUUAGACCUACAUUUAGUUAAGCAGUUCUUUUCGAUGACUCGAGCAUUUGCCGGUAAUUUAGUAGCAAACUAUAACAUAGUCACACAGAGCUUAUGAGAUAGAAUCUGUCCACAAGCCUUCUACAAUAACAAUAUAUCAAUAAUUUAUCUGUUUUUUCAUGAUGUGCUAAGUACCAAAUUUCAUGUAGCUAACUCGUUCUGAUUGGCUAUUAUAUAUUAAUAAUAAUGGAUUCCCUGCAUAUACAAAAGCUCCACCAAUCUAGGGAUGGGCACGGGGGCACUUCGGGGUCGGGGAGUACUAUCCCCGCCCCCGAUCCCCGAAUUCAACACUCAUCCCCGACCCCGCCCCGAACCCCGAACAGGGAUUCUUUUCCUCCCCGAUCCCCGCCCCCGAACGGGGAACGUGGAUCCCCGCGGGGAUUCGGGGAAUUUUAGUUUUUAAUAAAAAAUAAUAAUUUUAUAAUAUAUAAUAUAUUUUUUCAAUAAAAAACAAACUACUAACUCAUAGUACACUAAUAGAAUGAUAUUAUCUCAUAUUUUUAACAUCAAAUCAUAUUAAACUUGAUUUGUAAUAUAAAUAAAUGAUAAUUUUAAUAUUAUUAAAUAUAUUAUAUUACAAUAUAAUAAUAAUCGAUCAAUAAAAAUAAAUAUUAUUUUUUAAAAUUUUAAUAAUAUUAUAAAAGGUAUCUAUUUUUAAUAAUAUAUUUAGUAUAAUAUAUAUAAAUAUAUUAUUAUUUACAUAUAAAUAUAUUAUUAUUUACAUAUAUAUACAACCGGGGUCGGGGAUCGGGGCGGGGAGAUAUAAAUCCCCGACCCCUCCCCGAUCCCCGAAUUUUUUAUAAACUUUUCCCCGUUCCCCGCCCCGACCCUGAAAUAUUCCCCGAAUCCCCGACCCGAACGGGGCGGGGAUCGGAUCGGGGUCGAGCGGGGCGGGGUGAAUGCCCAUCCCUACACUAAUCAGAACAAACUAAACAUGUGUCCAUUAACACACACUAGCUAAACCCAUAAUUUAUAUUCGAUAUCGAUAAAUUAAUAAACUCAAUCGGCCAAUGAACCGAGAUUUAAGCCUCUAUGUCAAUUCAUAUACAGUACUUGAUACUUGGUCAUCAAUCAUGUACGUAGAAGUUGAAGGUGAUGCCAAAUGGGUCGUGAAUGACAAUGUGAUAAAAGAGAUAAAGUAACAUGUUUUUGCCCCCAAGCCCCAAAAAUAUGAUUUUUUCCAGCCAAGACGGACACACCAAUUUCUGUACUAUUCCUUCCUCCACGUUCUCUUUCUUAUUCACUUGCAACUUUUAAACCUCUCUAGCUUACUUACAAAUUCUCAAUACGUUUCUAAUCUUAACGCUAAUCAACAAUACGUUUCCAAUAUCAACGUUAAUCAAUAUUGUUGGUUUCACCCAUAUUUUGUUUCUAGCACAUAUCAGUUACUUACCAACCUAUCUAUGGGCUCUUCUUGCUUUUGUUGGAUUAUUAUCAGGGACGUUACUUUUAGUAUAUAUGAUUGGGUAUUUUUGGUAGAUUUAUUUAUCGAAAAUAAGAAACAUAAUUUCGCAUUCUGGAAUUUUUUUGGUAUAAAUAUUUAAAAAGUAUAUAGAUAUUUUAGAAAUAAGUACCUAAUUUAAGAGAGAAUUGUAUAUUUGUGUGUAUUUUCUUCAAAAAUAAAAAUUUAACCUGAAUGGUCAUAAACGGAACGGAAUUAUCAUCCCAUCAUUUCUCAAAAUCUGACAUGAAUAAUAUGAAUAAGUUGUUUCAUUUCUAACUUAUAAGCACGAAACUACCCGUCCCAUCGUUUCUUUAUCCGUUCAAGUAAAAAUUUUGUUCUGCUCAACUAUUUAUGCACCAAAUUCCCCUUCUAUACGCUGCUUUCGGUGCUGCAAUUCAAUCACUUCUCUCUUUAUCCCCUCUUUUCCCCACAUCACUAGUCACCAACCUCACCAAUGUAAAAAAUACCCAAAUGUCACUAUGCCCCAGAAGUUUGUACUUGGAACAUGCCAUCACAUAACAAACAUACCCUGAUCAACACAUCUCUCAAAUUCUCUCCUUAUCAUCUUCUUUAAAACCAAAACCUGACACUUAUUCUUCUCUCAACAUCACUACUCACCUUUCUUUUCUAAUGCCACCACACCUUCCAUACCUUAAACAAUGUUUUUCUCUGCCUAAUUCUGAGAAGAAUGGGAAUUAUGGCAGCUGAGAUAUGCUCAGAGAUUUCAAGUCCAAGAAUUUCGUUCUCGUAUGAUCUCAAUGAGACAGAGGAGUCUCUCCCUGCUGAAUGCUGCCACCGCAGAUCAGAUGCACUGCUGCUAGACUUCAGCACUGACUUUGAUUUCUGCAUUAGUGUUAAUAACUUCCACCAAGAUAAUUUAUCAGCUGAUGAGCUUUUUUCAGAUGGAAAAAUUCUUCCUACUCAGAUCAAGAAAGUGAAGAGCAUUACUCUAGAUUCGGAUACUCAUCGAUCAAAGCCUUGUACAACUAGCCGCGUGGGACUGAGAAGCGGGAAUGUGAAUGAUGAGACCAAGAAGAAAAGGCUAAAGGAGUUUUUAUUCGAAAGUAUUGAGGAAGAUAAGCCUGCAUCCAAAUCUUUUUGGCAUUUUAAGCGAAGCACUAGUCUAAAUUGUGAAAAUAACCGGAGAAAUAAAGGACUGAUUGGUUCUUUACAGGUUCUUGGUCGGAGCAAUUCAACUGGUUCUGCUCCGAAUUAUUGCGAGAAAGAAUCACAUGUCUCUAGGCACCUGUCACGUGUCAUAUCUUCUCUAAAUAAUAUGCCAAUUUAGUGGCCUGCAGUAUUUCCAAGUAGUGCCCCUCAUAUGUUGAGCUGGCAAGGUUGUUAGGUUGUUAUGUCCUAUUUUGUCUUGUCUACUAGUCUCUCUACAUAUAGACAAUAGCCUGUAAUGUUAAGGCAGACUGGUUUGUUAUUACUCAGUGAGUAUUAUUGCCUUCUUGGCCUUUCUUCAAUGGUGAAUUCAUAUUGAGCCUAUUCUCGUAUAUUUACUCUUUAUGGUAUCAGAGCCACCCAUUGUUAAGAUAGGUCAAGCUUGCUUUUGUUUCCAGUUCUCUGUCUAAACAGUCUUGUGUCUUUCACCUCUUCUUGUUCUUGCUUUCUUGUGUCUGUGUCAACAUGUCUUCUGGGAAUAGAAUCCCUCUCCAGGAUUUGGUUAAUCCGUUGUAUCUACACCCAUCUGAUGGUGCAGCAUCUGUGCAAGUUGAAAAGCUCCAAGGUUCGUCCGACUACAGAUCUUGGAAAAGAGCUAUGGAAAUCAACCUAGCCUCCAAGAGAAAACUGGGUUUUGUCACCGGGACUGUGCCCCGUCCUUCUGAUCUUGUUCAAGCUGAGCUUUGGGACACCUGCAACAAUAUGGUAAUCGCUUGGCUCACUCAUAAUGUCUCCCCCUCUAUUAUGAAAUCUGUGAUGUUUAUGACCACCGCUUUUGAUAUUUGGUUGAAUCUUGAGACUCGUUUUCAGUUAACAAAUGGGUCUAGAAAGUAUAAAAUCAAUAAAGAAAUUUAUGAGUUGAGACAAAACACCCUGUCUAUAAAUGAAUACUACACUGCUAUGCGUGCCCUGUGGGAAGAGCUAGACACCCUAAACACUUUACCUGUUGUCCCAAACCCUACUGAUGAAGUCAAAACCCUGUUAAAUGUCAUUUCGUCUCAACAAGAAGAAAGUAGGCUGUUUCAGUUUUUGAAUGGUCUUAAUGAAGCCUAUAACCCUCAACGUAGUCAUUUCUUGUUGUUGACCCCCUUACCCUCUGUUGAGGUUGCCUCAGCUGCUUUACAGCAAGAAGAAGCUCAACGAGAGCUCUUAAACUUAAACAAACUAGACCCUGAAACUGUUGCCCUGUUUUCCAAAUCUAACCCUGUCAAAUUUGAUAAACCUCUCCUGUGCUCUGUUUGUGGUGGUAGAGGUCAUAAAAGUGAUACUUGUUGGGAUGUUGUUGGAUACCCAAAGUGGCACUCUAAACAUGGCCAAAACAACACCCCCACUGGCUCUAGAGCUAAGUCCACUUUUCAGUCUAAUAAACAGUUCUCUGGUUCUAGGCAAAGAAACUUUAAACUUGCAGCUACAGCUCAGAUGUCUCCAGGUCAAACCUCCACUUCCGCUUUUACACCAGAACAGUUGGCCCAGUUGGCUCAACUGUUGCCACAAUUAUCCUUGCAACAAAGGGGCUCCGAUACUGAGGAGGAGUUGGAACCACCGUUUUCUGGCAUGCUUUUCUCUGGCUUAACUAAAGGUGUUGCUGUCGACUCCUGGAUCAUAGACUCUGGGGCCACUGAUCACAUGACCCCAGACUAUGAGCAUCUGUCUCACCCUGUUCCUCUUAGCAAGCCAACUCAGAUCAACUUGCCCACUGGUGACACUGCCAUCAUCUCUCAUCAAGGCACAGUCAAAUUAAACACUGGCUUGACAUUACACAAUGUUCUCUGUGUGCCCUCCUUCCAACAUCGGUUGUUAUCCGUGCGAAAGCUGAUUGCUGAUAGUAAUUGCCAAGUCCAGUUUUACAGUACUCAUUGUGUCAUACUGGACAACUGCUCGAAAGAAAUUAUUGCUGUGGGAAAGGCUCAUCAGGGCCUGUAUUAUCUCAUCGAUCAUUUGUCUGGUAAUGUUGAUCAGGAAUGGAUAAACUCCAUUUCACCAAAAUGCAAUGCUAGCAGCUCCAAGGAGGACCUCAAGGCAGCCUCAGAAUUUGACAAAUGGCACUUGCGCCUUGGUCAUGCUUCAUCUGCCAGAUUGAAACUUAUUCCAUGUGUCAAGCCCUUCGUGCAGCAACAAUCUAAAAUCUGUGUCACGUGCCCAAUGUCGAAAUUUACUCGACUUCCAUUUCCCUUGAGUGAUUCUCAUGCUAAGACCCCAUUUGAUCUCAUCCAUAUAGACAUAUGGGGUCCCUACAAAGUCUGUACACGGGGAAAAUUUAAACACUUCCUGACUAUUGUUGACGACAACACACGCACCACCUGGGUUUACCUGCUGCAGUAUAAAUCAGAUGCUCUGUCUCACCUUGAAUCCUUUCGCCAAUAUGCUCUGAAUCGUUUCAAAGGUACAAUCAAAGUUAUAAGGUCUGACAACGCUCUUGAAUUUGAUGACGUCUCUUGCAAACAGUUCUUCCACAAAUAUGGGAUCACUCAUGAAACUUCUUGUGUUCGAAGGCCGCAACAAAACGCCCGAGUGGAACGCAAGCAUAGGCAUAUCCUUGAAGUGGCUCGCUCCUUGCGAUUUCAGGCUGCUGUUCCUUUACAGUACUGGGGAGAAUGCGUAAUGGCUGCAGUCUAUAUCAUAAAUAGGUUGCCUACACCAGUAUUGGGCAACAAAACUCCGUAUGAAUGUCUUUUCAAUGAGCCACCAGAUUAUACUGAAUUGAAAGUCUUUGGAUGCCUUGCCUUCGCUUGCAAUCCAGAAAAACCAGGGGACAAGUUUGCAGCACGAGGUGUUCCUUGUGUAUUUCUGGGUUACCCAUGUCUGCAAAAAGGUUAUCGACUCCUCAACUUAUCUACCAUGCAAACCUUUGUUUCUCGUGAUGUCCUUUUCCAUGAACUGGUUUUUCCAUUCAAAACAACAACUGGCAGUGUUGCGCCUCGAGAACAACAAUCAACUAUCAGCCCUGCAGCCUAUGAAGACUAUUACCCCUAUCCUGGUAACAAUGUGCUCGAUGACCAGUCACAUCAGCACAGCCCUUUAUCAUCCUCUGCAGAUGAUACAAAGGAAGAGGCACCUGUGGUGCGCAGGUCUACCAGAUCACGUGUUGCCCCUAUUUGGCACCAAGAUUAUGUUACCAAUGCCUCAAUCAAUGCUGUGACAACGACAUCUGUGAACCCUACCUUUGCCUGUUUUUUGUCAACACUCUCUCAAACCAGUGAUCCUGUUUUCUUUAAAGAGGCAGUCAAACAUGAAACAUGGGUGCAAGCCAUGAAUACCGAACUUGCAGCCUUGGAACAAAACAACACCUGGGACAUCAUGCCUCUGCCGCCAGGUCAGCGAGCUAUAGGAUCAAUGUGGCUUUUUAAGACAAAAUUUAACCCAGAUGGCUCAAUACUGAAGCACAAAGCCAGACUAGUCAUACUGGGUAGUAAGCAGCAGUAUGGGCUAGACUACCAUGAAACUUUCGCACCUGUGGCAAAAAUGACCACAGUACGUACUUUGCUUGCUGUUGCUGCGAUGCAAGAAUGGCACACCAUCCAAAUGGAUGUGACCAAUGCCUUCUUGCACGGAGAUCUUUCUGAAACGGUGUAUAUGACUAUGCCGCAGGGUUACACUCAUUUGGGCUGCAGAAUCACACAUAAUCAGAUCUUGGGGCUCCCUGAUAAAUCUCCAACUCGUCUUGUCUGCAAGUUGAAAAAGUCCCUAUAUGGUCUGCGUCAAUCUCCUCGCCUGUGGUUCAACAAAUUCUCCACCACUAUUCUGCAGAUGGGCUUCAUUCAAUCCAAAGCCGACUACAGCUUGUUCAGCCUCCAUUCUGAGUCCACGAUCACAAUCAUCCUGGUUUAUGUUGACGAUCUUUUGAUUUGUGGCAACUCUACAUCCUCCAUCUCUGAUCUCAAACAACUACUGUCAAGAUCUUUCAACAUGAAAGACUUGGGACCAGUCACUUAUUUCCUGGGUAUCGAGAUAGACAGGUCUGAUGCCGGCUUCUUUCUCUCACAGAGGAAAUAUGCCUCUGAUAUACUUCUUGAAUUUGGAAUGACAAAAGCCAAGCCACUACACUUGCCUAUGGACAUCAAACUGAAGCUGACUGCAGACAUGGGUGAUGUGCUUCCUAACCCGUCCACAUAUCAACGCCUAAUAGGUAAAUUGAUUUACCUCACUAUAACUAGGCCAGAUAUUGCGUUCUCGGUACAGAUUUUGACACAAUAUAUGCAGAAACCCACCACUGUUCACAUGCAGAAUGCUAAACGCUUACUCAGAUACAUCUCCGGUACUGUAACUCAAGGCAUUUUGCUGGCCUCAUCUUCAGCUGCUCAGUUGACAGCUUAUUGCGACAGUGACUGGGCUGGGUGUGUUUCUACCAGAAAAUCUACGUCUGGAUUCUGCAUUUUUCUCGGUGAUUCACCAAUCUCUUGGAAGACGAAGAAGCAAACAGUGGUUGCUCGGUCCUCUGCAGAGGCAGAGUAUCGCUCUAUGGCCCUUACAGCUUGCGAAGUAACUUGGCUGUCCUCUCUCUUGCAUGAUCUGGGUUUGAAGAAUCUUCCUCCUGCUGUUCUGAAAUGCGACAAUCAGGCGGCCUUGUCUAUUGCUGCGAACCCCGUCAUGCACGAGCGCACCAAACAUAUCGACAUUGACUGUCACUACAUUCGUGAUCAGAUCAAAGCAGGCACUCUUGUUACUCAGCAAGUCAAAUCUGUGGAUCAAAUAGCUGACAUUAUGACCAAGAUUCUCCCGGUGAAGCUGCAUGAUUCUCACAAAGACAAGCUGGGAGCUUCUCCAAACUCUCACUCACCAGCUUGAGGAGGAGUAUUGCGAGAAAGAAUCACAUGUCUCUAGGCACCUGUCACGUGUCAUAUCUUCUCUAAAUAAUAUGCCAAUUUAGUGGCCUGCAGUAUUUCCAAGUAGUGCCCCUCAUAUGUUGAGCUGGCAAGGUUGUUAGGUUGUUAUGUCCUAUUUUGUCUUGUCUACUAGUCUCUCUACAUAUAGACAAUAGCCUGUAAUGUUAAGGCAGACUGGUUUGUUAUUACUCAGUGAGUAUUAUUGCCUUCUUGGCCUUUCUUCAAUGGUGAAUUCAUAUUGAGCCUAUUCUCGUAUAUUUACUCUUUACGAAUCCAAAACAAUCCAUGGCAUCAAAAGCUAAUCCCAAGCAGCAUUUACAGAAACAGCACUCGCUUGGUUCCAGGAAUCGGUCCCUCCCGUCUUAUGGCGAAUACCAUCAAAUUUAUAAUUCCUCAGGAAGGCCGCCAUUGUUAAAGAAAUGCAAAUCUUAUGGUAGCGGAGUCAGAAUCAAUCCUGUUUUAAAUAUUACACCGGCUUACAUAUCAAAGGGGACUUCAAAUUUGUUUGGAUUUGGCUCAUUUUUCUGUAACGGCAAGUCCAAAAAGAAAAAGAAAUGAUUCAUGUCAUCACUCAAGUUGUGAAGUACUUUCAAGUAUAUAGAUGCAUUGUAAUUUGUACUUGUGCAACAGUUAUACAAUUGCCAUCCGUGAAAACUGCAUUUUUACUCCGAACUCUUUCGGGUAUCGAGUAAAGUCCGCGUAAAUCUUACUGUUCCCGGACCCUACUUCCGAGCGAGACAUAAUUAAAUGUUGUUGGCGUUACAUAACAUGCCAAAUAACAAGGGAACAAGAGAACAAGGAAUCCUUCUAUCAUUGUCAUCCCAUGCUUUGCAGUGUUUUAAUGUAUUGCAAAUUUUCUGGCACUUCAUAAUUGCAUGUGGCUGCCUUGUGUUCCAUUCAGCAUGAAAAUGUUUCUUGUGGACUGUCUGAGCCGAUUAAGAUAUUUAUAUAUGGGUUGUACGAAUGAGGUUAAUUCAAUUUUUGUUUUCUCUGGCGGUUGGAUCUGAGGACUGAUUUUUAAAGUGGAUGAAUGAUUGACGAACUUAUUGAGUAUGCAUUUUGCAUGUUGGUGUAUAAUGUAAUCAAGAAUAAGUGGGUUAUCCUCUAGAUAUGUCUAAUGAGGGACUGCUGAUUGGUCCUCAUGAACUGAUCCUGCAGCUUUGCUUUCAUGCUGAGCUGGUUAGUUUAUAAAACAUGCCAAAUUAUUGUAAUGGGCUGCAUUUUGAUGCUUCUAAACCCUGUUCCUGAGUUAAGUUAAAAGCAAUUUCUUGAUAUGAUUUAUGUAAAACAUUUAUUAGUAAAUUUUGAUUUAUUAAACAAAAUUUGAAAAUUUUAAGAUCCUAACUUUUUUAUAGUUUUUUUCUUAAUUUUUGAAAUUUGAUUUAAAAAAAUUAUAAAAGACCACUUUAAAAAGUAAAUUACCAACAAGCAUGCAGACCAAAAAUAUACACACACUAUCCACUGCCAAAUAAAUAACCGCAAAAAUUUCAAAAAACAGGCACCAACAUAUAAUUCAAGCUUAUAAUAAGCCUUUGAAUUCUUAAACCUGCAAUUUUUUAAUUAAGAAGUGAACAAAUUUAGUUAACUUGAACAUUCAAACUAUCUAACUAAAGGCCGGCUGGAGGGUUACGCCGAGUUGCAUAAAACGACAGCAACACCUCGGUGUUCUUGAUAAGUGGCUUAUUGGACAUUGAACAAAGUUGAAGCCAUGGAUAGUCCGAGUAAUAUUAUCAGCAUUCAAGUUGGUCAUAUCAUGGGCCGACUUCCAUGAGCGAAACAAGAUAUAUAUGUUAAAGGUCGUGGACCUAAGCCCAAUAGCAAAAUGUUUCUUAUAUUUUCCUAGCAUGUCUCCUUUCUUCGAUAGUUCAAUGCCUACUACAACCAAGUCAAAUUGGGGGGCUAAUGUAGAUUUCCCUCCACUUUCUUAUAUGAACCAUUGAACAACAAAAUUGACCAUCUACUAUCUACAAUAAAACUUUGAUCUUGUAAAAUGCGAACCUUGCACUGAGGACGAACCACGACCUCUUUCAUCUCAGAUUCAACUUUGAACCAGCUCAGGUUGCAGAGUGAAUCUGGUCCAACUCCACUAUUUCUAAAAGAAACAGAUCCUGGAAUCAACAUACAGUGCAAGUGGCUUAUUGUAAGUGCAAAUUUAUCAAUUGCCAAUAGUGGAACAUGAUCCAAGGAACACAGUAGAAGCGACAUGCAUUUAUUCUGUAGAUAUUGGAGAAUGAGCAGUUCCAAGCUCCAUGGGAUUUGGAAUACGUGAACUUUUCCAUUUCCUCAUAGCAUUAAACAAACAGCCCAGACUGGGGUUCGAAGUCCUUAAAGGAUUAAACAAAAAGAACAAAUUAUUGAAGAACAGAAAAUGUGACCACGAAAUGACUAUCAUCACUUCAAAACAUUAACUUGACAUCCAAAACUUUAGUUUAUAUAGGGAACAGGAUAGAGAGUAGAUACAAUAGAACAUAGGCAUGCACCAGUAUGAAUGGAUGAGGAAGCUGUUUCUGAUAAGUAAACAUAGGCAUUUCCUUUGAAGUUUAUUUUAAACACUUCAGUUCAAAAUGGAAAAAUGAACAAUUCACACAUAUAUUGACAACAAUCAUGUUAAAAGGCAUUCACAAAACUUCCUGUGUACAUAGAGAAGCACUCUCCCUCCCCAUCAAUUAAAACAGUGAUGAACUCAUACAAGCUAAGUCCACAGAAAAUUAAUAACUAACAAGCACUAGAGAAAUAACUAACAAGCACUAGAGAUACCAAAAGAAUGACUUAAAGACGGUUUACAUCACACUGCAGUGGUAGCAAAAUGAAGGUUUAAGAAACAUUUCAGCACAUCACAAAAGCAACUGCAAAAAAACAAUAACUAACUCAGACUCUCAGAGUAUGGUAUACCCUUUACAUCGAUACCAAUAUCGGAAACUCAUUUCAUACAUAUACUAAUACAACCUUGAGUAGGUUUCACAUAUCUCACCAGCUUCCAAAAUACAAACAAGUCACUAUUCAAAAAUUAGCUUUAUUGCAAGACACAUAGAUAAAACCAUAAUUGCAAACUAAUUUCAUUAAUGAAACUAGCAUAUAAAAUUAGUACUAUAUUAAGUCAAGUACAUAAGAGGAAAUCGAACUAAACAAAAGAAGUUCAUUUUCAAUGACUCCAUCUACUUUAACAAUCAAUUAACAUAAGCAAAAUAUGAACUUCCAUUAACUAACAAAAAGCACCACUCCUGCCAGGAAGAACUUAAAAUUCGAUCAAUUUCCCCACUGGUGGUUCAGUUUUCAUCAUCCCCUAGUCAGCAAACAUAACAAGCUUCAAAAGACUAGAACUCUAGUAAGCAAACAUAACAAGCUUGAAAAGAUCAGAGAAACAACAGCCACUACACAUUCUAAACCCAAUCAAAAGAAUUCCCCAGUUUCAUUCAAAAGCCCUAAAUCGAAUCAUCCACAGAAUCUUGAAAGCUAAUGUAAUCAAUUAAUCACCUUCCCAGUCACCGUGAGAUCAGGAACUUUGUACAGAUCGGCAGUCACUUCAGUCAACCACAAUCCAGGAAACAGCAUCUGCAAUCAUCAACAACAAAUUAGGUCAGAUCAACUUGAUCAAAAUCACAAUCAUAAUUUUCAAACAAUUCAAAACACACACACACACAGAGGAGGGAGGGAGAGAGAGAGAGAGAGAGUGGGAGAGGGAGGGAGAGAGGGAGAAUGAGGGAGGGAGGGAGGGAGAGGGAGAGAGAGAGAGAGAUUAGGUCAGAUCAUAAUCACUCACUAAUUUCACACAAUUCAACACACACAAACACAUGAAUUAGGUCAGAUCACAAUCAUAAUCAAAUCAAUAAUUUGAAAAAAAAAUUCAAAACGCACACAGAACUUGAAUCAGUGUAUACUUACAUCCAAUUGUCUCCGGACAUUCCUCGGCCACUUCUUCGGCCUGCGAGGCACUCGAUUCCCCGUAAUCGCCACAAAAUCCUCCUCAAUCUCAUCUUUCGAAAGCGAAACCGAAAAUCUCGCCCUCUCUCUUUCUCUCUUCUCCCCACUCCCUCUCAAACACCACGGAGACUUUACCUUCACACUCACCUUAUCAUCUCUCGCCGAAGAAUCUCUCUCCUUCAUUCUCGCUCUCGAGUUUGAGUUCGAGUUCAAUUUCGCACCCUCCCUCACAUCCGGAUCCAACCUUGCCCUCCUCGUCCUCAAAUUCCACGGCUUCAUCAUCUCACUCUCCUCCCGCCGCCGUUUCUCCCCCGCCGCCGGAAAAUCAAACAUCAUCUUCUCCGCCGCCGCCUCAACCCCAAACCCUACCUUCUCUCCCGGAGAGAAUCUGAAAUUGACUCUCCUGCCUUCAGAACUCCGGCGACACCUCGCCGCCGCCGCCUCAUCCACCCUCAUACACCUCAUUACCUUCCUAGACCCCCACUUCAACGACGGCAGCUUGAAAUUAUGCAACACUCUCGACCUUCCACACACAAACUCCUCUUCUUUACUCACCAUCUCGCCGGAAAAUCUGUAUCUAUAUGUGUAUCUAUAGGAGUAUGUCUAUAUUUCUCAGCCGGGAAAAUAUAUGAAUGUGUGUAGAAAGGAGAGGUUUUGAUGAAUAGGAUGUAUUUAUAUUGAACGACUGCUUCGAGGAAUGGUUGUGUGUGUGCGGGUGUAAAGUAAGGAUUCUGUGGUGUCGGCUUGAUCGCCGUUGAUCUGACUUUAUUGAUCUGAUCUGAUUUUUAGAUUGCCUUGGUUAGCAAGUUUUCUGACAUCGAUUAAGAGUAGGAGUUGGGUAAAUGGUAAGAAGUGACUUGUGACCGUUUGUUUAAAUUUAUCGUGAGUUGUUUUUCUGUUUUGUACUUUUUUUUGUCAAUUGAUGGAGUAAUUUUUAUUUUUUCUGAGAGAAAGAGUUCAAUAAAUAAUAGUUAUAUGGCAUCCACACGAAUGAUCGAGUGGAACAAAUAUAGAAUAGAAUAACAUGCAUGUCUUUAUACCCAAUAUGAGACAAAUAAGCGAUGUUGAAUUGGCGAUGGUAUACGUAUAGAUCCUCUGUAUUCACCAUCUUUUCCAAAAACUCUGUCUGAGCUAUCAACCACAAAUGCAAUUCCCGGAAGGUUUUUAUUGAUAAAUCCAGACCAACUUUCACAAAAGGAGAGGAAAAUCGCACACUCUCAACAAGGAGAAAAAUCAAACUAUAAAUUAAAACAAUCGAGAGGAUAUCCAACUACAAACUAAAACAAUUAGAUCUGCACCACGACCCUACACUUGGAGAUAAUUGAUCCACUCACAAAUCUAAAAAGCCCUUGAAAGUGAAUAAGAACGAAAAUCAAAAAUUUCGGUGAUAUAGAUCUAAGAAAAGUUUCCCCAAAGAGGGAGAUUUACUAAGAAAAUCAAUGAAACGAGUAAGAACAAUCAAAGAACAAGCAAUUAAAUAGAAAGAUUUGGGGCUUUUCACCGGAAACCUGAUAAAGCUCCGUCGGGAUGAAAAGAGGGAGGAGACUAGAGAGAAGAAAGAAAAAAAACUAGGGUUUUUGAAAAAAAAACCCGAUAAGAAUAAAACUUUGAUGGAGUAAUCUUUUGAUUUGACCAUCAUCGUGCUUCACUUGUUGACUGUUUUUGGUGUGACGAAAAAGUUAUUAUCAAAUAAUUUAUUUUCCCCAAGCUAUAAUUAAAAUAAUUUAUAUUUGUUCGAAUAUUGACAUCUCUCAUAUUAAAUCAGUCACACCCUUUUAAACAAUCGCAUAAAUUGUACCCAUCCAGUAUAUCCCGUUAUUUUACAUUACUGCUCAACUAGACUAAGUAUUAAGCUUGCACCUCCCCAAAUCUGCCAGCCAUGAUGAUCACAUAUGAUGAGAACCAUCCCGUUGCUAUGUUCAUUAGGGGAUGAUUCUCCUGACUGUCAUACUGUGCAUUUGAGCUUGGUUGUACCUUUUUUUAGGCAUCUAAAUCACAUUUAUUUUUAAGAUAAGAGAUAAAAGAAGAAAGUUGAUAAAAAAAAUUGAGUCAACAAAUAUAAAGAGAUCAUGGUGUUGACGGUCAUGAGAGAUCAAUUUAAUUAGCAAAAAAGAGGUGUAACUAUACAAAAUACAUGAUAUUGAUAAGAUCAUAUUUUGACAAGUACUUUUAAAGAGAGUUUAUACCCACACCCGUUAUUACACCUGAAUAAAAUUUAAAUAAUCCUUAUGUCAUUUUUCUUAUUAGAUCCUAUAACAAGAGAGACCAUUUCGUUUCUAAGAGCACCUCCCAUGGGUGUCCAUUUCAUACAUAAGGACUCGUGAAAUGAUUUGGGCAGUUGAAAAAACUGGUCAACUGCAUUGGAUGAUUCACAAAAUACUGGCCGAGCCUACUACGGUGGCCAGUGCCCAGUCACAAACUUUAUUUAUUUUAAUAACUUUUUAACACAAACUUGCUCAACAGUCAUUAAUUGUUGUUGUACUCUAUAAGAGCAACUCCAAGAGUUGCUCCACCGUCUCCCUAUAAAAACUAUUAUAAUAAACACUCUUAACUAUUUAUGCAUAGAAUGAGAGUGAUGACUCCAACAGCUCUCCUCAACAUCUACUUUAGUCAUUUAUAAAAGGGACGAAAAUAUCAGAAAAGGAGUGAAAUGAUGGAUAGGUUUUGGAGGGAACUAACACAUAUUAAUAUAAAACUAGUUUAGGAGUCCAUAUGUACUCCUCUCUGCUGGGGAGAGUCUUGCAGCUCCUAAUUAUUUAGGAGGGAGUAGAGAGGCUCUUGGAGUCAAAUUUUACAUCACAUUCAUUAUAAUAUGACUUAGGAGGCAAGGCGGGGAGUCUCUUGCUGUUGCUCUAAUUGUUUAUCUAAAUGAAAUGAUGUUGAGCAUUGGAUGACACUGGCCAUAUUUUCCAAACUGUCCAUCACUGCUUAGUUGGAACAAAAGUGACCCCACAUAUAAGUAGAAGUGGCCAUCUCCAUUGUAGAUGGUUUAAAGCCCAUUAGUCUGCAGACGACCUCUUUUCAAGUCUUAAACAAUCAAACUAUCUGGCAUCUGCAUCAUCGUUUAAUCCACGAGGCACGUAACUGAAAAAAUAAAUAAUUUAUCAUAUCUUUUAAAUCAGUCCUUCACUGAAAUAUAAAUUGAGAGUCCCUCUUAAAUUGCUUAAUCCAGUCCUUCACUAAAAUAUAAGUUCGAAACUCCAUCUGGAUUUGCCAUUUGAUUUGGGCUGGUCGGAACUUGGAAGCAUUUGUGCCCUAGCAUGCACACAUGAUAGAGCAUAUAUUUAUAUAUGUUUUCAUAUGAUUUUAUUUCCAUAAUUUUAGUUAUUUGUAAAUAAUCGGGAUGUUACUAAUUGAUUUUAAGUGUUUAAUGGCAGGAAAAUAAAUAUUCUUAAAGUUGGAUUAAAUCAAGCUUAUUCGGGCUUAAUCAGAUGGAAAUUCGGAUUUUAUGGAUAGCCUGCGAAGCAAAUCUUGUUUGGGCCAUAACUUAAGUUCCGGACGUCCAAAUUGGGCGAUUUAACAGCCCAUGCGAAGAUAUUGAAAUUUUCUACAAGUUUGAAGUGGUCCAGAUAUCAAAAUCCAACUGGAUCAGCCCAAAAUCAAGCCUGAACAGCAGCCUACGAAUUUCAGCAUCAGAAUCCAACCCGUUUUAGGAUAUUAUUUUAUUUUCUUGCAAAUUAAGAAAACUCUUAUAUAUAUUAGGUUUUUAAUAGAGAUUAGAGACAACUAACUUGUAUCAUAUAGAAUAAUAUAGAGAUAGCUUUUUAGAGAGAAAAGGGAGAGAAACACUUGUGAGAGAGAUUGGAAGAAGGAUUGAAGGGAUUCAUCCGGACUUCGAGCACUUUCGACAAGUUGUAUUCUUCGUACUUAAAUUCUUAUACUCUUGAUUUGCGGUAUAAAUAUAAAUUUGUUUCAUCUUAUCAUGAGUAGCUAAUCUCUUAAUCCAAGAGUUAGGUAGUAUUCUUUGGCUUAUUAUGUUUGUUUAGUUGGAUUGUGUUUUCUCUUGAUUUGUUUAUCUGUCAUUGAGCGCUUUAUACAAUUACAGGAGUAGCUAACUUGUGAUUGAAUCUCUAAGAGUUAUAACGAAUCGGGAGAGGAGUUAUAAUUCUAGUACAUGAUAUGAUGGACACAAUUUGAGUAUUAGAUCGGGAGAUUGAUAUGAGAAUUGUGAGACUUAAAAUCCUUGGUUCUUAAUAGUUUACACUUGUUCUUUGAUUGACCAUGGGAGUGGCUUUUAAUGAAUAAUUGUAGGCAUUGUAAUCUACCUAGGGAGAGGAUUUUAUAAAUAUUAGAAGGAUUGUUUUUAGCAAACAAGAGACACAAAUUAGACAUUCAUGAUAGCCAUUGAAGAACUCUAAUUCUUGGGUUGUUUUCUCUCAUAUUUAUUGAUUUAUUAUAUUAAUUAGUUGAUAGAUAAAACCCACCAAAUUCUUCUCCACACUUCUGAAUUACAAGAGAUAAAAGACUUGAGAUUAGUGUUGAUUUCAGUCCUUCCCUGCGAAUGAUACUCUCAAAAUACUCGACAACAAAUUGGCGCCGCUGCCGGGGAAGGCCGCAAUACUGAUUUAAGUUAAUUGUUUCUUGUGGUUUAGAUUUUAUUGUUUUAUAUCAUUUUUUUUCUUCUUUUGUUGUUUUUGGCGUGUCUACAGGUUCCUUGAGGUAGUCACCAGAAAAGUUUUGAGAUAAAGAGACGACAUGGAUUACAAUUUUGGUUGGAAUAACGCUCAGAAUUUUCGCAAUGAUCAAGAAUGAUAUCUAGAUUAUAAUUAUUUUCAGAAUUUUAAUGCGUAUUAGGUGAACUCGUUUGAUUGUUGCAACUCAUAUUAUCCUCCAUACCCACCUAACACUGAUUUUUCAUAUGCAUCUGAAAAUCAAUGCUAUGAUCCUUUCCCAUUUUAUGAUGUUGAUAAAAGCUUAGUUCAGUACAAUUCUUCCUUAAUGUCUAUGGGACUUUUUGCACAUAUUGAUCAACCAAAAUUUGAAGUUGCUAAUGAGACUAAUAUAAUAUGUCAAGAUUCGAUAAGUUGGUACGAGGAGAAUGCUAAAAGAAAUACUUUUAUUAUGGAAGUUCAACUUGUGAUGCAUAAUGGUUGUUUUAGGAUUCCUCCUUGUGUCGACUUCCCACUUUGUCAUGAUACUUAUUUAGCAACUGAGGAAAAUUUAGUGUCUGGUAAAUCUACUUGUUUAGAUGACAUUUGUCCCUUGCUUGAAAGUGAUAUAUUGGAUGUAGCUGAAGUUCUUCCAAAUUUAGAUGAUAAUGUUGUGCUCAACGAAUUGGUAGAUGAGAUAAAAAUUGAUGAGUGUCCAAUUAUACUUGAGAAGAAUGUGGUACUUAAUGAUUUUGAUUUGGAGUAUAAGGAUCCAAUUUGGAAGGAGUUUAUGAGUCAUGUUUAUGAUGAUUAUUCUGACGACUUUUUUAGCUACUUUGAUUCUUUCAGGUCUCUUGAGCAUGUGAGGUUCAUAAAAUUUUUCUUGAAAUUUAAUGAAUUAGAGGUUUAUUUGCACAUUAUGAUUGUAAUACAGAUUCUUAGGUAUGUGCACUUAUCUGCUUUUUCACCUCAUUAGUUUUAUUACCUGUAUGUAAAUAAGUCGAGCUAAUGACAAUGAACAAGCGCUUCUUGGGAGGCAACCCAUGAUUAUUAUAUUAUGUAUAUUUUGAUUUUUUUUCUACUCCCACAAGUUACCUUGAUGUAUCUGUUUGAAGUGGUUAUUACAGGUGCUGAAAUAAAAAAAAUUCGCAGCAAUUUUUCUGGUUGCAUCAGCUGCCUUGUUUUUGUGUUUCCCGGAGUUUCAACGGUCGGAUUGUCCUGAAUUUUGGACAGCAUCUUCCUUACACUAAUAUCUAAAUUCUGAACGGUGGAGAUCGGAUUUUAAGGUCCAGAAGGUCAGUUUAUGAAGUCUGAGCAGAAUGAUUGGCACCAUGGGCAUGGUUAAGGUGCCCGCGGUGCAUCGACUUAAGGGCAACACACUUCGCUUAUUUCUCAAACGGCACUUCAUGCGUAUGCAUAGGGGAGUAUUCUAAAUUUUCUUUUAUUUAUAGGAGUAAUAUUAGUGUGUCAUUGAGGACAUUGACUCAGAUAAGUGUGGGGAUGUGUUCUCAAUAGUAUGUUAUUGAUUAAAAAAAACAAAAAAAAUAAUAAUUUAAAAAUCAAAAAUAAUUCUAGCAUUGUAAAAUAGUUAGAUGAUCAUAUCAUACUAGGAUAAACACUCAUACAUUGCAUACAUUAGUUCAUAUAGUUGCAUAACAUGUUAGUUUCAUUGCAUAUCAUAACAUAUCAUGAUCCCAUAUAAUAGUCCAAGUUAGUAACCUAUGAUGAUACUAUGUGUAGAUUGUUUGUGAUUAAUUCUUGCUAUGAUCAUAUGUCAAUGAUGUUACAUGCGUAGUGUCAACAGUACAGAGCUUCUUUAUUGACACAAGCUUAUUAUGCUCUUAAAUAUUAAAUUGAGACUUAGAUAUACUUGCUUCUUGAGGGGUAGCCGCUUGUUGAUGAUUAGAAUUUUGACUAUUCCCUUUUAAGCUUAGUACGUAAAUGCUUGAGUUUGAGGUGAUUGUACGGUGUAAAUGUUUUCUUCAAGAAAAAAAGAAGAAAAAAAAGUGAAGUAUCAAGUACUCCUUUGAGAUCAAUGGGUGGCGAAAAUGAAAGGGACGAUCCAUGUACUUGUGCUGGUAUUAAGUGCAAUAGUACUAGAAAUAUAAAUUUUUUUGGUGACUUUUCAUUAUCUUUGAUUACUGGAGAAUUGUUUGACUUAAAAAAAAAAAGAAAUAAAGAGAGAAAAUAGGGAGAAAAUUGAGCUUGUGAAGUCUUUUGGUGGUCGUAACUCACUUACCCUGAGGAGCGUCCUGACCUAGGACCAAGCAUGUGAAAAAAAAAAAAGAAGAAUUAUAUACAGUAGUAUUAUAGCAAUAAAAAGAAGACGUAGAAAUCCCUUGUAAACUUGAAUGAUAGCUAGUUCUAAGUAACGAAGUGUUUAAGAUUUAUUCUAGUACUCAACUUGGGAGCUAUUAACUCGCAUGACUUGUCAUGUUGAAACUGGUGUGUCUCUGUUCCUGAUUCAAAGAAGAGCAUAUUGUUAAGCUAAGCACACUCGCACACUCUGUACAUGUGUUCACUAAGUGGUUUUAUUGCGGUGUGAGCCUGAUGUGUCUAAACUUGUUGCAUAUUCUGAUGGUUAUCACUGACUUGGAAUAUACUAUUAUUAUUGGGAUCCAUACAUUUUACAUUUAUUAGUUGCAUUCAUGUAGUUGCACUCCAUGCUCGUGUUCUUGUGGUCAUCAAUAUUAUUAUUACAUUAGCUAGAUGAAUUUUGUGGGUACAUUCACUAUAGGCCCUCACGAGAUCUUACUCGUCCACUAGGGCUACCUAGGGGUUUAUAGGGCUUGUUGUAUAUGCCAAAUGCAACCGUGAUCAUCUACGGAAGUGGUAUAUAUCUAUUAGAUGUUAGUUUUAUUUAUUUUAUUUGCCCGAGGACGUGCAAAACACUAAGUGUGGGGAUAUUUGAUAGAGCAUAUAUUUAUAUAUGUUUUGAUAUGAUUUUAUUCCAAUAAUUUUAGUUAUUUGUCAAUAAUCGGGAUGUUACUAAUUGAUUUUAAAUGUUUAAUGGCAGGAAAAUAAAUAUUCUUAAAGUUGGAUUAAAUCAAGCUUAUUCGGGCUUAAUCAGAUGGAAAUUCGGAUUUUAUGGAUAGCCUGCGAAGCAAAUCUUGUUUGGGCCAUAACUUGAGUUCCGGACGUCCAAAUUGGGCGAUUUAACAGCCCAUGCGAAGAUAUUGAAAUUUUCUACAAGUUUGAAGUGGUCCAGAUAUCAAAAUCAAACUGGAUCAGCCCAGAAUCAGGCCUGAACAGCAGCCUACGAAUAGAAUCCAACCCGUUUUAGGAUAUUAUUUUAUUUUCUUGCAAAUUAAGAAAACUCUUAUAUAUAUUAGGUUUUUGAUAGAGAUUAGAGACAACUAACUUGUAUCAUAUAGAAUAAUAUAGAGAUAGCUUUUUAGAGAGAAAAGGGAGAGAAACACUUGUGAGAGAGAUUGGAAGAAGGAUUAAAGGGAUUCAUCCGGACUUCGAGCACUUUCGACAAGUUGUAUUCUUCGUACUUAAAUUCUUAUACUCUUGAUUUGCGGUAUAAAUAUAAAUUUGUUUCAUCUUAUCAUGAGUAGCUAAUCCUUAAUCCAAGAGUUAGGUAGUAUUCUUUGGCUUAUUAUGUUUGUUUAGUUGGAUUGUGUUUUCUCUUGAUUUGUUUAUCUGUCAUUGAGCGCUUUAUACAAUUACAUUGAGCGCUUUAUACAAUUACAGGAGUAGCUAACUUGUGAUUGAAUCUCUAGGAGUUAUAACGAAUCGGGAGAGGAGUUAUAAUUCUAGUACAUGAUAUGAUGGACACAAUUUGAGUAUUAGAUCGGGAGAUUGAUAUGAGAAUUGUGAGACUUAAAAUCCUUGGUUCUUAAUAGUUUACACGUGUUCUUUGAUUGACCAUGGGAGUGGCUUUUAAUGGAUAAUUGUAGGCAUUAUAAUCUACCUUGGGAGAGGAUUUUAUAAAUAUUAGAAGGAUUGUUUUUAGCAAUCAAGAGACACAAAUUAGACAUUCAUGAUAGCCAUUGAAGAACUCUAAUUCUUGAGUUGUUUUCUCUCAUAUUUAUUGAUUUAUUAUAUUAAUUAGUUGAUAGAUAAAACCCACCAAAUUCUUCUCCACGCUUCUGAAUUACAAGAGAUAAAAGACUUGAGAUUAGUGUUGAUUUCAGUCCUUCCCUGCGAACAAUACUUUCAAAAUACUCGACGACAACACAUCAAAAUUAGAGUAAUAGUACUUGCAAAACUAAAUUAAAUAACAACAGUAGUCAUCGUAAUGCAGUAGUCCUCAUGGUUUGGUCCUUGUUUUAUUUUCGUUGGAAUGUAUGAGGUAAAAUGGAUUUAGUUGGGGUCUGAUAUAUAUUAUAAAAAAUUAUGUUAUAUUGAGUUAGGACAUAUUUAGUUAAAUUUAUAUAUUUUAUUCUUAUUAUAUAUUUAAUAUUUUAUCAUUGGAAAGUAAUAUAAAAUAUAAAAAGAAAGCGUGAAAUAAUGUAUUAUGAACUACAAGAAAGUGCAAAGAAAGAGAUGUCUUAAAAACAAAAAUUAAAAAGACUGUUUUAUUGAUAUUGGAUUGUUUUUUUUUUCAAAUAUCCCCAAUUAUAAUUUAAGAUAUAUAAAAUAUCUCUUGGAACUUGGUCCGAGAACAACUACAUAUUUCUCUAAAUUUCAGUUUUCUAAAAAUUGAAUCCAACUUUCUCGAUUCAAUUUAUAAGCAUAAUCAUUCCGACUCUGUUCGUAUAAUUUUCAAAAUUAUUUUAUGAUAUUUCCCCUUCAAUUUGGUCAAAACCGAAUCAAUUAAAUGUUCGGUUUCAACCUUUGAUAUUAUUAUUUCUUCCCCGCCACUCAUUCUUUACUACAAGCUUUUAUCUUGAAUUUAUUAAGCUAAUAUUAUCAGUAGGUUACUUUUAUUAAAUUCAAAAAUGUUCUAUGUCUUUGAAAUAUAUAUAGACGUCCCUCUUCUUUGAAAGCCUUUCAUCAAUUUUUAUCGAUGGAAUAUUAUAUUUGUUUUUUAUUACCCAUAACAUUUUUCUUGUUUUUUUUCUAUUAGUUAAAUUGAGUUUUGUUUAGUAUCUCCUAGUUUGGUUGUUUAUUUUGAUUUCUUGUUCUUCAUCAUAUUCGGGAUCACAAAAUGAAAAUUUCAUGGUAUUAAUUCAGUGAUAGAAUUUUAUGAUGAUACAUUUAGGAUCGAUUGCUCAAAAAAAAUAUCAUUGGAGUAAGUAUUGCAGCAUGUAAAUAUCUUUUCAAAAAAUUGAUUGAUUGCAUAUCCUAGAAAAAAAGAUUCAAUAACGAGAUGAUUAUGUGUUUGUUCAAUUCGACCACAUGUAUGGAUGUGGUAUGAUUUUUUAUUAUUAGAUUAUUUUCUUUUCUAGGAAAAAUGACUAUAAUUUUUUUAUUAAUAUUUAAUAACAAUUACUUUAUGAAGGAAUAUGUAUAUAUUUAGAAUUUUAAGGAGGCGAACUCGGCGGGAAAAACUCUCUUACUAUGUUUAUUCCAGUACUUUUAUGUAUCAAUCCGUCUCAUGUAUCAAUCCGUCUCAGUGACAGAAUUCCUCUCCUUUGUGUUUAUCUUAUUACUUUUAUGUAUUAACCCGGCGGAAAAAACUCUCUAUUGUGUUUAUUUUAGUAUUUUUAUGUAUUAAUUUGUCUCAAUGACAGAAAUUACUUUUAUGUAUUAACCGGCGGAAAAAACUCUCUGCUGCUUUCUUUUUAUUUCAAUAUUUAAAUGAAUUAAUUCUUUGGCGGUGUUAUAUGUUUAAAGGAAGGCGAUUUCUUCACCAAACUGUUAAGGCAUCAUUUCAGUGUGACAUUGGAACGAGAAUGACAGCGAAAGGUUAGAAUGUUUUGUAACAAAGCAAGCCGAUUUAGUAUAGCAAUUUGAAUAAAAUACAUCAUUUCUGAUUGGGAUGUACCAGUAAUUUAAAUUUUUGACUACUUUGAAUAUAUAAAUACUAUUGUCGCAUAUAGCCAGCGCUGUAAUCGUACAAAACAUAAUCCAGAUUUCAAAUUAGCCGAAAUUAAAAAAACAAAAUUUUAAAUUUUAUAGAUAAAUCAGGACAUGAAAUCAAGUUUAUACCUAUUUUAACGUAAAAACUAUGAUUAACAAAUAAUUUUUUUUAAUUAAUUUUUAAAAGUCAGUCGCGAUCCAUCACUGGCCCUUGAUUCUGCCCUAUUACGAUGACUAACAGCCAAACCAAUCAAAACUUUUUUUUGUUUAAAUAAAUUGUACUCUUACUCAAAAAAGAAUAAGAAAAAUAAAUUGUACUCGAGACUCUAUGAAUAUGAUAAAAUGUCUACAUUGACGGAAUAAUAUUGUGGAAUAAAUUUUAUUCGAUAUGACCGAUUCGGGUGCGGAGGAGACAUGUUAUCCCGCCACUGAACACCAAAGCAGGGGAAGAAUCUGAACUCAAGAUCUGAAUUAUGUUACUAAACACGUUAAGCAAUGAAUCAACUGGAUCAAAAGUGGCUUUAACACUUUCAAAUUUUGAAAACAAUUGAGCUGCAACGGCUAGCUGCGCUGGACCUAAUAUAAUAAGUCACGAACCAACUGACCACCGACCAUACACACUUUUCCAGCCCAUCUCCCCCACCAGGAGCCACAGGGCCAGGACCCCAUGCAAACUUUUGUUACACUUUCUAGUCCUUAUUAAAAGCCCCCUCUUCAUUCUCACUUCUCUCAAAUUGUGAAAGGCUGUGUACCAAAAUUCAACAGCCUUUCACAAAAAAAAAAUGACGAGAAAAUAUAUGAAUCCUAUUUUGCGAAAAGUCCCAGAUUUUCUAAAAAUCUCGGUUUUCCUAGCGAAAACCGUGAAAAAACCGAUUCUUCCGAGGCUUAUUGCUUUCAAGAAUUCGAGAAAACACAAGAAAGUGAGUCUGCUUCAGCAUUAUGGCUAUGGAUACGUUAAGGAGUACCAAUUCUCUCCGUCUCGCUCACCGCUUAUGAGUUAUUACAAGAGAAAGCAGUACAAGAAGAGGAGUUACAAAGAAAUGUGUUCUGUUUUGUACGUGUACAAUUGUUUAGGGAAGUUUGAAGAGGAUCACAGGGCUGAUGAAAUUUGUGAUUACUCGAUGGAUUUAAAUUUGAGGGCUUUGCCUGAGAAAGAAGCGAUGGAAUACGCAGAAUCGGGCGGCGAAGAGGAGGAGGAGGAGGAUUCUGUUGAUGAGAGGGCUGAGAGAUUCAUUGAGAGAUUUUAUGAAGAAAUAAGAUUGCAGAAGAAAGAACCGUUUUUGCAGCUUGGUGGGAUUAAUUAAGUGUAUUCGAAGGGUUGAUUUUUGUUUUGUAUUUAACAAAUAUUUUGUAUUAUUGUUUUUGUGUUGUUCUCCCCAUGUUAAUUUUGAAAUUUGGGGAGUAUAUUUCUCUUUGGUGUUUCAAUAUUAUUUUGAUUUCUUUUUUCUUAAAAUGCAAGAAAUGUUUUUGUUUGUUAUCAUGACUGUGUGGUUUAACUUAUUCUUUAUCUGCAUGAUGUGAACCAUUUUUCUUGUUCAAAAAAAAAUAAAGAAAAGAAGUAAACUUUCUAUUUAUAUUAUUCAUUUAUAUAGAAGGCGAGGAUUUCAAUGUGGGACUCAACGGGUCGAGUCAAGUUUUAGGAUGGUUGAGUGGGAUAACGAGAACGAGAAAGAGAAAGAGAGAAGGAGAGAGUAAUGAUAUUUUUACAAUUUAGUUGCUUGUAUGUUUAAAAAAAUAGUAAAUUUGUAAAAUUUUAGACAAGAUAAUAUAUUUACAAAUAAAUAUCUAAAAAUUAGUAUAUUUGUUAAAUUCCCUUUAUUAAUCAAGGUUAAAUAUGUGUUGUCAUUAUCAUGUUUGGACAAAAAAUUAUAAUUUAAAUAUUAAUUUAUUAUAAAUUAUUAAUUAAUAAUGGACUGUUUUUAAACAUAAUCAAGUUUAAAAGAAUUUUUGUAAAAAUACUACUCCCUCUGUCCCAUUUUAACUGAUGUUUGACUUUUCAACACGUAUAUUGAGGUGUAAAAAAAUAAUAUCUACACUCAAUAAAAAAAUUCAAUUUUUAUAUCAAAUAAAAGUUUAGACUCUAAACUUUUAUUUGAUAUAAAUUUUAUAAAAAAUAAUCAUGUUUAGAUGUAAUUUUUUUAACAUCUUAAAAUACGUGUAAAAAAGUCAAAAGCAGUUAAAAUGGGACAGAGGGAGUAUUAAUUUUUAAAACAAACUGCAAAAAAACUAUAUUCUUGAAAAUAUUUGCAAAAAUACGGUGGUUGCAUAUGCAACCAUAUCUGCAACUGCUAGCACCCUUAUGCAACUAGAAAUGCAACUUUGGAAUUUUUUUUUUCAAAAUUACAUUUAAUUGUAUAAUAAGUUGCAACUUGUUGCAAAAGGCAGAAAAACACCAUUGCGGGACCAAUUCUAAUAUCAACAUUGCAACCUAAAAACAAACUAAAACAACAAACUAACAAUCAACUCAAAAGCAACCUGAUGGCGUGGUUUGUGUUUGAGAUUUGUUGUGUUGAGUUGCGAGUCUAGUGUUUCUUGGCUGAGUAACGGUGUUUGAAUCUUAAUAUACACAUCGGUAAAUUCGAAAGCUAGUUCCCCAAUUUAUAAACUUAGGGUUUUUAGAGUAAAAUUGGAGUUUUGGAUUCAAUUGAUUGAUUGAGGUUUGGAUUGAGUUUGGGGUUUGGUUGUAUAGGGGAGAGAAGCCGGUCCGGGUUGGCUAUUUCGGGUAACGGGUCGUGUUCGUAUUCGUAAUCGGGUCAAUUUCGGAUCAAGCUAAAAUCACUUAAUUGAAUAAAACUGAAAAUUGAAGUUAUUAGAAAUGAAAUUCUAAUUUCGGGUCAUUUCGGGUCAAUCGGGUUAUUUUCGGGUCACUUUCAGGUUUUUGUCUUAGUAAAUCGGGUUUCGGGUUGAGUCAGGUUCGUGUCGGGUUNAUGCGGUGGCUUCCUCUUUUUGUGCCAUUUUGUGAGAGAGACGGACAACACGAAGCAGCUACAAACGUAGCAUAAGUGCCUGUUUGGGGUUGUGGUUGUCAACCACAACAGCAGCUUUUUGUCAAAAAGCCGGUACAAAGUUGUUUGGUAACGUUUCAAGCAGCUUUUUUUAACCGCGCUUUUUGUCUAAAAGCUGCUUUUACAGAAAGCAGGUAUACCCCUGCUUUUCACAAAAGCGGCUGUUGCGCCCCGCUAUUACAAGUCUUGGCAUCAAACCCUAGCACAUGCAAUUGUUUUUUUAUUAAAACAAAACAACAGAACAAGCAAUACACACUUAUGAAAUACUUUUUUAUUUUAAUCUGGAUUAUUAUUGCCCGUUAAGCAUUUAAAAUUACGUAAUACUAAAAAAUUAUUUUAUUUUAUAUUUGAAUAUAAAAAAUAAUUGAUAAGUUACUGUUGAAAAUAUUUCACCUUAAUUAUAUAGUUUUGCAAAUAGAAUAUAAUUUUUAAUCAUAAAUUUUAAUAUUACUUACUUUAUAUUUUUUUAGUGUAAUGAAGAGAUUGACUUUAAUAACUUAUAAAUGAACUUAUGAAAUAUAUAUUAUUACAAAUUAUAUAUAUAUAUAUAUUUAAUAAAACUUGUAGUACACGUAUAAAACAUUUUUAUUGUAAUAAUGUAUAGUAAACAACAACAAAUUACUUUUUCAUUAAGAUAAAUGAUAAAGCAAGCAUCAUGCAUCUUCCUUUUCCACUACUCCUACAGUGUUUUAGUUGGAUUUUGACUCGUAAUCUUAUUGUGUUUUUUUUAAAGAUAAUCUUAUAGUGUUUUAGUUUGACUUAAUUUUUAUCCUUUUUUUCUUUGUGAAAACUUAAUUAAUUUUUUAUUAUCUUAUUUUAUACAACUAUAAUUUGUUGUUCAAUAUUUGUAUAUAAAAUAAUGAAUAAAAUAUUAUUUUAUUUAUAACUAUAACUCCAAACAGCAAUUUAACAAAAAAUUUACCAAACAAUUUGUUUUCAGUUUUUACUCAAACAGCACAUUUGAAAUCAAAUUUACCAAACAGUCUCAGCUUUUAUAAACAACACUUUUUUAAACAGCACUUUUACUCACAGCAACAGCAAUUUUCAACAGCAAUUCCAAAUAGAGUUUAAGAAAUAACAAGACAGGAGACCGUAUUUGAUGACAGCGUAUUCCUGCAAUAACUUCUGAAAACACGUAUAUGGGAUAAAUUCCCAUUAAUCUGUUACUCCCUCUAUCCUCUCAUUUCUUUACGUUAUUUUUUGACAUGUUUUUCCACGCUAAUUUAAAAUAUGUUCCCUAAUAUAUUUUUUUAAUUUUUUUUCUCUAAAUAAAAGUAUGAUGUAUAGACUUUUAUUCAAGAAAAGAAUUUAUUUUUUUUAAAAAGCUAUGAAACUAUGUAUAGUCUCAAAAUUCGUACGUAAACUAUUCAGAGGGACUGAGGGAGUAUUACUUAAUCAAAAUUUUAAUAUAUUAUAAUCACACAUUCAUAUAGUAUUCUAAUUACACAUUCAUAUAAUAUUUUAAUUUAACUAUAUUUGUUUACGAGGAUCUUCAAAGCCUCUUAUCAUCAGAAUCAUCUGCUUAUUUACUAUAUUUUAACUAUCUAUGGACCUCAAAAUUGAGGUGGGAUAACUUCUAACAAAAUGAAAAAAUUAUAGGUAUUAAAUUUUAAAUUUACAUAUAUUAAAUCAACUAGUAAGUUGAAAAUUGUAUGUAUCCUAAAGAGAACACUAGUGAAUGUAAGUUUUUAAUUGUUAAUACUAUACUCCAUGCAUCCCAAAUUAGAUGAGCUAGUUGACUUUGGGCAUGCAACUUAAGGUGCAUUGACCGUUUAGUUCCGAAAUUAAUUUUUUUAAUUUUUCUUUUGUAAAUGAAAAUUUCAUAUUUAAAUUUUUAUUUGCAAAAAUAAAAUUUAAAAAUAAAUAAUAUAGCUAUGCGGUCAAUGGAUUUUAAAGUGCGUGCCCGAAGUCAACGAGCUCAUCUAAUUUGGGAUGGAGGGAGUAAUAUUAAACAUGUUAAAAAUAUUACAUUUGAUAUAAAAAAUAUAAAAUGACAUGUAUCAUAUUGUACUAACGGGGGUGUAUUCGAUUGGGAUUUUAAUGGAUUGUUUUUAGUCUAUGGAUUUUAAUGGAUUGUAUGUGAUUUUGAUUUUGUGCGGAUUGUUGAUCAAAUGUCGCAGAGUUUAUAGGAUUUAAGCACAAUGCUUCAAAAUCCCAUUGAUUUUGGUGGGAUUUCAAAAAACUUAAAAUACACUGAAGAAUGUCACAAAAUCCACCAUUUUAUGAAAUGAAAAAAAAUCCAUCAGCAUUUGAAUACCAUCAGAUUUUAAUGGAUUUUAAACAAUCCCAAUUGAAUACCUCAAGAUUUUAAUGGAUUUCAAACAAUCCCAAUCGAAUACCCUCGGAUUUCAUGAAUGCAAAAAAAUGGUUUAAAAUCCCAAUCCAAUACACCCCUCUAAAUAUAUUUUAAGUGAUUAUAAUGUAGAUCUUGUCAUCUUGCAAAAAGCAGGGCAGGGAAAUGGGCUGUGCGACAUCGAUAAGGUUAAAUCAUAAAUGUCCUCUAAACUGAUGGCAUACUUAUUGGCCGUUUGGCUAAACUUAAAAUAAGUGGCUUCUUGUUUAAAAUAAAAAAGUGGAGUAGAAGUGAAAAAUAGAAGUAAAAUUUUUAAACUGUUAAGUGUUUAGUUACUUUUGAACUUCUAAUUUUUUUCGGAGAAGAAGAAGGAAAGAAGCUAGAACUUCUAGCUUCUCAACUUCCACUUCUAAAAUCCAAAAUAAGCCAGUUGCUUUUUUUCCCAAACAGGGAUGUAACUUCUUAACCCAACUUCCGCUCAAAAGAAGCUCCUGGCUCCCAAACACCCCAUUGGUUUUCGCUGAAAUGGAUACCACAGCUACGAAAUGGGCCGUCUGGGACUCUGGGGAGGACACUGGGCGUCGAAAAAGCCUGUAAUAUACCCCCCAACUUAAAAUCUGUAUCUGUAGAGGAGAUUAGUAAGGAUAUAUGAAUAGAAGAAGUUGGCCCAAAUACAUACAAGGUUACAGAUAUAACAAAGUUAAUGACAGCCCUUUUAGACCGGUAUACAUCCAAUUAUCCAAGGUUGCCUGAUGUGUUCAAAUCCACUUUGGUUUAAAAUCUUUAAGAGCCCCCAAUUAAUUUAAAAGAUUAUUUAUGUAUUGGACAAAAUAAAAUUUAAUUUUGGAAAAAAAGGACACAGAUAAAACACUUCUUCCGUCCCUUUUUAGUGUCACAUUUCUAUUUUUGUUGGUCAGAUUAACUAAAUUUUGACCAAAGAUUAUAAGUUACUCUCUCAUUAUUUUAAAAAACUGAAAAUUACAUAUUAAAGUAUAUUAAAAGUUAUUUCUGAUAACAUAUUUUUUUUAUUUUAUUAAUUGAUAAAAUAUUAAUACAUUUCAGUCAAAUUUUAGUCAAUUUGACCGGCAGAAAAUCAGAUGUGACAACUAAAAAAGAACGUGGGAGUAAAACAGAAGUAGUUUAAAUACUCCGACUUCCUCACUCUCGGGAAUUGCAGAAAUCAAUCUUCCGAAUACAUAUUCCCAGGGAUGAGAAGGUAAAUAAUUGCCUUUCCGGAAAUGAGUUCUAAAUAAGUUCUCAUUUCGGAGAGAGAGAAUAUAGCCGUACUAUGCCAAAAAAUAUAUCUUUUCUUUUAUAUCCGUCAUAGGUGUGUUGUGAACAGAUUAGAUAAAAAUAGAUUUAUUUCUGAAAAAAGACCUGGAUAUCAUAAUUUAAAUUUAAAAUGUCUUGAAUAACAUAUUUUAAAAAAAAAAUGAUCCAUAACUAGUGUUGGGUUAUAAGAAUAAAACGUUAUACCACGCAGCGUUAUGAAGAUGACGUUACAACCUAAUUCCUAACAUUACAUUAUGUAGCAUUAGUUUUUUAGAGUUUAAAUGUGUUUUGAUUAUGUGCUUGGGCUGAAAUAAGUGAUAAACUGUAGCGUUUUUAAAAAAAAAUUGAAUGUUACAUGAUCUAAUGUUAUAAAGUAAGAUUUGGGAUCAUAUUUUUUUAAAUAUGAUUAUUUAAGACAUUAUUACUUUAAACUGUGAUACUCAGAGCCAAUGCCCUUUAUUUCUCCGCUAAUACACUGUGUCUUGUUAUCUAAUUUCAUUUAUUGGUUUCCGCUUAAAGUCACUUGUGGAUUCGACAGAUAUCUUAGGGGCGGUUUGGUUGGGUUUAAAAUAAAUGACUUAUAUUGUUUAAAUUGAAGAAGAGGAUUAUAAGUGAGAAGUUGAUUUGGACUUAUAAACUAUUAUAAGUGUUUGGAUACCGUGACUUAUAAGCUUUUAAGUGUUUGGAUAACUUACUUAAAAAUUGGUAUAAUUUCGUAGUUUUGUAAUAUAAUUAUUUGAUAUUUACGAUAUAAAUUGAAAAAAGUUGAUGAAAAUAUUACAUUAGAUUUAUAUUUAUAUUAUAUAAAAAAUUGGUUUUUGGUUUGCUUUGUCUCCCAUUAAUUUUAUAUUAUAUAAUAUUAAUAUUUAUAUUAUAUAAUAUUUAUAUUAUAUAAUAUUUAUAUUAUAUAAUAUUUAUAUUAUAUAAUAUUAAUAUAUUUUCAUAUAAUUGAAGACAAAAGUCUUAAAAAAAUUCUUUACGUUUAAUUACCACCUAAUAUUUGGAUUGAAGAUAUCAUGAAAUAGGCAGCUAUCAACAUAAAUAAAAAAAUAAACAAAGCAAGCCAAUAGGAGGAAGCGCCAACUAAGAGAAGCAGAAGUUGAGCUUUAAGAAAAGUUAGGUUUUGUAGCUUCUUUUCUGGAUCUUUUUGCUUUUAUUAAGUGCUUCAUUUCUUUUACCAAACCGCCAACAAAAAAGGGAAAGUGGGUUUCUUGGCUUUUAAGCCCAGAAGUUUCAUUCCCAAACACCCACUUAAUAAGGGAUCAUAUUUCAUGUUGAUACAGAAACAACUAGUUGAGAAGCCGCGCGUUGCGGCGGCCUAUAAAAAUUAUAUUAAUGAUUCAAUAUUAAUAUUAGUAGAAUGUAAUAAUUUUGCGGCUGUCUAUAAAAAGUAUAUGAAUGAUUAAAAAUUAAUAUUUGUAGGAUAAAAUAAAUUUUAUAUUAUAAAAAUCUUGAUGUAAUACCAAUACUAAUAUAUAAAAUUGCAAAAUGGGACUAUAAUUCAUGGUGAAAAAAUAAAAAUAAAUUUCUACACGUAAUUAACAAUUUAAAGCACGACGAAUCUUAAUUUUAUUUGUGUUUUUUUAAAAAAGUAAUCAUAUUCUUACAUUGUCACUUUCCUUCAAUUUUUUGGACUGAUUGUGCAGAAAAACAUCUAACUUAAAUCCGUUCGAUAGUGGUUUAUAACUACCCUGGCUUGUAACAACCUUUAUUUUUUUAAUACUGUAUAAACAACUUUCACUUAAAAGUUGCUUGAACGGAGCAAAUACAUAAUGCAUGAAUAAUAUUUUCCAGUAUACAAAGUAAAUCAUAUAAAAUUAAUUAACAACAACAAACAUGUCCGAUGAACAAAACAAAUAUUAUAAAAAAAUAACUAACAAAUACAUCACUAAUAGUUAAUUUAUUGAUAUCAUCCAUCAAAAUCAUGUCAAGACUAUAUUAUUCACCCGUGUUUGGAUUUGUCGACUCCCACAUAGCGGUCUAUAACUACCUUUGCUUGCAACAACCUUUAUUUUUUUAAUACUGUAUAAACAGCCUUCACUUAUCGUUGCAGCAGAAGAGACCUUACUUUGCGAGAGAACCAAGAGACUCAAUCUCAACCUUUGAUUACAUCUGUAUACUCUUAACAGGCUCAAGGGCACGCUUGUCAACCUGAUGUGCAAAAUACUCUGUGCUAUUCUUUCCCAUAACUAUAUAAUCUGAAACAAAAUCAGAUUAAAACCUUCAAGCUGCUAUAUUCCGUAAAUAAUCUAAAACAAAAUCAGAUUGUGAAACUUGCUUCUAAUAUAUCCGAAACUAAAAAAAGAUAGCUCUAAUUUUUGAUAUUUUUCAUCUGAAAAAUCCAGAAAAUCGGAAAAAUAUAACAGAGCGAUGUGAGAGGCGCCACAUACACGCCCCUCACUUCCCUUUUAUAUAAGUACUGCCUCUGUCCCUCUCAUUUAUUUACAGUUACUAUUUUGAGAUGCUCUCUCAUUUAUUUACAUUACUAUAAAUAGUAAGUUUUUCUAAUCAUUACACCCACUAUCUUCCCCUACUAUCUCAUAUAUUUAAUAAUAAAAAUCACUAUUACACCCACUACUUUCCUCCACUAUCUCAAAUCUAUUAUUAAAUAUUGAUAGGUCCCACCACUUUAUCCACUUUUCAUCUAACUUUACUCAUUUUUUAUACAUUGUCUUGGUCUCCGUGUCCCCCUCCAAUGUAAACAAUUGAGGGGGACGGAGUCACGGAGGGAGUAUAUUGAUGAUUGUUCAUACCGCACUCAUACGUAUAUGCAGCCUCAGGAUUAGGCCUGUCAAUGGAGCGAAAUCCGAUCCGAGAUCAUUUUAGCGGAUAUGGAUUUGAUUAAAAAAAAUUCGAUCCGAUUAAAAAAAUCCGUUAAAAAAUUAAUGGACCGGAUAUGGAUUUAGGGUGAUCCGAUCCGCUAAUAACCCGAUCCGGUCAAUAUAUAUAUAUAUAUAUAUAUAUAUAUAUAUAUAUANNNNNNNNNNNNNNNNNNNNNNNNNNNNNNNNNNNNNNNNNNNNNNNNNNNNNNNNNNNNNNNNNNNNNNNNNNNNNNNNNNNNNNNNNNNNNNNNNNNNNNNNNNNNNNNNNNNNNNNNNNNNNNNNNNNNNNNNNNNNNNNNNNNNNNNNNNNNNNNNNNNNNNNNNNNNNNNNNNNNNNNNNNNNNNNNNNNNNNNNNNNNNNNNNNNNNNNNNNNNNNNNNNNNNNNNNNNNNNNNNNNNNNNNNNNNNNNNNNNNNNNNNNNNNNNNNNNNNNNNNNNNNNNNNNNNNNNNNCAAAAACAAAGUUGCGCAGAACCCUAACACAACGAGUGCAGCAGACAUGGAUACAAGAAGGUUUGUUCUUGAGUUAUUAAUGAAAAAAAAUAAGUAUUCUGCAUACUUUUUUUAUUAUACGAAUCAUUGAGGGAACUCUAAAAAGAAUCGCGUAUCUUAUUUUCUUGUGUAUCAUAUGUGCAGGCAUGAGAGAGCCAUAUGUGCAGGCCUGGAGGUGAAGAAAUCGCAGCAAAGAUACUUUCAUAAUGGUUUUAUUAGAAUCAAAUAAAUGUUAGAGAGAGCACUUAAUAGAAUUAUCUUUCAUUAUAGUGUUUCUUAAUGGUUUUUUUCAUAGGCAAUGUGUUUUUGUUUGGCAGAAUUGCGAAGCAAGUUGUGAGAUUCCACCAUUGGCAUUAACCAUGUUUGGGAUUAAUGAUGUCACUAUCAUAUGGAUCAGUAAUUAUAUUUAUCUUGCCUCCAUUGCCACCUUCGAUUGGAUAGCCAAACCAAAAGAUUUAUGAUCAAUCAUCUUCUUGUGUCAUUAUACUUUUUUGUUAACCUAUAUAACUCGCUUUCCAUAAAAUUCAUGUAGAAGAAAAGAUACAGAUGUUGUACCUAAGUUAUCUGGUGUUCUCAAAUUUUUUAACGGCUUGGAGGUUUGUUCUUGGAUUCUUGAUUGUAUUCCAUCUAUAUUGGAUGUUAAAUUUUGAAUUCUUAAGUGAACACUUUUAAAAACAUAUCACCGUUUAAAAAAAGCUUAGUACAACAUAUAUAUUACACUAAGAUUUCAAUAAAGAACAUGUUGAAGAAUUUCACGGAAUUUAAAGUAAAAGAACAUAUUAUUCAAAAAAUUAUUUAACGUUUUAAGUAAAGAAUUCGAGUACUGUAGUUUAUAGUACAAAGAUAUUUAUAGUCAAUAUUAAUUAACAUUAAUUAUGAGUAAUGAAAAUUGAAACGUACGUAUCUAUUUAUACUUAAAAAAAGAGAUUACAUUACAUUAUGGCAGUACUUGUUGAUUUUAAGAUAUGUAAAUAUUCAAGACUCUUCAUAUUUUUGGUAAUGAAUUGAUUACAAAUUUUAUAUUUUUGGUAAUCCAUUAAUGUCGGUGUAUAUUAUGUUUCAAUUAUAUAAAUCUUUUAUAACUCAUACGAUAUGUUGUCUUUUAUGAGCUAAACCUCCAACUCAUUCAAGAAAAAAAANGAAUCUUUUAUAACUCAUACGAUAUGCUGUCUUUUAUGAGCUAAACCUCCAACUCAUUCAAAAAAAAAAAGAAAUCUCACGACAUGAUUCAUAGAUUCUUUAAUCUACUAAAUAAUAUAAUAUUGAUAUAUGUAGAUCAGUUAAAGAACUCAAAAUAAUUAUAAUAUAUUUUGGUAGAAUAUUAAAAUUAUAUUAAAUUUAUAGAACACUUACUUGAAUAAAGUGUUAAAAAAUUAUAUAUAGUGAAACAUUUAAAUAAACACUCAAUAGAACCUUAAUAGUGAAAUACUAACUUAUUUCCACAAGAUUCUUUAGGGUGUUCUACUAACUUAUUUUCACAAGAUUCUUCAAGGGAACCAUAAAUAUUUUAUAUUCAAAUAUCUUGUUUUAUUAAGGUGGUUGAAGAUGACAAGAUAUGAUUAGAAGAUUCGUUAAGGAGGGUUAAUAAUUAAACAUUUUUGUUUGAUUUAAAUUGAAUUCCUACUUUAAUAAUUUUCAAAUACAUGAUAAAAAUCAAUAAUCCCUUUAACAUCUGUUGAAAGUAGAUAAUAUAUUUUUUUAAUAUUUAAGAUAUUGACGUUAGUAAAUUUUUUCAAAUAAAUGUUUCAAUAGGUAUUCAAAUUAAUGUUUAUUAUUAUUAAAAAUGUGAAAAAAAUUUCUGGACUUUUUGAGAAUUUGAAUAGAGAUUUGAAAAUUAGUAUUAAAGAUGUAACGUUUUAUUUUAUAUGGAGAUUCCAUAACGUGUUUGUGAAAGUGAUAAAAAUAAUUAUAUUUUAAUAUUAAAAUAAAAAAAAAUUAAAAUUACAAUAAUAUCAAUAAAGUUUUACUUGUAAUAUCCGCAAAAUCUCUUGUAUUUAUUAUUAUUAUAAUUUAAGAGGAAAAUCUCAUUCUUUUCAUUACCGUUAUAGUAUAUUUGACCUAUUAAUUUAUAUCUUUUUAAUUUAAAAUUACUAACUUAUUUUUACAAAAUUCUUUAAGGUGUUUCUUAGAUACAUGAUAGUAAUUUCACGAUCAACUAUCUUGUUUUAUUAGAACUUAGAUGAAAAGGUAUAAAUAUUUUAAAUUAUUUCAAUAAGAUUAAUAUUAAUCCACGAGUUCUCGACCAGUGUAAAAUAUCUUAUUGAAUAAUUUAUAUUUUCAAAUUUAUUAUUUGUUACUAAUUUUAUAGAUAUUCUUUAAGAUGUAACUUAGGCAUACAUUUGUGUUUUAUUUAAUUUUAGAUGGUAUAUUCAAAAAAAAGAAAAAAUCAUUAAGUCUCCAGCGUGUCAAGUGUGCGAUAUCUUUAUAGAUUAUUUUACAUACUAAUUUAAAAUUUUCAGAUAUUUAAUUCAAUAUGUUAUUUUGCAGAGAUUCUUUAACAUGUUACGUAGCCAUAUAAUAGAUAUACAUGGUUGUGUUUUUUUUAAAAUUUACUAAUAAAAAUUUAUUAUUUUGAUUAGUAUAGAGAUUCAUUAAGGUGUUCUCAAAUUUAUAAUAGAAAUAUAAAUUAUGUAAUUAAAAUAUUGAUAUGCAUGGUGUUCGACUAAUAUAGAAUCUCUAUAAGAACACUAAGGAGAAAUAAAACACCUUAAAGAAUCUUGUGAAAUUAAGUUAAUAAUUUAAUAUAAAAAAGUAUAAAUUAGUCAUUAGUCAGUGAAAAUAUAGUAAUAAAUACAAGAGAUUUUACAGAUAUUACAAGAACUCAUUGUUAUCAUUGUAAUUUUUUUAAUAUUAAAAUUUAUUUAUUCUUAUCACCAUUAUGAACAUGUUAUGGAAUCUCGAUAUAAAUUAAAACAUUAAAUCAUUAACAGGAACCUUUUCAAUUCUCUACGUGAAAUUCUUAUCGUGUUUCUAAUGAACACCUUAGAGAAUCUUGUGAAAAUAAGUUAUUAGGUGUUUUCUUACCCCUAAUAAAUACGUUAAGAUUCUACUAAAGGCUUUAUUAGGUGUUUGUUAGGUGGUCAUAUAUAAUAUAUUAAUUUGUUAUUUUACUUUUUCAAAUAAAAUAGAAUUUAAUUUAAAAUAAUUUAGUUAUACAUUAACAAAGAUUCUAUAAUGCAUUAAACUUUCUAUAUAAUGAGAAUCGAAAAAUAUUAAAUUAGCUUAAUGAAACACUUAAGAGAAUCCUAAUAUAACAUUCUUUACUAAAGAGUAAUAAACUAAAAUUAGUAAAACACAAUAAAAUAUUUUAGAUACUCAUAUGUGUUCUAGUGUGUGUUCGAUAUUCAGUUUAAAAUUGAUACUUAUAAUUUUACAAUAAAUUAUCUAUUGUGUUCUCGAUAUUCUAUCACAAUAGAAUAUGUGAUGACUGAUGAAAUCAUAAAGGAAAGCCAUUACAUGUGUUAUCUAAACAAUAUAAUUAAUAAUCUUUAUAUGCAUACUGCUCAUAUAUGGAAACUAAAAUGUCAGAGCGUGAAACAUGUAAACAAUCUUUGACACAAUCUUUUAAGGGAGAAUAAAUUAUAUUCGAAAUCAACUUAUUAAGGGAAACAAUAUGUGAUGACUGAUGAAAUCAUAAAGGAAAGCCGUUACAUGUGUUAUCUUAACAAUAUAAUUAAUAAUUUUUAUAUGGAUACUGCUCAUAUAUGGAAACUGAAAUGUCAGAGCGUGAAACAUGUAAACAAUCUUUGACACAAUCUUUUAAAGGAGAAUAAAUUAUACUCGAAAUCAACUUAUUAAGGGAAAUAAUAUGUGAUUGCUACAAAAAUAACGUCCGUAUAUGUGUAUUUGUAGNUUAUUCCCAAGAUAUAUUUAUAUAUAUUCUUGGUUUUGUUUUAGGACUCUGCUUGUCUGCUUAUAGUAAUUGUGCUCCCGAGUAUAUGAUAUAUGAAAUUUGGAGUGUUCAGAAUGUAGCUCUGCGUUUCAUAUUGAUCAACUUCAAUCUUCUGUCAGUGGCUAUAUGUUUUAACUCUUUUAUUAAAUACUAAAUGUUGCUGUUAUAAUGCUCAGGUAUAUAUGAAUGUAUUACCGAAAGUCUGAAAAACUAAUAUUUUAGGUGUUUAAAUACUAAUCUCAUCAAUCACUAACUAAACAAAAAAUAAUGUAAUUAUUAGCUUGUAAAGCAAAAAAGAUAUAAACACAUAAAAGCACAGGAGAUAGAAAUGAAUAUAUAGUUGCAGUCAGAGUACUUUCCGCAGCAACAAAUAAAUUUUAACAUUGUUAUUUACUUGUUUUAUUUGUAUUUUAAGUAAUGUUAAAGGCAUUUAAAAAAAAAAAAUCUAAGUAGUAAGUAAAUGGAUUGGAUAUCCGAUCCGAGAUCCGUGAUCCUAAUGGAUAUGGAUAUGGAUCGGCUUAAAAAAAAUCCGGUCCCGAUCCGAUCCGAAUCCAAUAAAAUAAAUGGAUAUGAAUUUAGGUCGAUCCGAUCCAAACCUGAUCCAUUGACAGGUCUACUCGGGAUAACAGAACCAUACGCUAGAUAAAAAUCCGUUUUCCCUCUUGAACUGAAAAAGUGACAGUAAGAAAUUAAGCUUUCGUUUUGUGCCUCCAGUACUUUUGAAAAUAUCUAUUUAUUGAAUGAAAAAGAACGAACUCUUUCCCGAAGAUAAACAAACUGCUCCUCAGUCCUCCGUUUCAAAAUAAUAAUGCCAUUAUUUUAAUUUGAUUUAGUCAACUUAACAAAAUUGUAACCAACAAUUACACAUAUUAUAUCAUUAAGAAAAUAUAUUUGAUCUAUUUUAAAUGCCUUUUCUAUUUUUGAAAAAUUAUAAAAGAAUAGAUUACGGUAAUAUUCACAUCGACUGGAAUGAGAAGUUUUGUGUCCUUUACAAAUACUAGUGAUGUGCAUGGUGUGGUUUGGUGCGGUUUGCACCUAAAACCGCAACCGAAACCACGACGUGCGGUUUCUAAAAUUUAAAAUCGAAACCGCACCAAAUGUCAUUGGUGCAGUUCGGUUUAUAAAAUUAUCGGUUUCAGUUUUAUAUGGUGCGGUUCGGUUUUCAAACCGUGAGGGGAGUUCAAAAAAUCUUGAUCUUUGACAAGUUCAUAAUAAAUAUGUCAAAAAUAGUGAUAUAAUUAAAUAACGGAAGAGCUUAACAUCACUACAAGCUACCAGUUUUAUAUACUCAAUGUUUUCUCCUUAACAAGCAGUGAACAUUUAUGAUAUACCAAUUACAACCAGACCCCUACAGUGCGUACACUGAAGUUCACUUCUAACAAUACUACUUCUUUAACAUUGACUCUGUAUAAAAAUUUAAUUACUUGUAAAAUAUAGAUGUAUGGGAUAAUGUCUUUGUACAUUCUCCAUGAUAUGUGAUUCUGCAAGUGGCUAUCAAUGAGAGUUGCUUGGUAGUAGUUUAAUCAGGCUUUUAGAUUGAGAUUUAUAAAUUCAAACAUGACAAAUAACUCACAAACAUGCAUUAUAUUUGACUUAUUAGAUCAACUAAUAUACAUAAUUAUAUAUUUUAUAAUAUAUACAUAUAUAUUAUAUAACUUAUAUAUUAUAUUUCAAUAUAUACAAUAAAUUAAUAAUUAUAAAAAUUAUUGCGGUUCGGUUCAGUUUUUAUUCGGUUUUAAAAUUUUGAAAACCACAACCAAAGUAUCGGUGCGGUUUUUAUUCGGUGCGGUUUCUAUUUGGUGCGGUUUUAUACAAUUUUUAUGGUUUUUGGUUCAGUUUCGGUUUGCGGUUCGGUUUCUGCUCAUCCCUAUCAAAUACAACUCAAUAACUCAAUAAGUGAUCUGUACUAAUUUGCUAGCCUUUUUAGAAUCGUGAUAUUUUUUAGUUGUGGUAUGAGUUCAGCUGUGGACUUGCAUCCCCUUUAUAAUUACAAAUCAAUAACUAAUGUGUAACAAUUUACCAACAUUUUUGGGUGACAAUUAAAAAGUCAAACAAAAUUAUUAUUUUCACAUCGAGGGAAAAUAAUAUUCCUAAAAAAACCAAUGUCCUGCUCACUCACACACAUCUCUACCCACUCAAACUCGAAUUCUCAGCCCUACAACAAAGGGAGUGAAUGAGUUAUUUCUGGAGUAUAGCCCCAUUGGAAGGGAAGACUGAAAUUGGAAGUUGUGGCACAUGCUAAAAGAUGUAGUUGGCUGUCUGGAGGCUGACACUAGAAUUUUCAACGGCAAACUUUUAGCGAUGACAUUUCUGUUCGACACUUUGCACUUCGAGUUUUCACAUUAAUUGCAUGUACUAGAUGAAAUAACUUAUAGCUCUGUCAUCAUUCAUGUCGGAAACUCAAAACCAAAUGCACCUGAACUGAAAAUGACCAUGCUCAAACUGAGGGACCUUGUAUUUUUUAGUUCGAAUGUCCUCAUCAAUGUUGGAAGUUUUAUACGUAGCAUGUCACAUGGUUAGGUUUCAAGUACUAGAACUUUAUACUUCGUGUGGGACUUUCUGAUUCCUUAAAAUGGCGAUAUGAAAGGUGAGAGACUUGUCAUUAUUUUGGACAACAACGGGUCUGGUUGAUUAUACUUGGUCAGAAGAUGCAACCACUGGUAGCCUCUUACGUUUCUUGAAGAUAAGGUGAUCGAUUAGACAUCUCGAAAUCGCAAGUUGCGGAUGGAACAGUACGGAUCAAAUUCUGAGUCUUUUUUGGAGAUCGGAAUAAGUCCUGAAUUCAAAAAUAAUUCAAAAUAUACCGACACAAAUAUAACAAUUUAAGUAAUCCACGAGCACGACAAAUGUUGCGAAAAGAUCAUGAUUUGUCAAUAUAAUUGAUAAUAAUAUUUAUACUUAUAAACUAAACAAAUAUCUUCAUUUUUCUUAACAUGCGACUAGAGUAUCAUAAAUUCCCACUUAAAUUCUUGACGUUCUUGUUAUGCCGAAACGGACAGCUCAUAGGCUCAUAUUAUACCUCUCUAACUAUUGUGCAAUAGUACGCGUUAGCUUUAUGUUCUUACCUCCGAACUAUUGUCAUUAUGGAUAAUACCAUCAAUUUUUGUGUCUCCAGAUCCGACAAUGUGAUUAAUCAAACUUUUGAGUUGGCUCUAAUAUCAUAUAAAUUCCCGAGUUAACUCCUGAGUCAUUUUCGACGAUCGGAUUAAGUCCCAAUUUUAAAAUUUAUAAAUAAGUCGAAAUAUAAUGAUCUAAAUAUAACAACUUGGAUAGCACAUAAGUCCUCAAAAAUUAGGAUUUGUAGGUACAAUCAGGUUAUAGUAUUUAUGUUUACAAACUAAACAUAUGUCAGGAACAUUCUCGAUAUUGCGGCAAUGAAUUUAGUUUAUUAUGAGUAAGAACAACAUCGUAUUAUAAAUUUAAUAAAAACAGUGUUAUGAUAUAGAACAUUAUUAUUGUGUAUAAAUUCUUACAAUACGUCUUGUUAUCAAAAUUAUAAUAUAAUUAAAUUAUAUUAAGAAAAGAAAUAAUAUGAGAAAUUGAUGGAUUAAAAUGGAGGGGAGUGAAUUUCUUUAUUAACAAAAAUAUCUAGAAAAUGUAGAGUGACACUUCAAACAAGACAUAUAUGAGAUGGUUUGCUAUUCUAAAACAAUAUUAGAACAUGUUUGGCUCCGUUUAAAUUUAUGAUUUAUAAUUUAAUGCGAUUUAGUAUGAUAAGCUACUAGUUUAAUGUUAUUUGAGUAAUUUUGAUUUAUCAAUAAAUUAUGAAUUAUUAAAAAUAUAAAAAAGUGAUUUAUGAUAUCAAACUUCUAAAAAAAAUUAAGUUAGUGAAAAAGAAUAUCUCAAACUAACUUUUAAAUUAAAGCUGGACUUAUAUCUGACUUUAAAUUAGUUUCAAAUUUAUGACACAAGUAUAAUUUUUAAAUUUAAAAUUAGAAACAGUUUUAAAUUUUAAUUUAAAAUAGGAGCAAAAUAGAAGUCCAGGAAAACAGUUUGUUCCCGCAGAUAUCCUAAAUUUUAGUUGAGAAACACAUUUGGACUUGCUCUCAUGGGAUUUAAAUAUGAAAACCAACUGGUAGGAUUCUUUUCUAUAAUUUUAAACAACAAAUAUUUAUAACACUAUUCAAAUCAAAAACCUAUUAAGUUUAGUCAUACUUAAUUAAAUAUGAAAAACAACAAAGCUGGUAGGAUUCUUCUCUAUAAUUUUAACAAGAAAUAUUUAUAACACUAUUCAAAUCAAAAACCUAUUAAGUUUAGUUUUAUUGUUACAUAUUUAAUAAAUUAUGAGUUAUUUAUAUUAAUUUAAAAAUUUAUUUAAAAUGAUUUUAAAUUAUAAUUCAUUAAUUUAAUUUGAUCGCAGCUGGUCAAUAUAGCGGAAAGUCAAGUUAACUAGCAUCACCUAAGCGUCAACUGAGGGUUUGUCUUGUGUUCUUUAUUUUGUGCUCAGUAGUAGUUAUCUUCUGUUUAACUCUCUCUGGUCUCUAUCAUCAUCAAUCAAUUGCACAGUUGUACAUUAUUAAAGUUUUGAGCAAGCAAGUAUGCGAAAAUUUUGUACAAGCUUAUCUUGGUCGGGCGGGGAAAUGCUAUACUUGUAUCCGGCUAUCCGGAAUAGAUUAGUGGAUAUUUUCAAUUUUUGCGUUUAAAAGGUGCCCGUUAAUAUCAAUUUUUUCAAAAAAUGAUGAUUAGAUUUUGUUUUCUCUAUUUUGAAUAAUGACUCAUUUUCAUGUUAUUAUAAAUUAAUAGGAGUCAUUUUUAGGCGAAGAUAAAAUUUGAAUAUAUUAGAUUUGAACAUUUGAAUAUGUGUUUUUAAAAUUUAGCGUAUAACGCAAUCACAACUCUUUAAUUAUUUCAGGUAUUUUUGCUUGUACAUGGGCGGCCAGAUUCUCACUCUACAUGAAAUUGAUAGUUUUAUAAAACAUGAUCCAAUUGAAUUAAAACUAUUUUUUUUUUUUUUUUGGUUUUUCGUAAAUUUAACUUUAGAACAGAAAGUUUGAAAAUCCUGCCUUAAUUUUAGAAUCAUAUUUGAUGGCCGUAGUAAUUUUAGCAGAGAUCCGUAACCGUCAUGGUUAUCUUUUUUUUGAGGCUGUGUAUGGUGCUUAACCUUUUCAUGGGUUGCUUCGUCCUUAUUUAUACUGUGAGAAGAGGCUGCUUGGCGGGUGAGUGGGCUAAUCUAAUACAUAAGCAGCUGAGGCGGAUAGGCUAUGCGGUACAGGUGGAAGUUAGUCUAGAAUUUUGAGGAUGACAUGGUAUUAGAACGAUUGCCACGUGUCCAGCUACUUAAGGUACGUUUAGACAGCAUAGUGCUUACAAGUAGCUGGGUCACUUGUUAUGAUUAGGCUUGCAAUCCUUCGGAGGGACUUUGAAGUUCUACGGGUGGAUCCCAUAAGAAAGCUCAAGAGCCUACGGGUUUAAAAGCCAUCAGUGCUUGAGGGUGACUAGCUAAGUGGUUACAAGGAGCUCGGUCCUCUGCUUAAGUGAAGCUUUCGGUCCAUUUGGGAGGAGAUCAUAGCUCUUGGGGAUGGACACCAUGGGCAAGCCUAAAGGUUUAUAGGGUUGGGAGUGACAAACUCUAGGGGUGUUUAUAAUCCUACGGAUUCAGGAGCCAUCAAUAUUAAAUAAAUGAAGGAAAAUGUUCACCUAAAUCAGUGAAACGUGCUUAAAUGAGAAACCAUUCCCGUAUUCUAAACUUACACAACUGAAAAUCUCGGGCAUAGAUUCAGGACCGACUAUUGAUUGAACGUGAUAACAAAGUGUAACAUAACUGACAUGUUAUUCAGUUAACUUUUUCAUCAAAGUUCAUGAAUUCAUGGGAGUAUAUCAAACUAAAGAUCGCAUAUGUCGAAAUUUAUAGAACUGUUAGGGCCGGUGACCCCCACUUAAGUUGCAAUGUCCCUAGCUAGAUCCUUACCUAGCUAGUCUAGUCUUCAAGCUUUUAGCUCGAAGUUUUAUUUCAGGUGGUUUUUCGUUGACCAUUUUUUCUUUCUUUUCAGGAUAUAAUAUCAUCAUGUUUUUUUUUUAAACUUUUUGGUAUAAAAAAUUGAAUCAAACCUAUAUAUUUUUUAAAUCAAUUUUAUAAAUAUGAUCAAACGGUAAUUUACUUUCUUUAAAAUGAAAAACAACUUAUAUCUAAAUUUAAUUCAGUUCAAUUAUAUUUUAUCAUUAUUCCACUAAUCAAUGCAUCAUAGUUCGCCCAACUGAUUAAAUAUCUGAUUAUUCAAUUAAUUAACGAUCAACGAUUCUUAUCUUUUACAACAGUGUAUUUCAUAAAUAAAAACUAAAAAAACUACAUUAAAAUCACAAUAAUGUUCAUUAACAUCAGCUUCUCAACAGCCGAAGCUAAAGCCAUAAGCCGAUUACUAGAGCUGUUACAUUCUUAUAACUACCCUAGACGCUACACUAGCUAGUGGCUAAUGGUCCUUAUUCAUGAGCGGCUGGGGCCAAGCUGAGUUGCAGAUCCAAGCCGCAAGAAUCAUCAAAGCCUGGCCCACCAUUGCCUCUAGAAAACCUACUCAGUGAGGGCCCAUUAUUAUGGGCUCGUCCAAUCCGAGGCCCAGCUGGCAUCAACGUUGACUCCGCUACAUUGCCACCGUACGGUAAGCUCCCUGCACCCCUCAUCCCAAAUGCUGACGUGGACGUGGAAGAAAACACACAACCAUGCGAAACCGGAAACGGAGGGACGGCGCGUGGCAUGUACGCCCAAGGCGGAGACUCCAUAGGAGGUGGUAGUAGAUGGGCGGGUCGCGUGAAAGCCGACACGAUAGGGUUCCUCAUGUACGUAACGGCCGCGUUACGUGUAGCUUGCAUUUGAGCUCGUUUGAGCUCUUGUCUCUCUUUUUUGUGAGCAUUUUGGUGACCACCUAGGGCUUGUGAGUUGGCGAAUUCACGACAACAAUAUUGGCACUCGAACUUGUGAUUUGUCGGAAAAUUGCUCGAGUCCGAGGAAGCGGAGUGUGUGUUGGUAGGGUUCACAUUUUUGUGAUCUUGUACGACAUUAAAGCCAAAGAGUUUCAAGCCUUGGGUGGGAGCACUUGAGUUGUUAUUGUUUACUUUUGUCUGAAAAUGAAUUUCCUCCAUAGCAUAAAAAAAUAAAAAAUUAGCAAGAGUAGAAGAAUGUAAAGCUAGAGAAUAUAGAGCUUGGGUGAGUGAGUUCCGACAUGAAAAGUUGUUGGAUGAGUGGGGGUAUUUAUACAAGUGAGGAAGAGGAUUGUGGGGAUUUAGUGGGCGCUUGGGUGGAGCUUUUAAGCCCCGCUUCAGGAGUUAUAAGUUAUAAACAGUUAUUCGUAUCGUUUAUGUAAAAAGUCGAGAAGUACUUAAGAAUCUUAACUUUUGUUUCCUGACUUCUACUUUUUUUCCCAAACACUUUAAUCACUUAUAAGUCAUAACUAACUUUUAACUUUUAUUUUAAUUUUUUAUUUUAAUUAAAAAAUAGUUAUUUUAAACUUACUCAAACGAUCUGUACGAAGGAGUAAUUAAACAAAUGUUUGUUAUGUGCAAGCAUGUGUGUGGGAGCAGAGAGGGGCAUGGUUUCGGAGAUUCCAAUAAGAAGAGGGUGGUUAAAUUUAAGUGUACGAAUGGAACACGACCCAAGAACACAUGUAGAGUCGCCUAAUGGGUUGCACGCCCUUUUUAUUUUUUUUGAGCAUCCACGAGAAAUAAUUUAUGCUCGGUUUGACAUUACUAUUUCAGACAGUAAUAUUAGUUUUUUACUAAAAAAAUUUUGAAAAAUUAUAUGAUAAAUUUAAAAAUGGCUUUUCAGAAUAUCGGUUUUUAAUUCAAAAGUUAUAUUUAUGAAAAGCAGGUCGCCACUGGCUUUUGGAAAAGCCGUUUUUCAGUUUUUACGGGAAGUUUUCGUAAAUAUCACUAUCGAAACUCACCAAAAAUAUUAUUUUUCUUUUAUUAUAAUUCAAAAUAUUCAAAUAUAUAUAGAAAAAAUAUUACCAAAUUGUCUACGACUACAAUUGCACAACAGUUUUUACAGAACUUCCAAAUUAGUGGUUGCCAUUUGAACAGGAUACGAAUUCGACCCAAAGCGAUAUAGAGUUGAUCCGGAAUCAAAACCGUAUGUACAUAUUACGUAUAACUAAAACUAGGUCUGAUCAAAUUAGAUUCAAUUGAAAUUGAAUUGUGUUAAAAUAUUGAUCAGAUGCGGAUCUAACUCUCCUAAUUGUCAAUUGUCUAAGGAGCUUAUUUUUCUUAUGUUUACUCCAUCCAUUUCCUUUCAUUUCAUAAAAUUUAUUAAAGAACAAGUUACGAAAGAGCAAUUCUAGAGAAUUAAAAAGUUAUUGUUAAAAAGUUGAAAUAAAAUUAGGCUUAGAGUUUAAGAUUUGGGCUUCACGGAAUUGAAAGUUUUGUAAUUAGUAAAACUGAGCCAAGAUCUUCCAAACCAAGGCUAAACACCGUUAAUUCCGUUGUUAUAGUUUUUGAUUUCUAAAAUUGAGUUCUUUCGCUACAAAAAAAUCCGGAGAUUUUCCACGCACGCAAGCACUCACUUCACUUGUGUAUGCAUGCAUGUGUCAACUGUCAAGUGUGUUUCCUUAAACAACAGUAGACAUGGGACAAUAAUUUAAGAGUAACUGUUAAAGUAAAAGUCUUUUAGAAUAGUUGAAUCUGAGAAGAGAAGUGUCAUUUCAUUUGUUCGGCUUUUGUUUUAUGCGAGGUACUCGCUUUUCUAUAGAGUAUACAUUUAAACAACGCGAUUUCCCGUUUGUUGAGAACGUGAUUUAGGUACCACUCCAAGAUUAUAAAUUCGAUUUUAUCGGAAGAUAUGAAAAAUUAUAGAAUCGAUUUCAGAAGAAGGCAUGAAAGUAAAUGGACUAUCACUCGCUCAGCGGAAGUACGAGUGUGCUCAAUUCUUCGAAUACUCUCUGUGCGUGAAAGUUGGCACCAAAAAAAGAUUAUUAAAAAAAAAAACAAAGGUGAUCAUGUAAAUAUCAGGUGUAGCGUUGCACCAGCUUAUGCAUCAUUGUGUUGUUUUAUUAGCUUAACUUUUUUUGAAGUUUUGGAUUUUAUUAAAAAAAUUCUCUUAUGUUGUCAGUCUCAUCGAUUAGUGGGAAAAAUAUGUGCAUCUAAAAGCAACUUUAAUAUAAAUUAAAAAAAAAUAAUGCUACAUCCACAAAAAGUGUUAAAAAAAUCCGCGGAGGCAGGUCCCCAGGCUCCUUCAAAUUUGUAACCACCCUGAACAUGAUCUUUGCAAAAAUAACCACCUAAAUUUUCACUUCACAAAACUAACCACCCUAAUUGUUUCACCCCUCGGGCGAACACAAUAGCAGCCAAAAAAUUUCCAACGCCCCACCAAGAGACGAACAUGUAAGGACAGUAUAACUGUGUUCGCCACAUGCAGAGGCGAACACAUAUUUCCACAUAUUUCACUUUACUUCUCUCAGAAUUUGAAAUUUCUUCCUUUUGCAUGCUACACCUACAUAUGCUGCAACCAUAUCUUGUUCAUUGCUGUAAAUGAUGCUCAGUGUUUAAGUAUGACUCAACACGCCCAAAAUACGAGAAAUUUAUAUGGUUUCUGUGAUUUUCUUGGCGGGGUUUUUGGUUUUUAAAGGAGAGGCUACUUUUGUUAACAGCGAUAAGAAAGCAUUGCUCAAUUUUUUGAGUAAUGUGAUAAUUUUUUAUUUUUUUAAAAUUAAAAACUGCAUUUAUUUGAUUUAUAAAAAAAUCAAACAAAACUAAAGAAAUGUGAUUAUUUUAUUUAUAAAAAAUCAGAAAAACUAUAAAUUAAAUGUGUUGUUUCGUAAAUAUUGAAUUGAAUAUUAAUUGUAAAUUAAAUUUUUAUUGUAAGAAUAGCGGAGAAGAAAUUAUGAAUUUAUAUGGAUCGAAAAAAUAGUAAAAUUAUUCAUAUAUUAUAAAGUAAGGCAUCUAAUAUUAAUUAAUAUGUGAUCUUUCGGUAAUAUGAAUAUUUUUUGAGUAAAAAUAUUCAUAUUACAUUACAAUGAAUAUUCACUCAAAAAAUGAAUAUUUACUCAAAAUAUUUUAAUAAAAAAAUAUUUUAAUGAAUAUUUUGAGUAUAUUAUUCAAAAUUAAUUAAUAUUAAUUUGAGUAAAUAUUUUUACUCAUUUUUACUCAUUUACAAAAAAUAUUUUUUGUAAUAUUAAAUAAUAUUAAUAUUAACUCAUAUUAGUUCAUGAAUUAAUUCAUGCAAUAUGAAUAUUUGAGUAAAUAUUUUUACUCAUUUUAUUUUGAGUAAAUAUUUUGAGUAAAAAUAUUCAUAUUACAAUGAAUAUUAAUAUUUUUACUAUUUUAAUAUUAUUAAUUCAUAACAUGAAUUAAUAUGAAUAUUUUUUGAGUAAAAAUAUUCAUAUUAUGAAUAUUUUUACUCAAAAAAUAUUCAUAUUACCGAAAAAAUCACAUAUUAAUUAAUAUUAGAUGCCUUACUUUAUAAUAUAUGAAUAAUUUUACUAUUUUUUCGAUCCAUAUAAAUUCAUAAUUUCUUCUCCGCUAUUCUUACAAUAAAAAUUUAAUUUACAAUUAAUACUCAAUUCAAUAUUUACGAAACAACACAUUUAAUUUAUAAUUUUUCUGAUUUUUUAUGAAUAAAAAAAUCACAUUUUUUUAUUUUUUUUUUGAUUUUUUUAUAAAUCAAAUAAACGCAGUUUUUGAUUUUAAAAAAAAAAUAAAAAACUAUCACAUUACUCAAAAAAUUGAGCAAUGCUUUCUUAUCGCUGUUAACAAAAGUAACCUCCCCUUUAAAAACCAAAAACCCCGCCAAGAAAAUCACAGAAAUCAUAUAAAUUUCUCGCAUUUUGGGCGGGUUGAGUCAUACUUAAACACUGAGCAUCAUUUACAGCAAUGAACAAGAUAUGGUUGCAGCAUAUGUAGGUGUAGCAUGCAAAAGGAACAAAUUUCAAAUUCUAAGGGAAGUGAAGUGAAAUUUGUGGAAAUAUGUGUUCGCCUCUGGAUGUGGCGAACACAGUUAUACUGCCUUUAUGUGUCCGCUUUUUGGUGGGGCGUUGGAAAUUUUUUGGCUGUAGUUGUGUUCGCCCGAGGGGUGAAAUAAUUAGGGUGGUUAGUUUUGUGAAGUGAAAAUUUAGGUGGUUAUUUUUGCAAAGAUCAUGUUCAGGGUGGUUACAAAUUUGAAGGAGCCCAGGUCCCCAACUUACUACAGCCGCUAUUGCGCUGUGUGUUUCUCUAGUUUAGGUUCACGAGAUUGAGAAACUACGUUCUCACGCUAGUACGCAUGAAUAUAUGGCCCUUGGAAAUACUUAUGCUGUCCAAUUAAAAGUCGACAGGAGCUAGUAUAUAGUAGACAUAUAGUAGUCCUAUACUGUACUAUAUAUAAAUCUCUGAUUUCAAGUACAGUCUUCGUUUCUGAUGGAAGUGGGCUCAAGCAUAAGUUCGGGACUCUGUGUAUUACUAUAUUAGAUUAUUAUUGGUUUUACAAGAAAUUCACAAUUAUACACGCCCUCGUUUAUGAAACCUUAUUCUAUGAUAGAAUUUGCGGGCUCCCUUACAAAAGUAACCGGUUUGAACGUAAAGUUUUCAAAACUAACCAGCCUACGUUCAACUUUUCAAAACUAACCAGCCUAAUUCAACAAAACUCGGGCGACCCUUACCUGUUUUUUUCCCGAGCGCCGGUCGCCCUCCUCAGGGGCGUCCCCCAUUGGAGUUCUGUGACGUGGUCGGCCCUAUCACGGGCGACCACGUGUGUGACACUACCCCUUAAAACCCCCUUCCAGCCACACAAUUACACACACAUUUGCACACACUCAGUUUCAAAACAACACUGCAGCAGCCACAACAAGGAGCCGAAAGGGGAGAUUUUGGAAAAGGAAGGAAGAAAAGUGGGAGAGGAUCGCCCGAGCUAGCAUCAAGGUCGCCCACCCUAGCAAAAAAUUUGAAGGUACUACCUUAUUCCUCCCCUAAAUAUUAGUAUAUAAAGCCUUGAUUUGUAAUUUAUUACUUGAUUAGUUUGUCUUGCAUGUUACAAAUAUCGGUUAUGUUCAUGAUUAUGACUAAUUUAUAGACUAGUGUUAUAAUUACCGGUUUGAGAUUAGUGUUAUAAUUACCGGAUUGAGAUUUGGUAGUACAUUAUGAUUUUUAAAUUUGUUAAAAAAUUUAAAGAUUUAUAAUAGAAAUUAAGGAUAAUUUAUAGAUUUGAUAUGUUGGAAUUUAAGAUUUUGUGCAUGUUAGAUUUUGUAGGUAGUAAUUUAAUUUAGUUAGAAACAAAAGCUUUGAAUUCGAAUUACAAAUAUUAUGUUGGAAUGAGAUUUUGUAUAUAUACAAAAGCUUUGAAUUCGAAUUAUAAAUAUAUUUGAAAAUUGUUGGCGCAGAUGGAUCCUGCAGCUUAUCAUCCCGGGCCGGUUAACGGCACUUUGUUGACAUUGCAGGACACGCAUAGGUCCACUUUUGUGUGGAACAGUAGUACGGUAAUGACUUGAUGGACUGUUGUUUAUUAAAGUUAAUGUUUGCUUCACUAUAAACUGCUGACAAGUUCCUGUAUUUUUAAUUGCAGGACAUUCCUGAUCUUAGAGUCAGGACGAACUUCGGUGAGUACUGGAAUGUAGUUGAUCAAACCAGGCCGCCUCAGGCGAUAAUAGAUGCUAUUAAUGAUGCGGGCUUUGAGUGGGUGUUCAGGUUGGGUCAGGUCAAGCAUGACAGGGGCUUGAUUACUGCUUUUAUCGAGAGGUGGCGUCCAGAGACGCACACUUUUCAUCUACCUUUCGGGGAGGCCACCAUUACACUGGAGGAUGUCCAUCACAUUCUCGGGUUACGAACCACUGGCCGGCCAUUUAUUCUACAUGGCUUCACCACCACAGCUCGUGAGAGAUUGGCCAUGAUACGCGAUGUUCUUGGACUGACUCCCGAGGCGGCUGAUGUGAGGAAGAACUGCUUGAGGGUCGGUUGGUUGAUUGAUAACUUUGGCGACUGUGCCCGGUUGGACGAGGCAGCGGAGGAUUUUGAUGAGCAGACUAUCUUUCACAUCAGGGCACACCUACUGUGUGUUAUUGGAUCGUUGUUUCCUGAUAGCAGCGGGGACUAUGUGAAUCUCAACCUCCUUUGGAUGCUACGUGACUUGCAGAGCGUGGAUGGUUAUAGCUGGGGGAGUGCUGUUCUUGCAUACCUUUAUAGGAAGAUGUGCGAUUCCACCCAUAAAGUCACAAAAAACUUCGCUGGAUACGUCACGUUAGUACAGGUACGNNNNNNNNNNNNNNNNNNNNNNNNNNNNNNNNNNNNNNNNNNNNNNNNNNNNNNNNNNNNNNNNNNNNNNNNNNNNNNNNNNNNNNNNNNNNNNNNNNNNNNNNNNNNNNNNNNNNNNNNNNNNNNNNNNNNNNNNNNNNNNNNNNNNNNNNNNNNNNNNNNNNNNNNNNNNNNNNNNNNNNNNNNNNNNNNNNNNNNNNNNNNNNNNNNNNNNNNNNNNNNNNNNNNNNNNNNNNNNNNNNNNNNNNNNNNNNNNNNNNNNNNNNNNNNNNNNNNNNNNNNNNNNNNNNNNNNNNNNNNNNNNNNNNNNNNNNNNNNNNNNNNNNNNNNNNNNNNNNNNNNNNNNNNNNNNNNNNNNNNNNNNNNNNNNNNNNNNNNNNNNNNNNNNNNNNNNNNNNNNNNNNNNNNNNNNNNNNNNNNNNNNNNNNNNNNNNNNNNNNNNNNNNNNNNNNNNNNNNNNNNNNNNNNNNNNNNNNNNNNNNNNNNNNNNNNNNNNNNNNNNNNNNNNNNNNNNNNNNNNNNNNNNNNNNNNNNNNNNNNNNNNNNNNNNNNNNNNNNNNNNNNNNNNNNNNNNNNNNNNNNNNNNNNNNNNNNNNNNNNNNNNNNNNNNNNNNNNNNNNNNNNNNNNNNNNNNNNNNNNNNNNNNNNNNNNNNNNNNNNNNNNNNNNNNNNNNNNNNNNNNNNNNNNNNNNNNNNNNNNNNNNNNNNNNNNNNNNNNNNNNNNNNNNNNNNNNNNNNNNNNNNNNNNNNNNNNNNNNNNNNNNNNNNNNNNNNNNNNNNNNNNNNNNNNNNNNNNNNNNNNNNNNNNNNNNNNNNNNNNNNNNNNNNNNNNNNNNNNNNNNNNNNNNNNNNNNNNNNNNNNNNNNNNNNNNNNNNNNNNNNNNNNNNNNNNNNNNNNNNNNNNNNNNNNNNNNNNNNNNNNNNNNNNNNNNNNNNNNNNNNNNNNNNNNNNNNNNNNNNNNNNNNNNNNNNNNNNNNNNNNNNNNNNNNNNNNNNNNNNNNNNNNNNNNNNNNNNNNNNNNNNNNNNNNNNNNNNNNNNNNNNNNNNNNNNNNNNNNNNNNNNNNNNNNNNNNNNNNNNNNNNNNNNNNNNNNNNNNNNNNNNNNNNNNNNNNNNNNNNNNNNNNNNNNNNNNNNNNNNNNNNNNNNNNNNNNNNNNNNNNNNNNNNNNNNNNNNNNNNNNNNNNNNNNNNNNNNNNNNNNNNNNNNNNNNNNNNNNNNNNNNNNNNNNNNNNNNNNNNNNNNNNNNNNNNNNNNNNNNNNNNNNNNNNNNNNNNNNNNNNNNNNNNNNNNNNNNNNNNNNNNNNNNNNNNNNNNNNNNNNNNNNNNNNNNNNNNNNNNNNNNNNNNNNNNNNNNNNNNNNNNNNNNNNNNNNNNNNNNNNNNNNNNNNNNNNNNNNNNNNNNNNNNNNNNNNNNNNNNNNNNNNNNNNNNNNNNNNNNNNNNNNNNNNNNNNNNNNNNNNNNNNNNNNNNNNNNNNNNNNNNNNNNNNNNNNNNNNNNNNNNNNNNNNNNNNNNNNNNNNNNNNNNNNNNNNNNNNNNNNNNNNNNNNNNNNNNNNNNNNNNNNNNNNNNNNNNNNNNNNNNNNNNNNNNNNNNNNNNNNNNNNNNNNNNNNNNNNNNNNNNNNNNNNNNNNNNNNNNNNNNNNNNNNNNNNNNNNNNNNNNNNNNNNNNUAAACAAUAAUAAUCAGGCCUGAGAAGCAGGCGUAUCUGGUCCAUUCCGCACUGGGCGAGGAAGAAGCGUAUUGGGCGAGGACUCAAUAGCUGAGGACGAGGACCCCAUCGAAGACCUGGGCCGCGUGACUUGACCCACAUUAAGGGCGAGAUUCCAUAUCGGGCGAGAACUUGGCUGAAGACGGGGUCUUACCUGAUGCCGGGCCUUGUGCCCUGGACCAUGCUGAUGGCGAGGAAGGUAAGCAUUAGGCGAGGCCUCAUCACAGAGGGCGAGGACUCCUUGAAGACGGACCGCCAGUCAUUGGGCCGCGAGGCCGACACAUGCCUAUGACGAAGGUCCAUACUGGGCGAGGACCCUUACUGGGCGAGGACCCUUCUGCUGACCCGGGUCCAUCUGUUGCUGGUCCUCACUUCCUGGGCCACAUAGAUGGCGAGGUCCACGUAAUGGGCGAGGACGAUCCCGGAGAUCGGUCUUUUCCUUGAAUUAAGGCGAGAUUUAUGCAAUCAUCUUCCGAGUUGAUAUUUGGCCAUAACAACUACCCCCCAAGCCCUUGAAGCAUAAGUGCGAAAGGGUUUAAAGAAGCUUCAGUCGAGGAAGAUGGUUAGUUGGCUGGUUUCCUGUAAUAGUACUCUGGCGAGCUCCAUCCUUGGGCGAGGACUCCAUCAAAGAGCCAAGUCAUUUAGAUAAUCAAGUAUCACAUUCCGGACAUGACUCCAGGAGAGGACUCAUUGAAGGCGAGGAUGGUAUAAGUCUUCCACUCCGGUUAGCUAAUUGCUAGAAUCAGCAACGGGCGAGGACGCCCCUCAAGCGAGGACUCCGUUAAGGGGUCGAGCUGAAGGUGAGGCUUAGCUGAGCGAGACGAUCAGUUGAGUGAAAAGAUGGUCAACAGCUGAGUGAGAGGACGAUCGAUAGCUGAGUGAGAGGACGAUCAUCAGCUGCGGUAGACGAAGCUCAUCAGCUGAGUGAGAGGAUGAUCAUCUGCUGAGGGCGAGGACGAUCAUCAGCUGAGGUAGACGAAGCUCAUCGGCUGAGGGAGAUGACGAUCAUCUGCUGAGGGCGAGGAUGAUCAUCAGCCGAGGUAGACGAAGCUCAUCAGCUGAGUGAGAGGACGAUCAUCUGCUGAGGGCGAGGAUGAUCAUCAGCUGAGGUAGACGAAGCUUAUCAGCUAAGGGAGAGGACGAUCAUCUGCUGAGGGCGAGGACGAUCAUCAGCUCAGGACGAAGCUUAUCAGCUGAGGUAGACGACGAUCAUCAGCUGAGGGAGAGGACGAUCAUCUGCUGAGGGCGAGGACGAUCAUCAGCUCAGGACGAGCUUAUCAGCUGAGGUAGACGAAGCUCAUCGGCUGAGGGAGAGGACGAUCAUCUGCUGAGGGCGAGGACGAUCAUCAGUCGAGGUAGACGAAGCACAUCAGCUGAGUGAGAGGACGAUCAUCUGCUGAGGGCGAGGACGAUCAUCAGCUCAGGACGAAGCUUAUCAGCUGAGGUAGACGAAGAUCAUCAGCUGAGUGAGAGGACGAUCAUCUGCUGAGGGCGAGGACGAUCAUUUGCUGAGGUAGACGAAGCUCAUCAGCUGAGUGAGAGGAUGAUCAUCUCCUGAGGGCGAGGACGAUUAUCAGCUCAGGACGAGCUUAUCAGCUGAGGUAGACGACGAUCAUCAGCUGAGCGAGAGGACGAUCAUCUGCUGAGGGCGAGGACGAUCAUCCGCUGAGUGAGAGGAUGAUCAUCUGCUGAGGGCGAGGACGAUCAUCCGCUGAGGUAGACGUUAUCUUCGAAGGAUGACUCAAAAUUUGGCUAUAACGACUACCCCCCAGUUCCUUGUAACAUAAGUGCGAAAGGGUUUAAAGAAGCAUCGGGCGAGGAAGAUGGUAAGUGCUCGCCUGUUGUUGCCCGUCAUAUAUCAAAAUUUUCGUCUUGGCUCAGAGAUUCUUGCAAAAAUGGUGGAAAAAUCACAUUGGCUACACAAGAGACGCCAGCAGGAUUCAAAAGUCCUACCUCGAAGCGUGAGAAAACUGGCCAUUCGGGGUUGCCACGUGGCUUUGAUGUCAGUAAUUUUCCCGCCUCAUCCUUCCUCUAUAUAAGAGCAGCUCCUUUCACUCCAAAAGUAUACACACGAAGUGCUGCUGGAUUAUUCUCCUGAAUUGGUAGCAUCAGGCGACGCUUUUCUCAAAGCCUCGCACCUUCUACCGCUUUCAGAAAUUGCAGGUACGCAUGUUCACUUACUUCCUUUUCAAAUCCAAUUUUAUUUGUCCACGUAGGCACCUAGGGUUUCCCAAUUAUUAACAUAAGCGUUGCUCGCAAGAGUUAGAGUAAUUGCAGGCGAAGGCUCUAUCAAAUCGAUAACAUGCUUACUUAAGGCGAGGACCUAUUACCAGCGUAGUCGCCCUUCGUGACUUUAUUUUCUCUUUUCUUCCUUAUCUGUAGCCCCAUACUAAAUAUCACUAUUGAUUCCUUUCCCGCCAUCUCUCUUUCAGAUGACGAACUCUCAACAAUCUCCUCCCAAUGCUAAUGCUCAGGUCGAUUCGUGGUCAUCUCUUGACGUCGACCCAAAAGCUGACCACGACUUAGAUCAGGCGUGGCUGAGGGCUCACGUAGGCACCUAGGGUUUCCCAAUUAUUAACAUAAGCGUUGCUCGCAAGAGUUAGAGUAAUUGCAGGCGAAGGCUCUAUCAAAUCGAUAACAUGCUUACUUAAGGCGAGGACCUAUUACCAGCGUCGUCGCCCUUCGUGACUUUAUUUCCUCUUUUCUUCCUUAUCUGUAGCCCCAUACUAAAUAUCACUAUUGAUUCCUUUCCCGCCAUCUCUCUUUCAGAUGACGAACUCUCAACAAUCUCCUCCCAAUGCUAAUGCUCAGGUCGAUUCGUGGUCAUCUCUUGACGUCGACCCAAAAGCUGACCACGACUUAGAUCAGGUGUGGCUGAGGGCUCAUCAGGACGAGGCCGGUCCUUCUCGUCGGCCAGAUCCACUCGAAGUUCUCAGCAUCUCUUCGAGCGACGAAGAUAGUGUGUACAAUCCCCAGAUGGAUGAUGAUUCUCCAGAUUCCCUCUUCAAAAACCUCGAACGUUCCGGUCAUUCUCGCCCCCUCUUGGGAGUUGGCGAGGAGAAGCAGCUUCAAGUGGUCAGAGAUGCCUACGCUGAUUACUCAAAAGGCGAGGAAGACAUAGAAGACGAGGACAAUAAUGAAACUGAAACUGGGGAAUCAAGCCGAAGUAAACACUUAUCUGAGGGCGAGGAUGAUGCAGACGCUAUAUCUGCCUCGCCAAUUCGUUAUGAGAUGGAAUGCCCUUCGCCUGCUAAUAACCCUUUUGUUCCAGAGACCUUCAAUUACGACUAUGAUUUUGACUUUGACGAAGACGUCCCAGAGAAAGAGAGGAAUCGACAGCGCAAUGUCAAUAAGACAGUAACCUGUGCGGGACUCUCUUCGCAAAUUUCCUCGGACGAAAUAAUGUGGAUGAUUGAGUACUACAAUCUCCAAGGCAAGUGGUAUAGGCCUCGCCGCUUCAUGAGGAUGCACAGGUUCAACUUUGACGGUCUCCCAUGUCCUCGCAUGGUGGUAACUAAUAAGCUUGCGGAGCUGGGUUUCGGAUGGCCUAUGCACCCGUGGUUGCUAAAGUUGGCAAACCAUUAUGACGUCGCCCCAAUCCAAGUCGGUCCCAACGGCUGGAGGCUGGCCAUAGGUAUCUACAUAGUGUAUCGCCGCCUUGGGUUCCCCGAACCCUCAAUGCUUGAGAUGGAUCACUUCCUCUCAUUGAGGAAGACAGGCGACGAUUACGGCUUUUUCUAUCUGACGCUCCAUCCCUGCCAUCACAAGAAAGGCUUCUCCGUUGGAAAUCCUAGCAACAUGAAAUUCUGGAAGCCGGAUUACUUCUACCUCUACGACAUUCCUCGCCAAAGGGUGUCUUUUAAUCUUGACCCUUGUAAGUAUAAUCUUCAUCGCCUUCUUCUCACCUUCUCGCCUAUCAUCUGUACUUAACUUUAACUCCUUAUUAGAUAAACCUCAACAAACCGACCUCGAGGGCGAGCUCUUGACUCGUGCCCAGGCUGUUGACAAUCUUGAUGCCGCCCAGAAGAAGCUCGACGAGAUUGUUACUCCGGAAUCGCUUCGCGAAUAUGGCUUUUAUAACAAGGGUUUUGGCCAAGUCCCUCUGAUAAAAUUCGACAAGAGGAAUAGGUCGAAGAAAGCUCUAGAGUGCCUUAAAAGGUCAUUAGCAUCCUUGACUGGUAAAGGUAGAAGCGUCGCCCUUUGUCUGCUUGCGUCUCGCCCUUUAUCUUUUUCACGCUUGACUGUUUUCUUGAUACAUGUUCCUUGCCAAUCAUAUAUUCAUCGCCUAAUGUUUACACUUGGUUUCUUUUCAGGGAAGAUGGCUGAACUUCCUUUUGGUAAUAACCCUUUUGCUGGCAGGCAAGUCCCCGUUUCUCAGCCUCGCCCCACCAUCUCUGUGAAUGCCACUCCUACUCCUCGCCGGAACCAGACCCCUCCACCGGAGAAAGAAUUGAGGGCGAGGAACAAGCAAAAACGGGGGAACGAAGAGGAAGUUGCAGCCUCAAAAAAGAAACCAAGAAAGGGCGAGGAGUCGACCCCCUCUGUUGUGUCUGUCGCCUUCAGUGUUUUGGUCGAAGACAACUAUGAUGCUGAGGACGUCAAAGUCUGGUCGUCAAAGAAAGCUGAUGAAGCUGAGCAUGGCUUCAAGUUCGGAUUGGGCGAGGCGUUCUUUCAGGGCCUCAACGUCCUUGUCGCCAAAAAUGCUCACAUAGCAGAGCUGGGAGAGGCGAACACAAAGCUAAAAAGUGAGGCUACAGCGUCCGCGGAUCGACGGAAAGACCUCCAUAAGAAAUACAAAGACGAUAUCAGGACAAGGGAUACCCAGAUCAAGAGUGUUCAGGAUACCCUCAAUGAACUCACUGAGUCCUCAACUUCAGCUGCCAACCUCGCCAACUCUACCAUCACAGGUCUCCAGUCUGAGCUUGAGGGCGAGAAAGCCUCCAAAUCCAAGGAGCUGAGCGAUGCAUACCGCCUUGGGUUCUCGGAAUAUCUUACCAAUUUCUUGGCUGCGGAUCUUGACUACGACUGGACGAUGUUCUUCGCCCCUUCUACUCUUGCUUUCAUGGCGGGCUUCAAAGAGGCUAAUGCUACCACCAUUGAGAAGGCGAGGAAGGAUCUUGAGGCGAAGAUCCUUUCAGAGAAGGAAGCGUUGGCCAAGGGAGGUGGCGAGACCACACAGGGCGAGGCAGGGGAAAAGGGCGACGGUGAGGCCAUCACCACUGAGCCGCAGAAAGAAUGAACUUUUUAUGUUGAACAACCCUAAAUACAUUUGGAGUGCGAGCCCACCGUAAUUGGCUUCGCAGUUGUAUUUGAAUUAAACUUUUUGUUGUUGUCUGCUUCGUAUUUUUAAUAUAUCUUGCUUCAUCGUCUUCGCCAUGUCUUAAUAACUUUUGUAUCUCCUUGCACCUCAAGGGUUCAUCCUUCCCUUGACCACUCAUCUUUAAGAUAGCUGCACAGGGCGAGGAUCCAUCCUCGGGCGAGGCUCUUAGCCUCUUAUUUUUAUUCUUCCUUGUAUGCUCAUAAAUGAAAACGAGGAUUCACCCCUCCCUUGACCACUCAUCAUUAAGAUAGCUGCACAGGGCGAGGUCUCUGAAUCAGGCGAGGACUCUUCUUGUCCUUGGUUGCUUUCCUACGUUCAAGAUAGACAGAUAUGUCGAGGACCUUGAUGGGGUGCGGACUUCAAUUUUCUUUCUCGUGAAAUCUAAGAGGGCGAAUACUGCCCUUCCCCUUGUUUACUUUCAUUCUCACUUCACGCAUCUCCCAUAUCCGAGUGUCCUCGUCCUCGCCUUUAGCAAAAGGUGAAGUUCUCCCUUGUGCUCAUAUGCAGUCGCCGUCCUUAUGCAUUCGAACAUUGCUUCGCUAGCAUUCAGAGCGAGGACCCUUUAAUAGGCGAGGACUGUGCCUCUGGUCCUUGCGUCUUAUUCUUGCUCACUUACUUCGUCUUUCCCCUCGUCCUCGCCUGUAGCAGGGGGCGAGGUUCUUCUUCUUUGUUUAAAAGCUUCUGGUCGGCUUCUCUUGAAGAGUCGUGACCUUUCGUUGAAAACGAGUUCAGAAUAAAAAGUUCAGACGUACCUCCUCUGGGACAGUAGGGAAAUCAUCUACUUAAAUCCCAGGCAUCUAGGACAGUAGGUACAUCAUCCACAUAAAUCCUAGGCAUCCAAGUAGGUGGGUCGUCGCCCUCCACCACACUUGGGAACGAACAACCUCUGGAACAGUAAGGAAAUCAUCCACUUAGAUUCCAGGCAUCUAGGACAGUAGGGACAUCAUCUACUUAAAUCCUAGGCAUCCAAGUAGGUGGGUCGUCGCCCUCCACCACACUUGGGGACGAACAACCUCCGGGAUAGUAGGGAAAUCAUCUACUUAAAUCCUAGGCAUCCAAGUAGGUGGGUCGUCGCCCUCCACCACACUUGGGGACGAACAACCUCCGGGAUAGUAGGGAAAUCAUCCACUUAAAUCCCAGGCAUCUAGGACAGUAGGGACAUCAUCCACUUAGAUCCUAGGCAUCCAAGUAGGUGGGUCGUUGCCCUCCACCACACUUGGGGAAAAACAACCUCCGGGACAGUAGGGAAAUCAUCUACUUAAAUCCCAGGCAUCUAGGACAGUAGGGACCAUCAUCCACUUAAAUCCUAGGCAUCCAAGUAGGUGGGUCGUUGCCCUCCACCACACUUGGGAAACAUAAACCUCUGGGACAGUAGGGAGAUCAUCCACUUAGAUCCUAGGCAUCCAAGUAGGUGGGUCGUCGCCCUCCACCACACUUGGGAAACAUAAACCUCUGGGACAGUAGGGACAUCAUCCACUUAGAUCCCAGGCAUCCAAGUAGGUGGGUCGUCGCUCUCCACCGCACUUGGGGACGAACAACCUCCGGGACAGUAGGGAAAUCAUCUACUUAAAUCCCAGGCAUCUAGGAUAGUAGGGACAACAUUCACUUAAAUCCUAGGCAUCCAAGUAGGUGGGUCGUCGCCCUCCACCACACUUGGGAACAUAAACCUCUGGGACAGUAGGGACAUCAUCCACUUAGAUCCUAGGCAUCCAAGUAGGUGGGUCGUCGCUCUCCACCGCACUUGGGGACGAUCAACCUCCGGGACAGUAGGGAAAUCAUCUACUUAAAUCCCAGGCAUCUAGGACAGUAGGGACAACAUUCACUUAAAUCCUAGGCAUCCAAGUAGGUGGGUCGUCGCUCUCCACCGCACUUGGGGACGAUCAACCUCCGGGACAGUAGGGAAAUCAUCUACUUAAAUCCCAGGCAUCUAGGACAGUAGGGACAACAUUCACUUAAAUCCUAGGCAUCCAAGUAGGUGGGUCGUCGCUCUCCACCGCACUUGGGGACGAUCAACCUCCGGGACAGUAGGGAAAUCAUCUACUUAAAUCCCAGGCAUCUAGGACAGUAGGGACAACAUUCACUUAAAUCCUAGGCAUCCAAGUAGGUGGGUCGUCGCUCUCCACCGCACUUGGGGACGAUCAACCUCCGGGACAGUAGGGAAAUCAUCUACUUAAAUCCCAGGCAUCUAGGACAGUAGGGACAACAUUCACUUAAAUCCUAGGCAUCCAAGUAGGUGGGUCGUCGCCCUCCACCACACUUGGGAACAUAAACCUCUGGGACAGUAGGGACAUCAUCCACUUAGAUCCUAGGCAUCCAAGUAGGUGGGUCGUCGCCCUCCACCACACUUGGGGACGAACAACCUCUGGGACAGUAGGGAAAUCAUCUACUUAAAUCCCAGGCAUCUAGGACAGUAGGGACAUCAUCCACUUAAAUCCUAGGCAUCCAAGUAGGUGGGUCGUCGCCCUCCACCGCACUUGGGGACGAUCAACCUCCGGGACAGUAGGGAAAUCAUCUACUUAAAUCCCAGGCAUCUAGGACAGUAGGGACAUCAUCCACUUAAAUCCUAGGCAUCCAAGUAGGUGGGUCGUCGCCCUCCACCACACUUGGGGAACAUAAACCUCUGGGACAGUAGGGACAUCAUCCACUUAGAUCCUAGGCAUCCAAGUAGGUGGGUCGUCGCCCUCCACCACACUUGGGGAACAUAAACCUCUGGGACAGUAGGGACAUCAUCCACUUAGAUCCUAGGCAUCCAAGUAGGUGGGUCGUCGCCCUCCACCACACUUGGGGAACAUAAACCUCUGGGACAGUAGGGACAUCAUCCACUUAGAUCCUAGGCAUCCAAGUAGGUGGGUCGUCGCCCUCCACCACACUUGGGGAACAUAAACCUCUGGGACAGUAGGGACAUCAUCCACUUAGAUCCUAGGCAUCCAAGUAGGUGGGUCGUAGCCCUCCACCACACUUGGGGAAAAACAACCUCUGGAACAGUAGGGAAAUCAUCCACUUAGAUUCCAGGCAUCCAAGUAGGUGGGUCGUCGCCCUCCACCACACUUGGGGAACAUAAACCUCUGGGACAGUAGGGACAUCAUCCACUUAGAUCCCAGGCAUCCAAGUAGGUGGGUCGUCGCCCUCCACCGCACUUGGGGACGAACAACCUCCGGGACAGUAGGGAAAUCAUCUACUUAAAUCCCAGGCAUCCAAGUAGGUGGGUCGUCGCCCUCCACCACACUUGGGGAACAUGAAUAAAAAAUAUUUUCGAAUAAAAACUCCAACCCCUGAGGGUUUUCCAAAGCUGCACCCCUGAGGGUCUUCCUGAUGGUUUACCGGAAGUACGGGCCACCAGGGCAUAGGAAUUCUUUCGAACCAUCUUAUGAAGAUGGUUGUCCAGGCAUCCCGAGGGUGUCAAACAUGUGCCUCGAUUACACAUGAAGACGAAUUCCAAAGCAGCAGGGAGGUUGUCCCUGGUCUUCACGCUCCAAACAAGACACAAAUAUAUAGAUUCGAAAAAAGAUAUACAAAAGGUUCUAAAUUUGUUGUUAAUAGCAUGCUUACAUGAUAGUGUGGUCGGAGGGAACGUACCAUUGCUACCCCCGAGUCUUGGGAGUGAUCUUAUCGAUUCCAGGACUGUUACGCAAAUAUCAAAACAGAAAAUAUAACCACAAAUUUAGAGAAGGAGAAUAUGAACUUUCCUGAUAAUAAUUCUGAUGUCCAGCGUUCCAUGUCCUCAGAAUAUCCUUUCCUUCAAGAUGUUCCUGAUAGCUGGUUCCGGACGUCAAGAGAGGUGACGGUAGCUGAUUGGUAGCCGGAGUCUCCGAGGUCUUCCUUCCCUUCCAUAGAUUGACAACGUCGUUCUUCAUCUCAUGUGACAUCCUUCCUCCAAUAGAUGUCAAAAAGCCCCUCCUUCUAGCGCCAAUUGUUAACGGAGGAAUCUGGUGAUAACAAGAUUCGGGGAGGGUUGCUGGAAUUAGUGGUGGUUGAUAACGGUGGACGACGGAGUAGGGGUGUUGAUUUUGGGUUUGGCUGAGAUCGUUCGAGGAAUCGGGGUUUCUCACAAGAUCGAAGGAGUAUUCGCUCUUGCAAGGGUUGUGACUUAUCCCCAAACGAUGUGCCUACGUACCCUAUUUAUAGGGAUCAAGCCAGACGUAGUUCUUGGGGAACAAGUAACCUAAUCAGAAUAGGUUUCUCAUUCCUUGGUUCCAGCGAUGGGCCACCGCCUUAGAUCAGACGGACGUGGGCUUCUGGAGCCCAGCCUCCUCCGAGGAGCAUGGAACUAGGUGGGCUGACCAGCACUAGCCCACGUGGACCUCCUCAGACUCAGCUGUAUGGGCUAGCCCUCCGUCCUCUUUUAGGGCGAGGCUGAUGGUGGGCCUGGGCCCAAGAUAAAACAAUAAUAAUCAGGCCUGAGAANNNNNNNNNNNNNNNNNNNNNNNNNNNNNNNNNNNNNNNNNNNNNNNNNNNNNNNNNNNNNNNNNNNNNNNNNNNNNNNNNNNNNNNNNNNNNNNNNNNNNNNNNNNNNNNNNNNNNNNNNNNNNNNNNNNNNNNNNNNNNNNNNNNNNNNNNNNNNNNNNNNNNNNNNNNNNNNNNNNNNNNNNNNNNNNNNNNNNNNNNNNNNNNNNNNNNNNNNNNNNNNNNNNNNNNNNNNNNNNNNNNNNNNNNNNNNNNNNNNNNNNNNNNNNNNNNNNNNNNNNNNNNNNNNNNNNNNNNNNNNNNNNNNNNNNNNNNNNNNNNNNNNNNNNNNNNNNNNNNNNNNNNNNNNNNNNNNNNNNNNNNNNNNNNNNNNNNNNNNNNNNNNNNNNNNNNNNNNNNNNNNNNNNNNNNNNNNNNNNNNNNNNNNNNNNNNNNNNUGGUCAGAGUAGUCCAUGGGCGCCCCCCAGCACAGCAGUAGCAGGGCACUCCGAGGCCGAGGAGCAACCUCAGGAUGAGCAUCGACAGCAGCCACCUAGAGCUGCGAAGGGAAAGGGUCGAAGAUAUCACACUGGAAGCCACAUCUUCGGCCAUAAGAAGAAGUAGGAUUUCCCUCGUAUGUAGUUUGUUUAUGGUUAUGUACCUGACCAUGUACUCGUACGUUUUUAUUUCUUGAUCUGAUUAUGUACUCUUAGUCUAGUAGAUCGGUUGUUACGUUAUUAUGCAGUUCUUGUGCUUUUCUUCAUUCUUAUGUCAUAAUGUUUUAUAAUGAUUCAAGCAUUGAAAUUCAUAAGGACAAUAAAGGAAACCUAACAUAACAUAAUAAACGACAGAACACUAAAACACAUACACAUGUUGAUCUUUCUCGAAACCAGUAAAACUGACUUUAUUUGGACUAAACUUUACAUAUAUCAAAUAACUGAAAAAAAUAAUAUAAAAUUUGAAUUACUUGAACAACAAAAGUUGAGACAUUACAUAUAAGAUACAAUACAUAUAGUAAUGGGGGUGAUCUUGUGGAGAAAAUACCUAACUCAAAGGGAUUUCUUCAAAGAAUUUGAGAUGGGUCAGAGCUUCAAGAAUCUGUGUACUCUGCUUUUACAAGUACAAAGUGGGAAAAAGUGAGACAUAAAUAAAAAUUUGGUUUAAGAAUCGUGUGACUUUUGAGAUGUACCCACUAUAGGUAAACGGCAUUCUAUUUAGAUAUUGUUUGUUCGAAUUUUCCUUUUUUAUGUAUUUUGUUUACUUAUUAUCGGUAAUUACCAAGUCCUUGGAACCUUCAAAACAGAUAGAGGUUUUAUUAUAUUUGUCAAAAGAAAAGUUUUAUUAUUUGUUUUCGAUCUAUUUGUACUUAACUCUAAUAACUAAAUAUAUAGAUAAUUUUUAGUAAUUAAAAAUAGAAUAAAAACAGAUAGACUAACAUGUAUAUGUACUUAAUUUCAUAUUAAUAUUUUGAAGAUAUUAGCAUAGAAUGAUAAAUAUACAUUUCUACUACCCAUUUAUAAAAGAAAUAUUAUAAAAUAUAAAUCUUUACGCAAAAAGAUAAUUAAUCAGUUAAUAAGAUUUAAUCAAAUCAAUAUACUGUAAGAAAACAUUCUUAUGCAAAAUUUAAAAUUACUUUUUAAUUUCAAAUUUUAAAAAAUUUCCCGAUUAAUCCGCGACCGAACAACGAUUAAUCGGCGAUUAAUCCCGAUUAAUCGCCGACUUUUAGAACGCUGGUGCUAAGAUAUAUAUUAUUUCAUGUUAUUAAUUAUAUUUAUUUCACAAAACAAAUAAAAUUUGAUUUUAAAUAAAAUAUUUAAUACAGUAAAAAAGUAAUUGCGUAUACAAUUGUUGGAAAAAAGGUCGGGUAGGGGACGCCCCUGUGGAGGGCGACCUGCCCACGGAGAAAAUCAAUGGGGGUCGCCCUCGUCAGGGGCGACCGGCCCUGGGGAAAUUUCAUGCAUGGGUCGCCCGACUUCGAAUGAAUUAGGCUGGUUAGUUUUGAAAAGUUGAACGUAGGCUAGUUAGUUUUGAAAACUUUACAUUCAGACUGGUUAGAAAUGUAAGGGAGCCGAAUUUGCGAUGUGAAGCAACUGUCAGAUAUUUUAUAAUGGAUCUUUGUCGUAAUAUGUCAUACUCUAGUCAGCAACAAUGAAAUGUUGUGAAGUUAAUUUCCAUCUCCCAUUUAUCUAUACUGUUGAAAAUAAGUGUUUUUAACUAAUAAAUCUAAAAGUCGGGCCAAAUACGUCCCUCAUCAAUUACAACGACGAUAGGUAGGUUAGUUGUUGGUCUCUAGCUAUAUAAGCUUGGGACUAACUCAAAACAACAUACUCCCAUCUUAAUUGGCUUGAUGUUUAUUGCGCGAAUCUUGCAUUCCAAAGACUUAAAUCUACAUGCAUGCGACUCAAAUUAAGCUUUUGAAAGCUUACAAAUUUGAAACGCAAGACAGUAUCAGUCGUACAGUUCUUCAUACAUUUUCCUUCGUUCUAAUUAAAGCUGAUAAGUAUAUUUAUAUUUAAAUAAAAAUUUAGAAUAGUCUACUUAUAAGCUGUUCAUUAUUCAGUUUGUUAAGUAUAUUCUUUUUUAUGUCGAUGCUCCCUCCAUUUCAUAUUAAUUAUACAUUUUUGAAUUUUGAUUUUUGACUCGUAAAUUGAUCAAAAAUUAUUAGUUAUUCUUAUAAAGUUAUAUAAUCUGAAAAUUAUAUUUUAAAAUAGAUAAAUAUACUUUUUACGGAUAUUAUCUUAUGAAUUUUUAUGGAUUUGACCUUAAAAAUGGAUAAGUAAUCUGACACUCAUGUCCCAUAUUGCAUGUCCCUCUCUUCUUUCAACACAAAUUUAUCUUUAUAUUUAUAGUGAUUUUUUUGAAACUCAAUUCUCAUUUUUCAAUUCACUAAAUUUUUAUAUUUAUUGUAGUUUUUUUGAAACUCAACUCUAUUCUCACUUUUCAAUAUACUAAUAAAUGAUAUAUAAGAUAAGAUCAUAUUUAACCAACUCUUUUUUUUUUUUUGAAACCAACCAACUCUUUUCUUAAUAUGCCAGUUAUAAAUUGAGACGGAGGCGGUAUAUAACUUUCAUUCAUAUUAAAAUAUGAAAACUAGAAUUUUUUGUUAUUUGAAUUUGGCCAAGUCUUAAGUAACUAUUUUGGAUUUCUGGUCACUGAAGUCUGAACACGUUAACAGUCUAAGUAAAAUAAUGGCCUGCCUGUGGCUCUGCAUGAAUGAAUGAUACCUAGAGUCAAUAGUCCUAAGCAAAAAAUUUUAACUAGAAUUCUAGUACUGCAUAUACUUAAUGAAAUUGGUUCUCAUUCUUUUAUAAAAAUUAGUAAUGGCUUUGCAUAGGUUAGAGCAUAUCCUGGAGACCAGCUGGAAGCUCUCUGGCAUGCUAAUUAUCUCUGGCAUGAUAAUAAUUUCUCUCCUACUCAUCCAUUAAUUUUCUCUUUCUGAGAUUCAUAUAUUAACAAAAUAUAAAAUAAGAAAGGAGUACUAUGGAAAAAUAUUGUUGUAGUUAAUACUUAUAUAUAUCAAUUUUAAAAAUCAUAUAUUUUAUAUUAUAUCUAAGAGGCCGACGUUAAGUUGUUGCAUGAUGAAUAUACUCCUUAUUUGAGUGCUUUCCUCUCAGGAAACAUGAAAGAACGAAAAAAAGAAUUCCUGACAUGAGAUAAUAAAACAUGCUAGGCUAUUGAAGUGGUAUAGUAUUGCAUGCAGGCUGGGCUGCGGCAGUGCUGUUAGCCUGUUUGGCAAAGCUAUGCACUAUUCUACACAUAUAUUCAGAUCUAUGCACUAAAAGUAGGACUAGUUCUUUAGUAAAGCACAUGAUCAGUCACCUGACUCGCCCCACUGGUAAGGGAAACAUCUUAUCACGUGAAGGUGCAGUUGUGCAUAUAAUAUUUCGUCUCCAAGAGUGUGACACACGACGGAAUCAUAUUUCGUCUGAGCUUAAAAUAUUUAUAAAAAUCUCUUUUAUAUAAAUUCUGAUUUUUAGUUAGAAAUGAAGACAUUUAUAUCUAAUUGUAAUUUUAGUAAUCAUGAUUCUACCGGAGAUGUAGACAAUGCAUUUUUCUUUACAAGUGUAUUUGUCUUUAAUAUAAAUACAGAUAUUUUUUGAAUUAACAUUACUCAUGCCGGGAUUAUUUAUGUCAUGGAAUUUGGGAUACGUAACAUUACUCUUUAUAUAAUCUCUCGGUUAGGAUUAUAGCAAGAUUUAAUACAUACGGUACUUUUUAACUGCAGUACGGAGAUUCAUCUAGCGCUUUUUAAACGCUGGGCGUGGUCUUUUCCGUAUGCAUCAGUUAAAAAGAACUAUAUAUAUUAAAAUUAUGUUAUAUAACAUAGUUUUAAUAUAACAGAUCUCUAGCAAUUGUAUAUUAGGAACCAUUACCAAAAAAACAUAUCGCGCAGUUCUGUUGGUAACGCUUAGAUCCAGAAAUCUGUUUUUCUGGAUCAUGAGCAUUCAAGUAUAUAUCUUUAUAUUUUGGAGCCCUGCCAAUUCUUGCUUGCGGUAACUCCUGCUGCUGUUGAGCACCUGUACAGCGACUGUACCAUAAUAAAAAAAUGGAUUUUAUAUGGACAUGCACUAAUAAUCAUUUUUUAGUUAGAUGUCUGAUUUUAUUGAUUUUAAUUUCAUCAAUAAUAAUGGUCCAUACCAAAAUUUUCACUAAUCAAAAUCUUCCAUAAAAAAUAGUUGUUGGUGUCUUUUUAUGACCGCACAUCAAAAAGACUUAUAAAAAAACAAUUAUGACUUUAUGAAGCUGCAAGGCUUUCAUUUGAAAAUUAAUCAGUAACUUGAGUGAUGUAUAUAACAAGGCAGACCUUGUCAUGAGGUUUUUGAUGAGAUAGGACUCGAGAGAUGUUUUCUCUUCCAGGCUUAAAAGCAUUAUCACUUUGCUCUGUGGCACCACAGACAUCAGUACCUAAUAAUUAAGAAUAAGAUGGAACACCUAACACCUGCCAAAACUUGUUCUUCAUCAAUAUGAAAGACUUUGCAAGUUAGAAUAAGAUUAACAAGUGGUGCAAAAAUAAAUUCCAAGAUAACAAUAUUAGCUUAUACACAGUGUUUUUUGUAGCUUUGCUCAGAGGUUUUCAUUUUUACUUUGUUCCUGAGUAAGGUAGAAGAAGCCCAUGACAAUUGAGGUCUUGUAUUUUUUUACUCGUCGAAUGCCCAGUAAUUGUUAAACUAAUGUCUGUUUCCUGAUUCAAGAGACUGAAAUUUAAAGGAAGGGAGGGAGUGGAUGAUAAUAAACGGAGGAAUGUAGCUGUAACGUGUAGAUUUUUGGUAUCGACUCCUAGUCCAGACACACACUAUGACCAAAAUUGUGCUACCAUUGCUUUCAUCCCUUUGUGAUGAGUUUCCAUGCUUGAAUUGCCUUUCGUGAUCAUCUCCUUGGCCCGAAGAAACUAUCUGGACAGGCAUGAAUGAGGUACAGACACAAGGUCUCACAGAACCUUAUUUGCUUCCGGUCAGCAAUUUGGCAGGACAGUAGUCAAUUGCAUUUGAAAGCAAAUAUUCUCUCGGUCUCAAUUAUGUUGUCUUGUUUGACUUUUUGUGGUCAAAUUGACUUGUUUGACCCUUCUUCUGUUUUUCGAUACUGAAAUUCAGUCGUGCAAGUGGAAGAACCUAUAAAUGCAACAGAUGAACUAGUCCUAAGAAACAUAAAUAAUAUUACACACACGUAGAUGAGAUCUACUGCAACUUUCAGCAGGUAUAUUUGGAAAGAAUUCAGAUUCUAGAGAGUGCAGAAGUUUUUUGGCUUCUUCGGAAAAGGAUGAAAAUUUUGAUGUUUUGUGCAAGUAAGAUCAUGAAACAAAAACGCUCACCUAGUCACCUGAGCUUCCUCAAAAUGAAAAUGCUUCUCUAUUGCGCAUUUGCGCCCACUUUGCAUGGGAACACAACUUCGCAUAAAGUUCAGCAGAAGAUGAGUUGGUUCCAGCAUUUUUAAUACUUCUAAUUAAGCAUCUUAACUUCUCGAAUCACUUUCUUCUUCUGCAUGCUCCUGGACAAAAAUAAAUUCUGCAUCAACAGCCGGGAAUAUGACCUUAUCCUCGGCAAUGCUGCAUUCAAGGUGAAGGCGGUAGCUCAUAAAAAACGGAUGAAGUAAAACAAUUUGAAAGGUUAGGAACUAACACAUAAAUGUGCAAUGACUAAAAAGAAGAAGAAGAAUAACAGUUUAAGACAAACCAAGUAAAUAUUUCUGAAAGAUGAAGCACUACAUGCAGAACAUUUUUCAGCUAGCUGCAGACAUUCAACAAUUACUAUGAAAACUGCAACUUAAAGAAAAUUAUCUUCUCAAUACAAAGACUGUCAAUAUGAGCAAACCAGACAGGAAUGAGUUGAUUCUCCAUUUACCAAAACUUCAGAUGAAAAUUGGAAUUAGGCGCAGAAGAACGAAGAAAAAUUAUACAAAGGCAUACCAGUGGAAAAUACAACUUCAGCAAUAAAUUGCAGCCUCUUUUUAAAUGUGGAUAUAUCAGAAAAAUCUCCGGAUCACGCUGCAAAAACACUAUGUAUAACAAUAUUACAUUUCCCUCAACAGGAUCAAAUUCUUAAUAUCGAUAGAAUUCAUCGGUUACUGUAAUUUCAGGUUUCGUGUUUUAUGUAUGUCCCAAGCUCACAGAAGGAAUAAACUUCUCUGAAAAUGUUUAUCUUUAAUUCGACAGGAUACUAAUAUUACAUUUACAAAUAAUCGCGAUCAAUAAAACGGAAUAUAACAAACACGAAAGCAAAUAACACGACAAUACGUUAAAUUACAGUUCCAUCAAGAGAAAUAUUAACUGUAGCUGUUUUCUAUUACACGAUUUUCACGUGUCAUUCUGGAUUAUAGUUUUGGAUAAAUUUUUUUACAGGAAUUUAUUUUUAUAUAUUAUCGACAAAGACUAUUGGAUUAAUCAUACAGAAAUAAAAUCUACGAGGGUAGUGAGGCCCGUGUCUAGAACUUGUAGUCUUUGACAAGUAGGAUUAGAAGUGAAUUAAAGAAUGUGUAAAAUGAUUUAGUGCAAAGUCAAAUAGAAUCUUAGCCAGGACAAGCUGGAAAAAACUAACGCUAGCUUCAACAAUUUGACUAAUUCAAGCUUGACAACACUAAAAAAUACUGGAUGGUUAUUUGCUCCGGGAAAGUGGUAUCACAGUUUAAUUGUUAUUCUGUAGCUCAAUAAAUUAUCGGAUAUUCAAUUAAUCAUCCGAUUGAUCUGUUUAUUUCCUUUUUUUUUUUGUUUUUACCGGUUAAUUUUGAUUCACAUUUUUUAUAAUAUUACUUAUAGGCGACAAAUGUUUGAAUGCAUGAAUUCCUUUUUUUUCGUUUGGGGUGACUUAAAAACUUGUCGAUAUUAAUAUGUAAAAUUUUCGGAUAUUCAAUUAAUCAUCCGAUUGAUCUGUUUAUUUCUUCUUCUUCUUUUUUUGUGUUUUUACCGGUUGAUUUUGAUUCACAUUUUUUAUAAUACUACUUAUAGGCGACAAAUGUUUGAAUGCAUGAUUUCCCUUUUUUUCGUUUGGGAUGACUUAAAAACUUGUCGAUAUUAAUAUGUAAAAUUUUGUAUUGCCGAAACGAAGUUAUGAAAGGGGUUUAAAUCAUUUUGCAGCUUGAGUGCUUGACUAGUACAAAACUCUGUGAAAUUCCCUCUUUAGUGUUCAUACUUGCAGCUAGGGUCGGUUGCUAUUAACAUCAGAAGAUGUAUAAUUGGUGGGCGAUCCUUGGCUAAAAGGACCGGUAUAAAUUUUAAAGCACUUUGAACCCUUCAAAAUUCUUAACUCUAUAGAUUAUCAAAUCGAGUGUAUCACAGUGUGAUUCUUCAUUUAUUUAUUUAUUUUAUAUUAUCAUUAUUAUUUUAGUGAAAAUUUUUAUGAAGACCACUAUUUUAUCAGAAACCUUGAAGACCACUUAUAUUCAGUAAUUAAAACACUACAAAAUUUGUUGUUUUGCGAAGUACAUUUUAUAAAUAUCACUAUUUCAUUGAAAAUGUUGAAAAUUAUUUAUACUAAACAAGCAGCAAGAUCUCUGCACACUGAACAUGGUUUUGUAAAAUAAUAUAUUUUUUAAUGUUUUAUUUGCCAAAUGUAUAAAAUUUGCAAGAUUGUCAAUAAAAUAAUGAUCAUUGUAGAAUAUGAUUCGGAAAAUAAUACGUUUUGCAAUGUGUUUACGGAGUAUUUUAGUUGCAGUAUGUAAGUGGUCUCCAAUGAGAAAAUGGUCUCCAUAGAACUUAUCCCGUUUAUUUUAUUAUUAAUAUUUCUGUGUGAUUAUGUUGGGUUUUUUUUAUUCAUAACCAAGUUUUCAGUUUUAUUUUUAAAAAUACUAUCUUCUCCAAUCUUAUUUUCAAAAAUACUACCUUCUCUAAAAUAUUUUCAAAAAUACGGUGGUUGCAUAUGCAAUCACUGUAUUUUUGGAAAAUAUUUUCAAAAAAAAUAGUAUAUUUGAAAGAUUUUAGAAAAAUAAUAUUUUUGAAAAUAUAAUUGAAGAAUGUAGUAUUUUUAAAAAUAAGAUUGAAAAAACAGUAUACAAAGACUAAUUUCCCUUAUGUUUAUUGAUCAGAAAUGUAGGGGCCCAAUCUGAAGUCUGAACCCAACCGAACCCCACGAAAAUUGAAAACUGAAAUGACUAAAUUUUUAGAAUUGAACCGGAACUGUUAUUAUAAUGGAACCAGACCUUAAAUUAUAGUUAGAUUCGAGUUAAAUUGAAAAAACGAAAGAGUAAACUGCAAAACGUGUACCUGUACUUUGACCGUUAUGGAAUUUGUGUACCUGCAGUUACAAAAAAGCAAUUUGUGUACCUAAGCUUUCCAAAAUACAGCAUUUUGUGUACUGCCGUUAGUUUUAGACUUAACACCGUAAGGGUAGUAAAGUAAUUGCAGCAGCCACACAAAAAAAACCCCAACGGGCUGAUCCAUGUAACCGUUAGUACUGCUUAAAUCCCUAAAAACUAAAGCUGCUGGUUGAGCUUGAAGAGCAUGGAGAGAGGAGGAAUUCAAAAAUGCGAUUGUGGUGAAUGGGUUGUUCAACGAGUUGCUUGGACCGAGCUUAAUGCUGGGCGAAGAUUCUUUGGCUGCGUGAAUGGUAGGAAUGGUUGUAACUACUUCCGCUGGUUUGAUCCUCCUGUUUGUGACAAUGCACGUGGAAUUAUUUGUGGCUUGCUGCGUCGCAUUAAGGAGCACGAAAAUGAGAUUGAGCGUUUGAAGGCGGUGCACAAGAAUGAACUGCAGGUUUUGAAGAGAAGAAGCAAAUGGUUCAAAUCUGUUGUGUUUGUUGUUGUGUUCAUCUUUGCUUAUUUAAUGUUGUAGUUCUGUUAGAUGUUGUAAGAAUGUUGUAGUUGUUUUGCUAUUAUGAGAUCAUGUAAUGACAUUUUCAUGGAGCUAUAUAUAAGAUCAUUCUCAUGGGAUUAAUAUCAUUAAAAGCAUUACAAGAUAAGUGGAUAGAUAGAUAGAUAAACAACUGAUUAAACACAUUGAAAAUGAACUUAACAACACCCCUGCCAGCCCCAACCACCCCUACAUCUCUGCUGCCAAAACACCCCUGAUAGCACUUGGAGGCUCCGCCAUUGAAUUGACCCCCCCCCCCCCCCCUCANNNNNNNNNNNNNNNNNNNNNNNNNNNNNNNNNNNNNNNNNNNNNNNNNNNNNNNNNNNNNNNNNNNNNCAUCCUCAGCAGCUAGGCAAUGCUCUGCCAGUGCAGAAGCAGCAACAUUUGCAGUAGGGGAGAUAUGGCAGACAUGAAGAUCAUUCCAACUCUCACUCAAGAGAGCCCUGAUCAUAGUCACCAAAUCUGCCAUAAGAAAGUCGGGGUCAUCAUUCAUGAUGUGGUUCAGGGCUUCUGCAGACUCACACUCGAGCACUGCUCGAGUUUUCUCCUUCUCCCAAGCCUCUUUGAGGCCAUAAAAAACCCCCCACAGCUCAGCACUGAUUGGAUCAGCCAAGCCUAUCAUCCCCCCACAGCCCCCUUCCCAAGCUCCAGAGCUGAUCCUGAUAACACAGCCCACAGAAGCCUUCAUCUGAGCCCUGUUGAAAACACCCCUGACAUUGAUCUUGUAGUAAUUUGAGACUGGCUUCUUCCAUGAGGCCAUUGUUUGCAGUGUUUGUUUUUGUGUGUGUGUGUGUGUGCUAAGCUGGAAUGUGUUGGUCGAGUGUGUAUGUGUGAGGCCUGGGUGCAUCAAUUUAUAGUAGAGUUUGUAUGUGCUACAUGAGUAGUGGGGGUGGUUGUCUGGUAUUAAUGCAUGCCUCAAAGUAAUAGGGCUUGCAAGUUACAAAGCUAUUGACCAUGACCCUGACUGAGAUGACCAAUGCAUGCAACUGAAGCUUUAAAUGAAGCAAGAAAUUAAGAAUUGAGAGCUUUGAAACUGUUAAAUACUUUAAUAAGCUUAAUAGAGUUAAGAGUUAAUUACAAAAGAAGUAAUUCCUUGUAUUGAAACUGCAUCUAAAGUAAUAAUAUUAGAUUUUCAUGUAGUAGAAAAUCUAAUCAAAAAUACAGUGCCUAAACCAAGGAAUACUUAAUAGUUAUUUCACAUUUCAGUGACAAAAAUAAGGAACAAUUCUAAAUCAGUGCUUCUUGAAAAUCUUUGCCUCCCUUGCAUUCCUUGCAAUUUCAAGUUCUUUGAUGCUAGUUGUCUGCCUCCCUCCACUGCAGAAUUGCUGAGGUUGUAUGCCCAAUGGUGUGUUAAGCUUCAUUGUUGGUUGACUUUGUGAUUUGAAAAUACCCCCUUGACUAGUGCCUUGGUCCUUCAUUGGCUGUGUAGUAUGGCUAGUGGUGGAACUUGCAUUGGUUGCUGCAACUGGUGUUGUCUCCAUUAAUUUCUUGGGCUGCUUAACAUGUUUGACCCUAGACUUCUUGUCAACUUUAGGUCCUUGAGAAUCUCCACUUGCCUUAUCAGCUUUCUAGUCUCACAGGAAAAUAAAGAUUUUAACAUUAGAGUAGGACAUGAAUUAACAAAGAAUAACAUGAAAAAUUAACAAAGAAUAACAUAAAAAAUUAACAAAGAAUUAACCUUUGCAGGACAUGUUCUGGCAUUGUGUUCUUUCUCCUUACAGUAGCUGCAAUGCAAUGUGGUAUUCCUCCUUUUAAGUUUGCUUGUAUCAGCAUUGGCAGUUGAUGGAACAUCAUUUUUUUUUGUUCCUUUUUUUCUUUGGUCUACCAGGUUGCACUCUCAAAUGAGGAGGUAAUGGUGCUGGAUAUGGUGUGAUCUGCCAAUAUUGUUCACUAUUUAUUGGCUUAACUGUGUGUGAAUAUGUGCUUAAAACAUAUCCUUUGAAUAACACUUGUGAAUAUAGUCAGCCAUUUGGAGAUUUUUCCACUUUAUGCAGGCACAUGCAUGAAAGCAUGGCAAGCCAGUGAGGUCCCAUUUUCUGCAUGCACAAGAUUUGGAGUCUAAGUCUACUACAAUCUCAUGGCCUCCAUCAGUCAUUGUGCACAAAUAUUUACUAUCUCCACUCCACUGAACAAUGCAACCUCCACUAAAACCUAUUGCCCUAUAUAUAAGCAUUUAAAAAAUUAGGACAAAUAACAAUUUGUGCUAAUUAAAUAAGUAAAAUGUCAACUUACUUGCUAACUUUUCUCAUGGCAUUAGGACACACAGGAUUAAGUGCAUAACUCUGCAACAUCUUGUCCCUCCUAACCAGAAUUCUCUUCAUCACACCCUUAUGAAUUCCUUGCAGUAAUCCAAUAACUGGUAGGUCCCUAAACUGUCCAAUACUAUUGUUGAAAACCUCACAAUGGUUGUUCACAAACAUGUCACACUGACUUGUUGUCAAAAAGGCAGACCUGGACCCCUGUGUCCUAGGUUUCUCCAUGAGCCAGUCAUAACAUUUUUUUGAUAACUACAAGUAUUAACAAGCAUUUCUGUAUCAGCAAUUUAAAUGAUGAAAUAGUAUUAACAAGCAUUUCUGUAUCAACAAUUUAAAUGAUGAAAUAGUAUUAACAAGCAUUUCUGAAAUAGUAUUCACCUUCUUAAGUUCCUCCAUGUGUUUGUUGAACAUGUAUUCAGUUGUAGCUCUAGCUGCCAUCCAUAAUAGAGUCCUUAGCCCAAUUCCUUUAUGCUCUUUAUACAUGUUUCUGUACAAAUGCAUGACACAAAAUCUAUGCUCUGCAUUUGGGACCACAGUCAAGAGUGCAUUAAUUAACCCCUGCACAGAAGCAUGAAGGAAUUAGUCAUUUUGUAAUAAAAUAGUAAUGAUAGAUUUUGUUACUUAAAGAAACAUACCUUUUGUCUGUCUGAUAUAAAUGUCCAUGAGGCAGUAUUUCUUAUAUUGACAUCUACUGCUAGCAGCUCCAAAAACCAAUUCCAUGACUCUGAGUUUUCAGCCUCAACCACUGCCCAAGCAAUGGGAUACAUUCCAUCAUUAGAGUCAGUCCCCACAGCAGCCAACAAUUGUCCUCCAUAUGGGCCCUUAAGGUGGCAUCCAUCUAACCCAAUAAUAGGUCUACAACCAGCUAUGAAACCCUUCUUCACAGGACCUAGACUAAUAUAUAAUCUCUUAAACCUUCUUCUUUCUUCUCCAGGUUCUGCAUCUUCCAACACCAUUUCUAUUGUACUGUCAGGCAUUGCAGUUUUAACUUCAUUUAUAUAGUCCCACAGUAGAGCAUAUUGCAAAAUAUGAUUGCCCUUGAUUUUCUCCAAUGCCAUUCUUUUUGCUCUACCAACAAUGUCCAUGCUCACUUGACAUCUCCAAUCAUUCACUAUUUUUUUUUGAAGAGCUGGUAUUGGCCAAGUUGGAUUCAUUCUAAUAUCAUUUUUAUAAUGAUUUGCAAUCCAUCUUGAAGUCAUCUGUGAUUGCUUAAAUGUUUCACAACAACUGUGAGUCCUCAUGUAUGUCUUUAUUUGAUAUGUUCCUGAAUUCUGCAUAGGGGAUGCAUAGAUUUUCCACUUACAAGUAGGGGUUUCACAAAUAAAUUUCACUCUCACACCAAAAUUCCUCACUUGCUUGAUAGCCCUUCUCUGUCUAAUGGCCUGAUUUCUAACUGCAUUCCUAAAAGACAUAGCACUGCUAAACACCAUACCUGAUUCAAAUUUAGGAUCUUUCAUGUCAGUUGCCUCAUUAAAGGCAAUGUAUGUUGAUUCAUCAUCAUCAUCAGUACUAUUGGGUACCCACCUUUCUGUAUCACUGUCACCACAUUCACUCAAAUCAGAUAACACACCACCCUCUGUUUCUCCAGCCUCUCCUUCACCCUCUCCUUCAGCCUCCCCUUCCACAAAAUCUUCCUCAUCUGAGAAAUUAAAUGGUCUCUGACCAAAUUCUUUAGUUUGACUCAAAGGAUCACUUUUCUUCAUCUUUGCUCUAACUUCCUUAACAGCUGUAACAUCUUCAUCAGUGCUAUCAACAUUAGAGCUAUCAUCAUGAAAAGAUACAUUAUCAUCACCUUGUUUAUCAUGAUCUACUUGAAUUAUACUAUCCAAAUUCUCAUCAGCAGGAUCACUAAAGUCCACAAGAAUGCCUUCUAGCUCUAACAUUUGCUCUAUUUCUUCUUUAUCAUGCUUUGCAAGUUGAGGGUCACCUAAGAAAUCAAAGUUCAACCAAUUUGCAGGGACAUAAUUUUGAGCUUCUUGACUGAUUUGGUUGUUCAAACUGUACACAUACAUUACCCUACAUGAGUCCAGAUAAUUACACAUAUUCAUAACAUCUGCAUCAGAAGCCAUGGGGAAUAAGGCCUCUUCCAUUUUAGAGGAUGGAAGCUUGUAAAACAACUCCACAUUGUCACUGGUUUCACCACAUUCUUUGAACAUGCUCAAAAUCUCUAUGAGGCUAAUUUGAUCAACAUCACAGUAGUCCACAUAUCUUACUUGGCCUUCUACAUAGCUCUUGCGGUUUAGUUCAAAAUUACCCCCAAAUAUACACUUAAUGGUAAAUUUUUCAGGGGUUCCUGCAAGAUCAAGAAAUGGUCUAAACUUGCAUGUAAAAUACAUAAGAGUAAACAUUCUAGCAUCCUACCAUUCGGACCACUGAUCACAAGAUUUAGGUCAAAAAAAAUUCAUUUAAGCAUAACAAAACAUAUACCAAAUUGACAGCACCCAAACAUAUAAACUCAUACAUAUACAUACACACAAACAUAGACAUAAAAAAUCAAGAUAAAAGCAAGGAAUAAAGAGUUAGGGUUUUGAGUGAUAAACUCACUGCUGUAAUCAGGAGAUUCUUUUGGCAAGAACAGAAGAUGAUCAGCAAAAUCUCUUAACACCCAAGACAUGGUUACAUAAAACCUGGUAAUCAGCACUCGUCAAGCUCUCAUCAAGCACUCGUGUAGCACUCGUGUGUGUGUGUGUGUAAUGAAGGCGGGGUGUAAUAAAGGCGGGUGUGUGUAUGUAAAUUGGGCGCCAAGCUGUCCAACUUACACUUUAGCCACCAAGCUUUAACAAGCUUCACAAACAACUUAACUGAGGGUUAACGGCAGUUGACGGCUGGUACACAUGUUGCAGGAUUGCGGAAACGUUAGGUACACAAAUUGUAACUCGGCCACUUGAGGUACACACUUUGCAGUUUGGGCAAAGUACAGGUACACGUUUUGCAGUUUACUCAAAAUGAAAUAUACCUUUAAUUUUGAUUUUUCACGGUUUAUAUACUUUGAUCCAGCUUCUUAUGGACAGACAAACUCUUUAUUUUGUUUUAAUACAAUAAAAAAUUAAAAAUGUCACCUGCUCGAAAAUUUUAAUGCAAAAAAAAUUGCAACUGUCACAUGCACCAUAAUACAAAAAUUCAAUACGAUUCUUAAAAAUUAAAUUCUUAAAUAAUAUGUUGUUUUAUAUAUCACUCAAACGACCCAACUCUAUUUAUCCAAAUCCAACUAUAUUAUUUAUAUGAGCGGGCCUAUUUAUUAUAGUCCAGCCAUCAAAUAUUAUAAUAAUUUUAUUAAUAAUACUGUUUAUAUAGGUUUUCAAAUACUAGGAAUUUUAAAUAUUAAAAAACAGGAAAUAAAGGAGAACCGAAUUUUAUUGAUUUCAAGAACUGAACGAGGUCUACUUCAACUGGACCCUAAAUUUCGGUUCGGUAUCCGUAUGCUCACUCCUGGUCCGGAACCUUUUCUUUCGUUGAUUACGCUUAAGUCAGCCUCGUUUUCUACACGAUUGCCAAGGUCCCUACUAAUUUGAUUACAAAGAUUCUGGUUUCUAGUCGUAUGCAUGUAUUUGGGCUGGAGGCGUCUAAGAACAAAUUUCUCAUAUAAAUUGUGAUAGAUACCGGCUAUUUUACCUUGUCCCAAACACGUUCGGAUAUAUAAUUCGUAAUUUAGCACGGACGAUAUAUAGUUCGUAAUUUAUUAUUUUUAAUUUAAAUUUUAACAUCAUCUUAUUAGUAUAUUUUUUAGUAUUUUAGUAUUUAUGAAUUGAAUUUCAAUUAAAUUAUAUUAACCAACUGAUUAUAUUUUUCCACAUAAAUUUAGUUUUUACAAGCUAUUAUCUAUUUAUAAAUAUUUUUCUAUUAUUAAUAUGUGAUAAUUAAUUAUUCAAUUAAUUUUAAAUUAGAUUUUUCAUAUUUCGUAUAUCGUCAUUUAGAUUGAAAUAGAACACAUUAGAGUUAAAAAGAGUUAUAUGAAGGUUCUUGUUAAAAAAAUAUUCAAAAAUAUAUAUUUAUAAUUUUACUUUUAACAUGAUUAUAGUUUUUUUAUGAAAUAUUAUAUGAUAAUGUAUUGUCAUGACUUUUUAAUAUUUGAAAUUGUUUAAUAAUUUAAGUGUAAUAGACCUCCACAUAUUUUAGACUUAUAUUUCUGACUUAUGAAUUAAUUAAUUUUAAAUUUGUUCGAAAUUUAUUACACAAACAAAUAUUUUUAGCGCUUGUGAAAUGGUCUGUAAGCACCUCUUACAUUGUUCUUCUAACAAAUAAAUUAAGGAGUUAUUAGAUUCUUUUAUAUCUAAUUCCUCUGAUUAUAUAUUUUCAUCAUUGAAGUCGGUUGAUUACUGGAUUUAGUGGAGUACUAAAUACUAGUUGAUAACCCGUGCCAAGCACGGGUUUAAAUAAAAUUUUAAAAUUUGUUAUUUAUUGAAACAAUAAUAUUUUUUUUAAUUAUAUUAUCAUAUUUUUAUCAUACCUAUUUAAAUUAUUUUUUAAAUGAUAUUUAAAUUAUUGUUAUUUAAUAUAAGACUUUCUAUAUAUUAAAAUUUGAUCCUACUUUAAAUUUAUUUCAUAACGAUAUGGGUACUCUAUCUAUGGAGUCCACAAAAUAAGAGUAUUGGAGUCCAAAAUUAUUUAAAAAUAAUCUACUCGUUUCAAUUUUAAUUUUUUUAGUAUACAAUAUUUGUAAACAUCUGACAAUUUGCAGGUUAUGUUCCACAAUAUAAUCAUUGGAAUCAAAAGAUAAAAUAAUUAUUUUAUAAAUCACUAAACAUUAUAUAUGUUCUAACAUAUAACUCAUAAGUAGAAUAAUGAUCAUAAGUAGAAUACUGAUCUUAAUGAUUGUUAAUGUUGAAAAAUGUUAAUGAUUAAUUGAUAAUUAUAUAUUUAAAACUAUUUAAAGAUGGUAAAUUAUAUAUAAAUUUGAAUAAUUAAAGAUAUUAUUUAUGAUUAAACUAAAAGAUUAUGACUGUUACUUAUUACGGUUUAAAUGCGGACUUUAUGGAACUUAACUCUAAUAGUAUGUUUUAUUUUAGUAAAAUUACUAUGUUGUUUGAUGAUUUUUAAAUUGUGAAAAUAAUAUUUAAAAUCAACACAUAUAAGUUCGCUUAUAGCGUGUUUAAUCUUAAACAAAAAUUUAGAAUUUUAAGUCGCAAUUAUUUUAUUCAUUUAAUAGGCAAACAUUAUAUAUAAUUCUAGUUGGAGUUUUUGUAGAUCUAAAAGUUGUUGUAGUUGUUUGAUAAACUAAUAUUGUAGCUUGACAAAAUUAAUUAACUUUCCAAAAAUUUGAUAUCAAAUUUUUUGACGUAUGUCUAGAGUUUCGGUUCUUUUAUUAUAUGUUGCAAUAUGGACAUUAACUUCAUUUUCUUUGAGUUUCAAUUUGUCAAGUCAGCGUUACCACCGCCUUAUUCGUCUUUAUCGCAGUCUUCUGAAAAACACUUGAAUGAUAAUGAUUAUUAUUAUUAAAAAAUAUAUGACCAAUUUUUUUGAAACUUUGAUAUCAAUUGAAUCUUGUUUAUUUUAAUUUUGAAAUAUGAUAGUAAUUUUAUAAAUUUGUUUCGUAAAUUGAAUUGUAUGAGUUUUAAAAAUUAAAACGAAUAUUUGACGUAUGUCUAGAGUUUCGGUUCUUUUAUUAUAUGUUGCAAUAUGAACAAUGACUUCAUCUUCUUUGAGUUUCUAUUUGUCAAGUCAGUGUUGCCACCGCCUUAUUCGUCUUUAUCGCAAUUUUCUGAAAAAUACUGAAUGAUAAUAAUUAUUAUUUAUUAAAAAAAAUAUAUGACCAGGUUUUUUGGUACUUUAGUAUCAAUAUUGAAUCUUGUUUAUUUAAUUAUGAAAUAUGAUAGAAAUUUUAUAAAUUUAUCGUAAAUUAAAUUGUAUGAUUUUAAAAAAUUAAAACGAAUAAUUUCAAUUUCGUUGACAUUAUUAUUCUAUUGAUAGGAUAUUAUGUUAAUAUCAAUAUGAACUCCUUAUUUAUUUGAACUCUGAAGCAUGCUAAAAGAUUUAUAGAGUUGUUCCGUAUAUUAAAUUCUUUGAGUUUUAAUAAAUUAAAACAAAUAAUUUUGUUGGUAAUAUAUUUUUAUUAGUGAGAUAAUUGUUACAAUACAAAACCCUGUCAAAUAUAGAAUUUUUUUAUAAUAGUAAUAAUUGCUAAAUAAAAAAAAUGAUGAUAGCCAAAUUUUGAUAUGAAUUUUAUAGAAUUGUUUCAUAAGUUAAAUUGUUAGCGAUUUAACUAUGCGGAUAGGAUAAAUGUUAUAUUACAAAAUCCUAAACACCAUAGAAGUCUUUUUAUAGUAGUAUAAUAAUCUUAAUCAAUAUUGAAAUUUUCAAUAAUAAAAUCCGAAUCAAUAUAGAAGUUUUUCACCGUCAUAAUGAAUAUUGAGGUUUUUAAUUCUGAAAUAUGAUAGAAAUUUUAUAGAUUUGUUUCGUAAAUUAAAUUGUACUUGCGAGUUUUAAAAAUUAAAACGAAUAUUUGACGUAUGUCUAAAGUUUCAGAUCUUUUAUUAUAUGUUGAAAUAUGGACAAUGACUUCAUUUUCUUUGAGUUUCAAUUUGUCAAGUAGUGUUACCACCGCCUUAUUCGUCUUUAUCGCAAUCUUCUGAAAAAUACUGAAUGAUAAUAAUAAUUAUUAUUAAAAAAAUAUAUGACCAGGUUUUUUGGCACUUUAGUAUCAAUAUUGAAUCUUGUUUAUUUUAAUUAUGAAAUAUGAUAGAAAUUUUAUAAAUUUAUCGUAAAUUAAAUUGUAUGAUUUUUAAAAAUUAAAACGAAUAAUUCCGUUGACAUUAUUAUUCUAUUGAUAGGAUAUUACAUUAAUAUCAAUAUGAACUCCUUAUUUAUUUGAACUCUGAAGAAUGCUAAAAAAUUUAUAGAGUUGUUCCGUAUAUUAAAUUAUUUGAGUUUUAAAAAUUUAAAACAAAUAAUUUUAUGGGAAAUAUAUUUUUUUAUUAGUGAGAUAAUUGUUAUAAUACAAAAUCCUGUCAAGAUAUAGAAGUUUUUUGAUAAUAGUAAUAAUUGUUAAAUAAAAAAUAAUAUGAUGAUAGCCAAAUUUUGAUAUGAAUUUUAUAGAAUUGUUUCAUAAGUUAAAUUGUUAGCGAUUUAACUGUGCGGAUAGGAUAACUGUUAUAUUACAAAAUUCUAAACAGCAUAGAAGUCUUUUUAUAGUAGUAUAAUAAUCUUAACUAAUAUUGAAAUUUUUAAUAAUAAAAUCUGAAUCGUCUUUACAUAAAAUUCUAAUUAAUAUAGAAGUCUUUCGCUGUCCUAAUGAAUAUUGAAUAUUGAGGUCUUUAAUAAUAAAAUUUUAUUCAAUAUAUAAGUUUUUUGAUAAUAGUAUAAUAAUGAUUAUAAAAAUUCUAAUCAAUAUGAAAGUGACCAAAUUUUGGUACUAAAAGUACCGAUGUUCCACCGAAACGUGGUUUCGCUUAUUAAUAAAGCUUAUUAAUAAAGGGUAUUGAUGUGAAUUUUUUACUCUUUAAAUAUUCGAAUGCAUAUGCUUGAUUAGAGCGAAUAUUGUUUCUUUCUUCUUCUGUCAAAAAAAGGUGAAAGGAAAAUAUAUAUCUCCUCUGUUCGGUCAACGAGUAUAGUAGGCUCAUAACGAAUAUUUGGAAAGUUCAAAAAUUUUAACCCUUGCUUUCUUUGCAUUUCUACGAGAGUUUGGUGCAAUAAUUGAGUUCAAAAUUGCAGAGUGACACAGAUAUUUCGAGAACAUUAAAAAGUCAUAUUUUAUGAGCUUACACCACCCAAUUCAAACCACGUAAUUACACACACAUAGUAUUUGUAUUUGACACCAUAAAUUCAUUAAUUUAACUACUAAUCUCCCCAUGUCUAUCACAACUUUUUUUAAUGGAGGGUCUAGUUUACGUCAACUCGAUUAAUUUGAUGAUUAAUAUAGUAUUUAAUUUUAUAAUUACACACUUAAAUGUGUAUUAUUUUACGAUGAAUUGCACAAACUCAACUAAUUUCAACCAACAAUAUAAAAUCCUAAUUAUGUAUUAUUUUUAUAAGGAGAGUCGAACCUGAAACCGUCCCUACCGACCUACGCAAUCUCAUUGUACUAGUGGCCUAUCUUAAAUUUGUAAGUUUUAGAAAUUUCUCCUCUUUGUAACCAACCUUCUCUUAUAUAAACAUCUUUGCAUAUUGGCAAUAGAUAUCUUGAGUUUCUUAUGCAGAGAGCUAAGCUUUCUAAUAUUCUUCAACUAGCUUUUCCUCUGUAAAACCCGUGCAAAGCCAAGCUAGCAUUGUAGAAUUACUUAUAAGCUCUCUGCAUUUCAAGAUCAAUGAAGAAUCAAACUCAUGUUUUUUCACCGAAAAUUUUUAGUCCUUCGAUUCAGGGACUCGUAACUGUCCUGUAUUACAUCCUUUUCUUCGCAAUAGGCCUAACUUUCGGAAUCAUUAUUACUUUCCACUCGAAAAAUUUCUCGUUUAAUCUGCAGCUAACACAAUUCUCCCUCUCCACGUCUUCGUAUCCUCCCUCGCUGCCCUCACCGUUAUCAUCAUCGUCAUCGUUGUCUAGUCGUUCUAGUGCUAAUAAAACGUUGAAGAGUAGGGUUGGUUUACGCGAUUUUGUGAGGCCGCCAAGGCUUAUGCAUGACAUGAGUGAUGAUGAGUUGUUGUGGAGGGCUUCAAUGACUCCGAAUAGGAAGGAGUUUCCGGGUCCCAGGCAAACGUCGAAGAUUGCAUUUAUGUUCUUGAUCAAACAGACAGUUUCGUUUGCUCCUUUGUGGGAGAAGUUUUUUAGAGGCAAUGAAGGACGGUACUCAAUAUAUGUGCAUUCUGAUCCGUCUUAUAAUCAGUCCGAGACUGAGAGCUCGAUGUUUCGUGAUCGGAGAAUUCCUAGCAAGGUAAAGUAUGACUAAUUAUAAUGAAUUUGCUGCAUUACAUAUUACAUAUUCAAGAACAUGUAACUUUACUGAUCAUUCUCUAGAUAUUCUUCGUAUUUAUUAAAAAAAUUAAACACAUUCACACACUCAUCUCAAUUUUGACGAGAUUUGAGCCAUCAAUCUCCGGUAAACGGAGCAAGGGAUACCAACUGAUCAAGAGGUCAUUGGUUGGUUAUCCCUUAAACACAUUCAUACACUCAUCUUACUUUUGACAAGAUUCGAACCAUCAACCUCUCGUAAGUAGAGCGAGGAGAUACCAUCUGAUCAAGAGGUCAUUGGUUAUCCCCGGUAUUUUUUUUAACACAAGUUUGAGGAAAUACCAUCUGAUCAGGAGGUCAUUGGUUAUCCCUGUAUUUUUUAACACAAGCUUCUUCUCGACUUGAUCUGUUACUCAUCUAAACAGCUGUCUCUAUCAUGACCAAAACAGAGAUUGAAUAAUCUAAGAAUGAAUUACAUGCGACCAUUAGGCCACCUAUAUCUUGUGAUUUUGCAAAUUUGUACUAAAAUUUGAUAAAAAUUGGUUGUGUAAGACGCAAUACUAAAUGGUCAUAUCUAGCACACAAGCCUAACGCAUCAACAUGGUCGAAAAUUGAAUCUUCUGCUAAUUUUUAUCUACGGCUAAAACCAGAACGGAAAAUACGACUGCUACGACUACAGAAAUUGGCAUUAAACUCGUGGAAGAUAGCAUCACAACAUUUAACAUGCUAUGUAAGAUCUCAGAUAAAUCAUUAUUAAAACAUUAGUAGGGCAAUUAUAAUUGAUUGAGUAAUAUUAACCGAAAACUCUAUGUAAUUAAGCUACGUAGGCUAUAUAAGUAACAAGAAUCCUUGGUGUAGUUUGGUGAACUUAAAAUUAACAAACAAGUCAUGAUAUAUGGUCUGAGGGAAAAAGUCACGUGGUAGGCUUGGUAGCUAAGCUAGCUGAUGGUUGGCAACUAACUGCAAUUCACCAACCUACUUCACAAAAUUCUUACUACUCUUUAGUACCUCUUUUUGGAAAUACGUGGCGAUUCUCGACAACUUCUAAAACUUUUCUUCUCAAUAGGCCAUUGCCCAUUUAUGUCAGAGGACUCAAACCCCUUGUGACCUAAGCUCUGAUAUUAAGCAACUGGUCCAUGACCUGAGCUCUGAUAUCAUGUUAAGCACCUAGUCUAUGACCCGGGCUUGCCAUUUCACCAUAGAUGUAUUAAUAUAUAUCGAUAACUAAUAAGAUGGACUUAACUUUACACAUCUGUGAAUGUUAUAUGAUUUUUGAUUGUCAUGUAUCGUUAUGUAAUCGAUUAUGUUAUUUUAUGGAAUUUGGUAUAUCACGGUUGUAAAUUCACCAUUUUGAAAUGCAGGUAGUAGAAUGGGGAAACGCUAACAUGAUUGAAGCUGAGAGGCGUUUGCUAGCCAAUGCACUUCUUGACUUUUCGAAUCAGCGUUUUGUCCUGCUCUCUGAAUCAUGCAUUCCUCUGUACAAUUUCUCCACCCUAUAUUCAUAUCUCAUGAACUCCUCUGAGAACUUCGUCGAGGCCUAUGAUUUAAACAGCCCUGUUGGACGUGGUCGCUAUAGCCAAGAAAUGUACCCGACAAUAAAACUCAACGAAUGGAGAAAAGGGUCUCAAUGGUUUCAAAUCGACCGUCAGUUAGCCAUCCAAGUGAUCUCUGAUACUACAUAUAUCACCAUGUUCCAGAAAUACUGCAAGGGCUUGUGUUAUUCUGAUGAGCAUUACCUGCCUACAUUGGUGAGCACUAAAUACUGGAAGAAGAAUUCGAACAGGACAUUGACUUGGGUCGAUUGGUCGAGGGGCGGGCCUCAUCCGUCGAGGUACUCAGACACAGAUGCAACUGAGGAGUUCCUGCAGAAGAUGAGGACUGAGAAGCAAUGCAAGUACAAUGGUAAUGUAACAAAUGUUUGUUAUAUGUUUGCAAGGAAGUUUUUGCCAAGUGCUUUGGAUAAGUUGUUGAUACUUGCACCUAAGGUUAUGCAUAUAAAGACAUAAACAUAAAUUUAAGUUUCAUAUACAUGAUUUGUACUUCUGUAAUUCCUAAUCCUAUAUAUGAUAUACAUUUGCAAGAAUGAUCAAGGUACUAAGCAAUUCAGCAAUUAGAGAAGCAACGGGUAUAGAAAUAGAAAAUAAGAAGAAAAAAUUAAUUAUAAAAAAAAUUGCACAAGGCAAUAGUAAUGAAUCGAUUGAUAUACAUAUGACUCUUUAAUCUUAUACGUUCACUUCAAUUAAACUCGAAAUAGUUUAAGAACAAGCUUAAAAGCAGGAACACAAGCCUUGUACAGUAAAAAACACUAUGUUGAAUUGAUUAACAAGAUAACCACCGGGGGUGAGCAUCGGGCGGUUUGGAGGGUCUAAACCAAAUCAAACCGAAUUAAUCGGUUUUUCAAAAUCUCAAUCCAAAACCAAACCAUUAUAUUUAAAAUCCAAACCAAACCAAUCCGUUUAAAACGGUUCGGUUCGGUUUGGUUUCGGUUUAAACCGUUUUUUAUAUGUAAAACAAAGUUAGCAACAAAAUUAAAUUUUAACUUGAAAAAUAAGGAAUGAAAAAUUCAAUUUAUAUUUUCUAUUUAAUCAUAUUUAAAGAGGAUACAAGAAUAUAUUAGCUUGAUAAAUAAAAAUAUAAAUAAAAAGAAUGAAAACAUAUUACAUCAUAAUUAAUAUCAUAAAAUAGAAUAAAUAAUAUUUUUAAGAAAAUCUUGACUAGGAUACCUUUUGUAUGUUUAAGAUUUUACAUUUUUUUGUAGAUUAUAAUUUUAUUUUUAAUAAUACAUUAUUAGUACAUGUAUAUUAAUGUUUAAAUCUACACAUUCGGUUCGGUUCGGAUUUAUCGGUUGGUUUGGAGGUAAAAACCAAAACCAAACCGAAAUAAUUCGGUUUUUAUUAUUUGAAACCAUAACCAAACCAAACCGUUAUUAAACCGUUAAAUUCGGUUUGGACGGAUUGGAUCGGCCGGUUUCGGUCGGUUUGGAGAAUUUUUGCUCACCGCUAACCACCACGCCACUAUAUUAAAAAGGCAUCUCAUUACCACCAUAAGAACAAGAUUACUGUGUUAAGUUUCUAACAAAACAACUAUAAGUAGUAUAUUAGUAAGAUUAAGAUGUCAGCUUUCUAAUGUCUUACAUAUUAGCUUUGCUACAGGAGGUAUAUAGCUAUUUUGCUUUGGAUAAAAAAUUACAGAAUGUUCUUUAACCCAGAAAGGUACCUGAGUUUCGCAUCUAUGUUCAUGCUGUUUAGUAGACAAUUCAAUCAAUCUUUUCUCGAACUAUAUCAACAAGAUACCCAUUCAAAUUCUGGCCAAAUAUUUUGGUAGAAAAUGACUCUUCAACAUGCCGCCGGGCUUCUUUACCCAUACUUUCUGCUAACUGUGCUUCCGUAAUAAAUUUGCCCAUCGCGAAAGAGAAGGCUCCUGGAUUAGGGUCACAGAGGAACCCAGUAAUACCAUCCUUGAUUGUCUCAACAGGGCCCCCGCUGUUACAAGCAAUGACUGGCUUUUGCGCUGCCAUUGCCUCAAGGGGGACAAUCCCAAAGUGUUCAUCCUACACACAAAGUGCAGUUCUCAUAUAUUUUUAACAUGUGAAGCCUACUCUGGUUUAUCCAAAUAUAUAUAUGUGUAGCAAUCUACAAUACCUUGGGUGUAUAAAGAACACACAGGCAGUCGGAGAGAAAUACGUUCCUUUCUGAUGUAGAACAAGAUGUGAUAAAUUUAACACGGUCAGACACACCCUCUCUAUCGGCCAAUACUUUAAGCUCCUCCAGGUAUUCAACAUUCUCUUUUAGGCGUCUGUCAAAGCCACCUGAAAAAAAAGGCAAAUAUAUAAUGCAUUUGCAUUGCAUCUGCUUCACUGAACAAGGAACACUACGAUGUAUACAUACAUUACUCAAUUUUUACUGGAACAGCCUAAAUGAAAUAGCAAAGUUUAUAAAAUAGAAAUCCUUAUUUGCUGAACUGCACUUGGAUGGUACAGACAACUGAAGAUAAUAAUUGAUUCCUUAGAACAUAGUACUAAGUUUUGUACAUUUAUGCGUAUAUAUAACUACAAAUUGCCUCAAUGACGAAUUGUAGACGCCCAAGUACUCGAACCUUAGUCAAUGAGAAUAUUAAAAAGAAAUUUCUAGUAUAUCUGUGAGAAAAUACAACCUGACUUGGCACCUCUAAGUAUCUAGAACAGAAUAAUUACCAAACCACAACAUGACAAUCACAGAGUGGAAAAUGGAUACUUUAUGAUAUUCUGCAUCACCAAUAUAUAGCAGAAGUGGUAAUUCUUCAAGUCUUCUUCUCGUCUAGAUAGGAUUAUGAAUUUUUCUUUUCUUCAGUUCACAAUUUAGUUAUUUGGUACUUUUCAUCAAUCAGCAAUCACCAUGCAAGAACAAUAUAUCAACCUGAGCUGUUCUACUCUAUGUCGGGAUUAAAGUCAUGCUUUAACUUUCUCUACUUCUCGCCAGAAGGUCCGCUAAUAAGUUUUCCCUGUCCAGGUGCUAGUAAAUUAACGGUUGGCACUAGUUAAACAAAUGGAUUGUCAGAUUCAAUCCCACAAAUCUGUUUAAUUUUCUUUGCAGAGUUACUUUUUAAAGUUGUUCUUAAAAUGGAAGUUUCCAGAAACUUAAAGUGAUUGCAAGGAAUCUAUGAUAUUUUCCAUCAACGUAAUACAAAGAUGGCAACUCUAAGAAACAAAUUGUGGUCAGGGGACACUGAUGGAAGGGAUACAUAAGGUGGAAAUUUGUUUAAGUAAUUAAUGCAUUUAAGACAGGGUAACCCCAUUAGGACUUGAACUGUGAUAAAUUAAAAUUUGUCAAUUAGUUUGAAGACAAACAAUGCUGAUUUGUGAGGACUGCAGUUAUGAUAUUGUAUAACGAGCCUUGAGCUUGAGGUAUGACACUUCAUUUAGGUGUUCUAACCCGCCACCACACAUUUAUGAGAUCGAGAAGAGAAGAAAGUACCAACUCAUCCUAAUCAAUGCCAUAUCUUCAACGCCCAAAAAAAGCGACAUAAAGUUCAGAUGUGGUAAUAUUAUCAAUGUUACCAAACACAUCAAAUUUGUUAUGUAAUAACACACACAUAUAUGCUGCAACAUAUAUUAUAUGCAUAUCGGGUUAAAAUCAGUUUGAACUCAUUAAGGUAGACUAAAACAGUGACCAGAAAGAACCAGCUGGUUUUAGGAAUACCUCAACCUAAACCACAGUCUGCAAUCGGCUAAAAAUUAGUUUUAUAUUUGAUCUAACCCAAACCCAUAAUCACCCCUAAUGAUAGAGCAGGUAGAAAAAUUAUACUCAGUAUGUGGCAACACUACGUAAUAUACUGUGCAAGUAUAACCUAGAUAGAUAGAUCAAUAGAACAGAUGAUAGAUCAUAGAUGAGAUAACAGGGCAAUGAUGACUGAUCUCAGGCUGUAAUCUAUCAUUGACUUGCCUACAAUGGUCAAGGUAGCAUCAGCCAAGUUACGUCCUUGAAGAAGAUUCCUUUCAUCUUUGCAAAGAAUUGAAAAUGCAGAAACAGCCAAGUCUAUGUUCUUUUUCCUUUCAAAUCGAUUGAUGGAAAGAAAAUUCAACCUGAAAAAGAUUAGCAAGUAUAUUUAGAUUAAUAUUCAAAAAGACAGGGUUGCUUAACCAAGAAUAUAACAUUGCCGUUUCUAAUUAAUCUAAAAACUAGAAUGUACCAAGAGAUAAAAAGAUUUAUAUUACUUGAAAGCAUUGGGUUUAUUGAACUGUUCCACAUUAACUGCUGGAUAUAGCACAGCUGGUCUAACUGCUUGCGAAUCAAGAUUUUUGAAGGUCUUUGCAAAAGUUGUUGCAGUAAACUUGCUGUUAACCAAAAUCAAAUCUGCCAUUCCUGUACUUUUAUCAAGCAAUUGAAUAAGAAAAGAUUCAUGUUACAAGUAGCACUUAUAUAGCAUAUAAUUUAAUGGAAGUUACAAUGUGUACUAGACCUGUUGUUACUUCCUCUACAAAGUCUAUAGGCUUCCGAUAUACCCUCCUCAGAGAAGUUGUAUGUUGAGCUAACAGCAAAUCGGGAAAAUGGCAAUAAAAUACAACCUGCAUAGGUAAUGGAAAUUUUGAGAAUACGUGGGUUUACAGUCACGACGGAAAACUGGAAAAAGAGGAUGCUGGUAAAAAAUGAUGUACAUAAACACAGAAGCGCAGCACUUGAAAAUAAAUAUAUUUCGUGCCCCACUUUGCCAUAUUGCAAAUGACAGUAUGAUACCAAAUAUCUGAAAUCCAAGUUAAUUUGAUGCUACUUUAGUUACAUUAAAACUAUCUUAGUAGUCUUCGAAAGCUAUCCUUAUCGCUGGGCCAUAUUGACCACUCCCUUUCAGUCCCUUUUUAACAUCCAUCUGUUGUAAAAGCAGCUAUACAUGGUUCCAAAUUUUAGUUUUAAACUUACACAUAUGUUUUAACUAGAAGACCAUAAAGUCAUGGCAUCAUAUUUGACCUUGUGAAGUCAUAACAUCCUUAGCAUUUAAGCCUAAAGAUCAACAGCUUAAGGUAUAUAUGAAUAAUUGAAUAAACUAAAAUAAACAACUAUCUUCAUAAUCAAAAUUAUUCAAGAUAUUUUAAGCCUAGAUCAAUCAACUUACAAUUAAGUAUAACAAUUGACAUAGUCUUUCUUUCUACACUUCUGAAAACUUAUAAUCUUAAGCUAAUAAUCUUAUUCUGCAUGCAAAACUCUCAGAAAGAAUUUACUUAAUACAAAUAAAGAAAUGAACUCUCCCAUAUCAAUCACAAUUAUCAAGAUAUUUUAAACCAAGAAAGUAAUCAAGCUACUAUUAAAUAAAAAUAAUUACAACUGAAGUAAAAAAAAAAAAGCAUUUGAUUAACACUUGCAAAAAUUUUAGAAUUUUAUGCUAAUAAUCUUGUUCUUAAAGCAAAACUCUCAUAAAAUCUACUUAAUACUUAUAAACAGAUUCAAAAAUAUGCUACAAAAUUAAUAGUUUAAAAAAUAGUAAAUCUUGAUACAAGAAAAAUCACCUUUGACGACCUUUUUAACUUCAUCAGUGGAAUGACAACAGAGACUUGAUCGACGAGUACUACGUCAAAGGAUUUCCACAUAAAUAACAUGCACAGGGCAACGAAUAUGCAGCGAAGAUAUGCGCACAAUGCAUGAAAAUGCUGGAAGAUAUGUCGGGGCAGGAAAGAACCAUAUACUGUAACGGGAAAACUACCUGGACAUUUUCGUUCAGGGGUAGAUCAAAAUUUUGAAAGAUAUAGGCAACAGAAUAUAAAUUAGCCAAUUACUUUGCCGUGUGAUAAAAUUAUUUAUUAUUCUCACCAGAAAGAGUCUCCUCAAAACAUCGAUUUUUAUCAUGGUGUGCAGUAAAAAUAUGAACGUUAUGGCCAUGGGAUGCGAGUUCUACGGCAGCGUCAACAAUUAACCUUUCAGCUCCACCUACUCAUGUGAAGUUAGAAACAGACCUUCAGGUAAAGUAAUUAUAACACGAGAUAGAACAUUAAACAUAAAGAGUAACAGGAGAAUGUGAUGAGCAGAAGUUAACUUCAUAUGCUAGAAAACAAUUUAGAGCCCAAUAUCUUAUAGGUUUUGUUUGAGUUUCAGAGUGUGUGGGUGGGUGGGUGGGUGGGUGUUCAGGGGUAGGGUUUGAGCUGAACAUUAUCCAAUAAGAAGCAAGCUGGUAUCCUCUUCUAGUGUAUUUAUUUGUAUAAAAUGAGGAGAAACAUGUUUCUGCCUGUACAAAAAGAGAAUAUACACACAUCUCUAGGUAUCAUUUGCAAGUUUUGGUUUCAAGGGAAAUUUCUAUUAAUAUUUGUUCUUGUACAAUUUUGCAAUUUACACAGACGAUCUAAUCUAAGUCAGUACAAUAAUAAGGUGAAAGUGCAGAAGCUAUCCCUGAUCCUCCAUUAAAGACAACAAUCCAAUAUAACAACAAAACAUAUCUACUAUAUACACAGAAUAUAUGUAUACUAUGUAUGUGAGUUAAAACCAACAUUACCAAUUCCGAGAUCCGGAUGAAUGAUGCCGAUAUUUAACUUAAGUCCACCCUUUUUCUCCAUCGCCUCCUUCCCUAAAUCAGUAGUGAAUAACUAUAAGAUAAAGACCUACAACUAACUGUGCCAAACAUGCUCCAAAUGAAAACCUCACUGCCUGAUUUCUCUCAACCAGUAAUUUCGUUAAUGAUCAAAGCUUAUGCCUUUCAAGAACUGUAGAAUCUCAAAUCACAUAAGCAGUGAAUUACAGUUAUAAACUGUUUAUCUAAAAGACCAAAGAGCAUAUCGAAAACUAUAAUAUUUGCGGAAAUUUUUAAAGAGUCCAGAUAUGUACUAAAUCAAGAGUAUAUUUUACUAAUUCAGUUCACAUAAUCUGUCGUAGCGAGUAAGAAGGCACUUAAUUAAUUUCCCAAACACCGUUCUCCUUUUCGUAAUAAAUGUUCGAGGGGUCAAGCCUCUCCACAGGUACUGGUUCAUGAGCAUUCAAAUUUUCAUAACAGACCAUAAUCAACUAAACCAAUUAAAACAUAAAGACCCGAAUCUAAUGACCUAUGCAUUACCAAAGUUCUCAAAUUUUUAAGCCGAGUAGUCACAUUUAACACACAAGUUAACAAUUCACACUAAUCAAAACAUUCUAGAAUUCUCAGGGGAAUUUCAUCAAACACUGUCAGGCCUUAAUUAAUCACUCAGUUUCUCAAGCUCGAUUCUCGAAUACCCCAGCUAAACAAAAGGGCAGUAGGGCACAUCAAAGAUUUCAAUACGCAACAACCCAUUACUAAUUAACAAAGAAACUAUCAACAAAAAAAAAAAAUCACGCAUAAAAUAACCAUCCCAGCUGAAUAGCUUCAAAUUUUGUAAAAAGAACAGCAAAUAAUGAAGUGAAGUAGUGAAUAAUUACCAAGAAUGCUAGCGCAGUACAAAACGAUGGGUCUACAAUUGUAAUAUGCUUGAUGAUAGCAAUUUGAUAUAAUUGAAGUUGACGAACAAAUUUGAGGAAAAGUGAGUCAGCUAUACAGGGAGAUUGCAGACUGAUAGAGUUUGGAAUUGUUUAUUACUAUUACUUACCUUUAACCCGUGUGACACGAACGGAACGGAGUAUAUAAUUCUUAAUUUAUUAUUUAUUAUUUAUAUAAAUAAUAAUUUAUUUUUCAACUAAUUAUAAAUUAUAUUUAAGAUGAUAAUGAUAAAAUUUUUAUCUUACAUGAUAGUGUUUUUAGUAUUUGUAAUUAUUUAAUAAUAAUAAAAUUAUAAUUUUAUACAAAUAGUACCAAACUAAAAAUGCAUAAUACUCAUGUUAGCUUAUUAUAAGAUAGUAUAGAUGUUUUUUCUUCUUUUUUACUGUACUUUAUUUUCCUUGGUGUGAAUAUUUUCAAAUAAUUUUUAAUUAUAUAUAUAUAAAAGGAUAUUAGGACCGUUUUUGGAAAAUAGUUAUAAAAAUAACUAAGGUGUUGUAUCAACACAAAAUAUCUUUUGGGAUCAAGUAUAAUGGUUCGAGAUUCAAUAAUUAGUUUUUUUUAAGGAAUAAAAUUAUUCAAAUUUCUUGAUUAAAGCCAAAUAUUAAAUAUAAAAUAAUUAUGAUGAUUAUUGUAUUAUGAAGAAAGGUAGCACGUCUGAGCUCGAUUCCUUAAUAAUCGAAUAUCAACAUGUACUGUCACGAGAAAAAUAAGAAUUUAAUAUUCGGUUCCUUAACAAUUGAAUGUUAACAAUCGAAUAUCAACAUAUACUGUCACAAAAAUAAAAAUUCUAACAUACAUACAUGCAGAGUCAUGUUAUCAAACGAAAAAUUAACAUGUAAUGUUCAUUUUCUGGCAUAUUUUUUUAGACUGAUAUAUUGAUAAUAAAUGAUUAUUUUAAAUCAACAACCCGUAAGAAUAAUAUUAAAAUGAGAAAAUAGAUUUUCUUGCCACCCAACUUAUUAUUUGUUUAGAAACCUACCACUGAAUUAUUAUUUUUUUCUUUUUUGCCACUAAUGUUAGGUUCGGAUUUUUUUUUUGUCACUAAAGCUAGGUUCGGAUUUGAUUAUUACCACUGAACUAUAAUUUUUUUCUUUUUUGCCACUAAUGUUAGGUUCAGAUUUUGUUUUUGUCACUAACGCUAGGUUCAGAUUUGAUUAUUAACACUAUGUUAUUCUAUUUUUCCGACCAUCUAAACGAUAUUUUUCGGAAAUCUAUUUUUCGGUAGUCUGCAAUAUAAUGGUGAUCUGUGUCUAUAUCUUUAUAUGUAGUACUCCAUGUGUGUCCUAGGUAGUUUAUCUUGGAGGACGAGAGUACGGAUUUUUUUACUCAGAAAAGGAAAUCUCAAAAUUAACUUAUGGAACUAUAUUUAUAAAAAGUGGGAACCUUAAAAUACGUGACAAGUAGUGGUAAAAACUAUAAAGUCAAGUUAUACUAUAUUUUUGUGGAGUCCUAAAAUAAUUUAUAAAACUAAUUUUUUUACGUUCUUAAAAUGCUUGUUAAACUCUCGUACUUCCAGGUAAACUAGCUAGGAGACGUAUAGAUGACUGUAUAUAUUGUUAUAGACACAUAUCAUAUCACCAUAAUAUUGAAGACUACCGCUAUGUUUUUAUAACGAUAAAAAAAUAACAUAUUGUUAAUAAUCAAAUCAAAACAUAACGUUAGUGACAAAAAAAAAUCCAACGUAUUUUUAAGGGAAAAAAAAACCAACAUUAAAUUUUAUUCAGAAAAAAUAAAAUAAAAUAAUUUUUGAAAUUUUUCGGAGUCUCAAAAUGCGUGUCCAACUCUCGUCCUCCAAGGUAAACUACCCAGGACACUACAUAUAAAGAUAUAGACACAUAUCAGAUCGCCAUUAUAUUGCAGACUAACACUAUAUUUUAAUAAUGCUAAAAAAAUAACAUAGUGUAAAUAAUCAAAUCCGAACCUAACGUUAGUGACAAAAAAAAGUCUAAACCUAACAUUAGUGACAAAAAAGAAAAAAAUUAUAAUUCAGUGGUAGGUUUCUAAACAAAUAACAAGUUGGGUGGUAAAAAAAUCUAUUUUCCCUAUUAAAAUCUAUUUUCUUUUACUAAAAUAAAAGUAGUAUUUUAUACCUUAUUUGUAACCAACUAAUUCUUUCAAUAUUAAUCAGUCGAUCGAUAAUCUCUUCUCGCCGUUCGUAAUUAAUACCGAUAAUUUUGGUCGGAACCGUUCAUAAUACAAUAACUAAUAUUGUAUUUGGUUCAAUUUAAAUAUAAGAUUUUCGAACAUAAUUAGACAGUCAAAUAGCAGGCUUGUCAUUUAUUCGGGAUACCCGAAUUCGACUUAUACUCACUUACGAAAAAUAUUAAAACACUUACUUAUUUACAAAAUAUAUGUCUAGAUUAUCAAAAAAAAAAUAAUAUAAUAUUCUCCGCAUAGGAAAAAUAAAAAUUAACAUAAUACAGCUGCUACGCUGGGUAAUAUCUGUCGCAUAAAAUGUAACAUGUACACACAACGGAUAUAAAUGGACAAAGCUUAUAUGCCUUGAAACAAACAGAAAUGGACAAACUUUCCAAAGUAUUACUCCCUCCGUCCCGCCCAAUUCUUUACAUUGGGUUUGGGCACGUAGGUUAAGAAAUAUGUAUAAAGUAGUAGAAAAGAGAAAGAAAAGUGGGUGAAGUGGCGGGACCCACUGAUUUUUAAUAUAUAAAAAAGAGAUAGUGGAGUAAAAGUAGUGUGAAAAGAAAGAAAAAGUGGGAAAGUGGUGGGACCCAUUAACUAUUUUAGGAAAGUUUUGUAAUGUAAAGAAAUGGGUGGGACGGCCAAAUAAGGAAACUGUAAAGAAUCUGGUGGUGGGACGGAAGGAGUACACUAUUAGUAAAGCUUAUCAUGAUCUACAAUUGCUACUGGCCAGGCCUUGCCACUUGCUCACAUGCUUCAAUAGUUUACUUGUUGGUUCAUAUAAGUUAACAAAGGGAAAUAAACAAGACUUUGAGCACAUGAAUAAUGUCUUAAAUGAGGAUUAGGAGAAACUGAGGUUACUACAUGCAGUUUAGGAUGAAACUAACGGUCGUAGCUUAAUUGCAAGGAAAAAAAACAUUUACAGCACCAUUGGAAUCUAAUGAAAAUGCUAAUUAAACUAGCUAAAAAAUACUGUUUCUGUCUGUACUCUCAUUGACUAGCUCCUCCGCAAUUAUCAUCAGAGGCAGAUACAGCUGGUGAGUCCUCGGAGAGGGAAUCGUGAGAUGGAGAGACCUCAACCCCUCGAAUCUCCUCUAUCAUUUUCACUACCUGACUCAUUGUCGGGCGUUGAUCAGGAGAGGCUGCUGUACAGGCCAUUGCAAUCUGCAGCAACCCGACCAUCUCUUCCUCGAUAUUUUUGUAUCUCAUCAACUCCAAGUCGAACACCUCUGCUGUCCACUCUUCCCUAACCACUGACUGCACCCAUCGUGGCAAAUCUAUCCCCCCGCCGUCUACCACUGUGGAAGGGCACUUUCCUGUGAGCAGUUCCAGCAACAGUACCCCAAAAGAGUAAACGUCAGACUUCUGGGUAAAUUUUCGGCCACUGUCAUUUGGUGAUUCUGGUGCUCGGUAGCCAUUUGAUCGUGGUGCAACUGAGGUUGCGAAAAGAGAUAGACCAAAGUCAGAAACACGAGGAUUUCCAGAGCUGUCAAAGAGAAUGUUGGUGGAUUUGAUGUUGCCGUGGGUGAGUCUGAGGGACUUGCAAGAGUUGUGGAUGAAGAGUAUCCCACGAGCUGACCCAGCUGCAAUUUUCAGCCUUGUUAUCCAAUCUAGUGGCGCUCGCCCUGGUCCUCUGUUACCUGUCAGAUUAAUAACGAAGCUAGGUUUCAGAAGCAAUUAAACACAUACAUAUAUAUAUGGUAGCUAGUGAAGCAUUUACUAACAAAACUUUGUGCAUCUGUUUUUUACCCGAACAGUAUCGGAAGUUUAGACUAAAUAUUGCAUGUAAGAUUUGUUUUUUAGUACUCGGAAUAUUGUUAUCAAUUGGAAGUUGAGUAAACAUAGCAUUGCGUGACAGUGUAGACCGUAGAAUACAUAAUUAUAUUUAAGCGUAUGAUUUAAAAAAAACAGGAUAAUGACAAUAUCAAUUGGUGCAGAUGAUGGUAAUCAUAAUAGGGCAUCAUGCCAGAAUAUAAAAUUUAACAGCAGAGCAUGCUUAUAUUAGGUAACAUGGGAUCAAAAAGUAGAGACUAGGGAAUAGUAAAUAACAUGAAUGUCAUCAGAAAAAUAAUCAGAAUCAUGUUACUUUUCUGAUCCUAACACAUACAAUCUUCUUGCCCAUUAUUCUUGUGUACCCGACUCCUAGUACAUUGCUUUUGUCGCAUGUGAGUAGUGAUAGUGUAAGUACUUAGCACUAACUACCUUGAUAAAGAGUUAACCAGUACUAAUAGUGGAUCUUAAGAGUUACGUGAAUAUAAUCAUGGUCAUAUAUUUUUUUCCGGACACCCACCCCCACAACAGGUUCCAUUUUAUUAUUUAUGCAAUGUAACUUCGAUAUUGAAUCAGAAUCUAUGAACUUAGUCGAGUGAAGUACAGGAAUCAGACAAGACGGACUGAAGCUUAAUAUACAUCUGCUGAAUAAUACAGAAUAUCAUCUCAAUAUCAUGAUAGGCAAUUUUACUGGCGGAAUACUUUGAGCAGUUUCUGAAAUGAUCAAAAAUCUUUACAAGGAAUCAAAAAUUUGAAAUCAAUAUUCUAAACAUUUCCGAUACUUCCACGUUCCAUCAAUGAUGCACUUGCUAAUGAAGCGCGGGUUCUACAUACCACCCAACCUCCCCAAUCCCUAUACCUUACUUGCACCUCACCAGGCUCUGCGUUUACACUACUUCGAAAUGAUAUAUACUUUGUAACUUUGUAUAUGUCGGUUGCUACUUAGUGCAGGAAACACAUUACAAGUUUAAUCCCAACAAAUAGUUAAGCCUACAACCUAAUCAAUUACAUCUAUACAUCGCAGAAUUAAGCAUUUAAACUACAAAUACAAAUUAAAGAAGUCAUGAAAUGUAUAUAGGCAGCAACAGAAAACAUACCAUGUAGAAGCCAAAACAAGUUCCCAUUAGGCAUGUAAUCGUAAACCAACAACUUCUCAUCCCGCGCAAAAUAAUAAGCCUUCAAACUCACCAAAUUCUCAUGUCUUAACCUCCCCAACACUUCCAUAUGUUGCUCAAACUCCCUCCUCCCACCACUACCUCCACCUGCCUCUUUCAACCUCUUCACCGCAACCACAUUCCCAUCAUCAAGCACCGCCUUAUAAGCCGUCCCAAACCCUCCUUUCCCUAACAUCUCCGCACUAGCUCUCAACAAAUCCUCGAGCUCAAACCUAUUGACCCCCUCAAAAAACACCAUUUUCCCUCUCUCGAACCCGUGCUGACCAGUAGGAUAUGGACUCGUUGAAUACACAAUUUUCUCCCCUUCUACAAUCUGCGCCGACCCGACCCCAUUUCCACUCUUCCGGGUCCAAAAAUAACAAUACAAGAGCAGUGACACUACAGCUAAAACAAUCACAUCAGCUAUUAUAAUAGCCACUAUAGCAAAAGGGCUUAUCUUACUACCCCCACCAUGCUCAUCAUUCCCCGAUUUUAUCGGAGCAACUUCAUUCUUUGGUAACGACGUCGGAGAAGAAGACACAAUCACCGGAGGUACAGAGCCCGACCCGGACAAUCCGGGUCGGGUUCCUGGUAUAAUACCGGGUCGGGUCGGGUCAUUUGAGCAGUUCUUCAGCGGGGGUCCACAUAAACCCAAAUUCCCAGUAAACGCUGUCCCCGGAAAACCAGCCAAAAAACCCGGAAUUUCUCCGGCGAGCUUGUUGCCGGACACAUUAAAUUCUUGAAGACUCGGCAGGUUUAUCCUGGAAAUGUCGCCGGAAAAGCUAUUUCCUUCUAACCGGAGAGUAAGAAGAUGCGAAAGCCCGUUAACACUCACAGGAAUCUCACCAGAGAGAUUAUUGAACGACAAAUCGAGCCGGAAAAGCCUUCCCAAACCAACCGGGAACUCGCCGGAAAAAGCAUUAUGUGACAAAAACAAGAGCUUCAAAGCAGUAAGCUUAGAGAGAUCGGGAAUGCGUCCUGUAAAAUUAUUCCUUUUGAGACUCAUGACUCGGAGAUGACUCAGUGAAGUGAGUGGCUCGAAAUUACCGGCGAGUUGCAAGUCCUCGAGAACGAGUCGAGAGACCCGGUUAUCGAGGCAGGAAAUGCCGACCCAGGUGGCGCAAGGGUCGGUUUGAUUGGUCCAUGAAGAGAGCUUGGUGUUGUCGGUAUCAGCAGAUGAUUUGAAUGAGAGUAAAGAGUGUGUUUCUUGUGGGUUUAAGAGGGCGUAGAGGGGAGUGAGGUGCAGGAGAGUGAGUGUUAGGAGGAUUGGCAAAUGGGGGUUUGAAAUGGGCAUUGUUGAGAGAGAGAGAGAUGGCGGAGAGACUGAUAAAACGAGAGAGAGAUGGCGGAGAGACUGAUAAAAUGAGGGGGAGAGAGAGAGGGGGGGAGAUGAAAUGGAAGGGGGUAACUGUGUGAUUAUGAGUUUGUGCAAGCAAGAGCGAGUAUCAAAAAAUAAAUGCUAGUGUUGUGGUUUGCGUGAAAAAUUACUCCCUCCGUCCCUAUUUAUCUGUCCACUUUGGAAGUUAAAAUUUGUCCCUAUUUAUCUGUCCAUUUAUACUUUCAAAACUAAUUUAAUGAUAGUUUUUCAAAUAUAUCUUCAUAAUUUCAAUUUUCAAGGCUUGACUUAUUUAAAAUUUGGUUGAAUUUAUGUUUUCAAGACAUAAAGUAGGAGUAUUCCACCAUUUUCAAGAUAUUAAUUAGAGGUAUUUAAUGAAAAAGUUUACACAAUCAAUUAUUCCUUGGUAUGUGUUUCUUUUUCCAAAGUGGACAGAUAAAUAGGGACGGAGGGAGUAAUAGCCUUGCUCUAGAAAAAUAUAUGUGUCCGUUUUGGAUUUUUAUGAUAUUCCAGGUUGUAAAUUGAUCAAUUUCUUCGUUAUUUUUUUAAAGCCAGAUUGAUCAAUUUCUGAUCUGAUUUACGGUGAUUAUAAAAGAGCCCAACAAGUCUUUUCAACUUAUUCUUCUUUUUCUAGCAGUGGUAUAAUCGAGCCGAGUCGAAUACUGUAGGCUCGACUUGAGCUCUAUUAAAAAAUUCAGGAUUCGAAUUCAAGUUCGAUGAGAAGUUUAUAUAAAAUAUUGUGUUUCAAUAUUAUUAGUUGUAUUAGAUUUUUUUGAUAAUUUAUCAUGUACUACAACGGUACCAGUUGAAUCUGAUACAUAAUCGGUUUUAUAAAAAACGAUAUUAACUCGUAUUGAUUGCAUACUUAACAACACAUGAGUGCAGUAAUAAAUUCAUUCUCGGGACCGAUAAACAAUGCAAGUGCGAGUCAACUGCGCAAUUUUCUUAGCCAAAAGACGUUAGGGUUACCCACAGAUCACAGUAGUAGUAGGGAGGGGGUACAGUACUACUACUCCUAUCAUUUAUGCUUGUAUGUGAUGACCGUUUGAGUAGUAACGUUACUUGUACACGCAAGGCAAUCAUCAAAAUUGCUCAAAAGGAGUGUAGUUGUGUCAUGAAAGCCCAGGAGCCUCGGACCCUGUUCGACAUCAGCUCGUGUUUGCAAUUACUUCCUCUGUCCAAAGAAAUGUAUACACUACUCCCUCCAUCCCUUUUUAUCUGUGCAUUUUGAAAAAAAAACACAUACCAAAAAAUAAUUGAUUGUAUAAAUUUUUUCAUUAAAUAUCUCUAAUUAAUAUCUUGAAAAUGGUCGAAUACCCCUACUUUAUAUCUUGAAAACAUGAAUUCAACCAAAUUUUAAAUAAGUCAAGCUUUGAAAAUUGAAAUUAUGGAGAUAUAUUUGAAAAACUAUCAUUAAAUUAGUUUUGAAAGUAUAAAUGGACUGAAAAAUAGAGACAAAUUUUUACAUCCAAAAUGGACAAAUAAAUAGGGACGGAGGGAGUAUUUUUUACACGUUUUUUAAUAGAGUAUUUUUUUAAAAAAAAAAUUCUAAAUAAAAAUUUGAUGUUUAAACUUUUAUUAAAAAAAGAAUUUUAAAAAACAUUAUAUAACUAUAAUUUAUUAAAAUUUCGAAAUGCGUGCAAACAGUGAGCGUAUACAACAUUACGGAGGGAGUAAUAUAUUUUAUUUCUCUUAUUUAUGCACAUUCUGCCAUUGAUUUAUUCCCUUGUAAAUUGUCACCAAAAAAAAAACAGAGUUGUUCUUUCGCACUUAAAUAUAUCUCAGGUAUUAGUAUCUGUGACAAAUAUAUAUAUAUAUAUAUAUAUAUAUAUAUAUAUAUAUAUAUAUGUAUGUAUAUAUAUAUAUGUAUGUAUGUAUGUAUGUAUAUAUCAGGUAUUAAGCCUUUCGGUAAUAAUAUAUCUUAAAAAAAUUAUUGUAAAAAUUGAUUGUCAUGGUCCUGGGUCCAUAUAUGUUUAUUCUUUUGGUAAGUCAAAUUUAUCAUAAUUUGACUGAAAUUUAUAUAUAUUAUAUAAUUUAAAAUAGAAAAAUAUAAUAUUAAAAGUAUAACUAAUCUUAUUUAAAACCUAUUUUUAACUCUCUAGAUAAUAAAUGAAUAAAUUUUAAUAUUUAAUCAAAUGAUGUUCGAUUUGAUUUUUUGAAAUUUAAAAUGGACAUUUAGAAGUUAAAAUAUUUCUUUUAAAUCAUAUCGAAAUAUAAUACAUAUAGGAUGUAAAUUGACCGUUACAAGAUGAAAAAUAAUAUAGUGGAGUUGGAUUUAAAAAAAACUUAUUAACUAAUAUAAAAGUCAAACGAAAGAUGAAGGAGACCAGUGAGAUUAAUCAUGAAAAAUAUAUUUUUUAAUUACGUGUGAUGACAUGGUAGAAUUAGAUUAAAUUCAUUUAAGGAACUAGAUUUUUUCUAAGUUUCUGUCCACUUUUAUUUCUAUAUGAUCCACACACUUUCUUUUCGGAAAUAUUUUAUAUAUCUUAGAUCAAUUUUUAUCUCUUUAAUUCUAUAUACUUUUCUAUAUUUUUAUCUUAAUUAUUAUUUUAAAUAAGAAGAAACAUGAAUAGAAAACAUGUAUGACUAAUAAUGUUUGAAUUAUCACGUCACUCACUAUCUUAAUUUUUGAAAAUUAUAAUUUUAAUUAUUUAUAAAAAAUGAUCCUAGGAAUUAAUCGAAAUGUAUGGACACAACUGGGAAUGUUGGUCGUGAGAUCGAGAUUUAAUUUUGUAAAUAUAUGCAAUAAUGGAUACUCCUAGUCUCCUAUGACGAUUAGACAGGCAAUACACACAGACAACAUACUGUAUCUAUGUAAGAAGGAACGGUCAAAAUCUGAAAGCUUUGCUUUCCCGGAACUAGAAAAAAGGAUAAAGCGUGGUCCAUCUACAUAUAUUCUCGAAAUGCACAAACAUACAAUAACUAAUCAUUCCGUCACAAACUAUGAAACCUCAAUUAGUUUCAAAUCACCCACGAUUAUGAGUUGUUAAUCGAGAUUUUACUAGAGGAAGCAACGAUUUAUCCUAAAUAAAGAUGACUUUCUAUUCCACUUUUGUUUCUUUGGUGGUGCGGUGAGGUGACCUGGGGUAUCCAAUUUUGUUGAAUAAAUACUAUAUUUAACUGAUUGCAAGAAAAUAGUGAUGAUUUUAGACGCUUUACGAGAAAAUUAAGAAACAACUUUUGACCAUACACAUGAGAUAAAAUAAUGUAGCGGGAGGCUGAGAUGCGCGCCAAAAACUUUAAAUUGGGAUCCGCUCCCUUUGCUUUCUACAUGAAUUUUACAGUUGUCUAGCUCGGAUUUCCAUGCAGAUGGAAUGAACAUAAGAUCAUGGAGACGAUCCGCUCGAUUGUAUUACUCCCUUCGUCCCAAUUUAGAUGAGUCUUUUGCUCAUUUCACACAUAUUAAGGAGUAUUAAAUGAUUCAUCUUUUUUCCAUCUAUGCCCUUAGAGCAAGUCCAACGGUUGCCCUAUUUAGUGUCCUAAAUCAUAAUAUAGGGUUUUUGAUGAAAAAAUUUGAUCCAACAAUGUCCCAGUUAGGGCUGAGCAUUCGGUCGGUUCGGUUCAAAACCGAACCGAACCGAAAAAACCGAAAACCGAAUAAUGCUUUUUUUUGAAACCGAACCGAACCGAAUUAGUAUUUGAAACCGAACCGAACCAACCGAAUUAUUUCGGUUCGGUUUCGGUUCGGUUUGAAAAAAACCGAAAUUUUUCUUUUUCUUCCAUAAAAUCGAAUUCUGAAAGGAAUCCAGAUGGGCCAAGUCAUUAUUUGGGCUGGAUGCAACUGUGCGCCAUUUAGACGCAACUUGCUAACCUACGCCACUCUUCUCCACUACACUUCUUCUCAUCUCUCAUCUCGAUUUCACUACUCCCGAGACUCUUUCUCAUGGAUGGAGGUACUUUAUUUCCUAUCACUCGCUCAUUUAUCUCGUUAUUAUGAUUGAUUUUUAUGUACUACUCAAGAAUCAUCGAACGAAAUAUAAACCUGGAAUCCAAGAUGAAGACUAGAGUUGCUGGAGAUGAAGAUUAGAAGAGAUGAAGAUUAGAAGACGAUGAAGAUUAGAAGAUGAGUUUGAUUAUCGGAAAGACCAGUGAGAGCCGAGAGGACUGAGAGUGUCGAGCGGCGCUGGUUUUAAAGAAUAUUAGAUUCAGGGUUAUCUCAUAUAUGUAUAUAUGUAAUAUAUAUUUAUUUUAUAUUUAAUAAAUAUUUCGGUUAUUUCGGUUUAAACCGAAAUAUUUUAUCAAAAACCGAACCGAACCGAACUUCUUUUCGGUUCAAACCAUAAAACCGAAUUAACCGAAAUUUCCAGAAAAAUGAAACCGAACCGAACCAAAAUUAUACGGUUCGGUUCGGUUUUUCGGUUUCGGUUCGGUUUUGCUCACCCCUAGUCCUAGUGAUGCCUUAUAUCACUAGGACAACCCAUUCAAGCUCUAUUUUUGAGGCACUCCCUCUCCUUACCCUAUCCUAUAUUUUAUAAUAAAUUGUUACCAAUACUCUCUUUCUCUCUCUAUUUUAUAUUAUGUUUUAAUAAUGAAAGUGAACUUUUAAUAAUAAAAUAUUAAACAUAUAGUGAAAAUAAGGCACAUUGUUGGGGUUGAAGUUAGUAGAAUAUGUC